rnacentral:lncRNA from 1 species
CUGAUUCAUUUUAGUGACAAAUGAAAACAUUAAAAAAAAAAUCAGGACUUGUUCGUCCAAAAUUUACAGAUAUUUUGUUCUUUAAUUAAUUUUAUUGUAACAAACGAUAGGAUAGCAGUGUAGUUUAACCAGUUGCUUACACCUUGGCAACGUAGGUUCGUGUUUUUUUUUUUUUUUUUUUUUUUUUUUAAGUCAAAUUUCUUGCAAAUUUUCUAUGGGUGUGAUGUUUUUUUUUUUUUUUGAGUGCAAACGGCUCACCCUUCACAUAUUUAUAGAGAUGUUGAAUUUUCAGCUACAAUUAACAGUUGUUCUACGUUCCCGGUGUUCCACAUUUUACAAUAUUAAAUAGAGAAUUUUGAGUCCAGAAGCAAUCGCUUUCAGGUCAGUGCCCUCCAAGAUGGAUUAUCAGUCAUGGUGUUUAAUUAUAUUUAUUUAAUUUGUUAGAGAGAGCUCUACGCCUAUAGAGUAUAACAAAUGGAUGUACUUUCGUUUUCGUUCAUCUGUUGUAAGCUACUGUUUUUCUUGUCUGAAUCCUCUUUUGCUUCCGACACCAUUACUUCAUCUCAGUCCCUCAGCGAUGGCAGGACCUUAGUUUCAAAAGAUGGAAGCUUUGAGCUUGGUUUCUUCAGUCCUGGUAGUUCCAAGAAUCGUUACGUGGGAAUUUGGUACAAAAAUAUGCCAGUUAAAACUGUUGUUUGGGUUGCAAACCGAAUCAACCCCAUUAAUGACUCUUCUGGGUUGUUAGUUGUAAACGAGACGGGCAAUCUUGUUUUAACAAGCCAGAACAAGAGCGUAGUUUGGUCAGCAAACUUGAGCAAAGAAGUGCAGACCCCAGUUGUAUUACAGCUACUAGAUUCAGGAAAUCUUGUCCUCAGAGGUGAACGAGAUGGUGGUUCUGAAACUUAUUUAUGGCAAAGCUUUGAUUACCCUUCUGAUACAUUGCUACCAGGGAUGAAGCUUGGAUGGGAUUUCAAGACUGGUCUUGAGCGGCGUAUAACAUCAUGGAAGAGCUCAGAUGACCCGUCUCCUGGAGACUUUAUUUGGAAAAUUGAACGACAAUUUUAUCCUGAGUUAGUCAUGUGGAAGGGAUCAAGAAAGUUUUAUAGGACUGGCCCCUGGAAUGGCCUUAUAUUCAGUGCUUCAUCACUCAGGCUUAACCCAAUUUUUAAGUAUCGCUUUGUCUUCAAUGAGGAUGAGCUGUACUACACAUUCUACCUCACAGAUAAAGCUGUUAUCUCAAGGACUGUUAUGAAUCAAACAGUCUCUCUACGUCAACGAUUCAUAUGGCGUAAAGCAAACCAAAGUUGGGAGUUGUAUUCAAAUUUGCCAAAAGAUCAAUGUGACACUUAUGGUCUUUGUGGCGCCUAUGGAAUUUGCAUCAUUAGCCAAUCACCUAUUUGCCAAUGUUUGGAAGGUUUUCAUUCAAAAUCGGGGGGAUAUGUGGACUGGUCUCAAGGGUGUGUCCGUAAUAAGCCAUUGAAUUACUCAAGAAAAGAUGGUUUUAUCAAGUUUUCUGAGCUCAAAUUGCCAGAUUCUACUUCAUCUUGGGUGAGCAAAAGUAUGAAUCUCAAGGAAUGCAGGGAGAAAUGCUUAGAAAACUCUUCUUGUAUGGCUUACACAAAUUCGGAUAUCACUAGAGGCGGCAGUGGCUGUGUUAUGUGGUUUGGUGAUCUGAUUGACAUGAGAAACUUCCAAGAUGGUGGACAGGACUUGUAUAUUCGAAUGUCUGCUUCAGAGCUAGGAGGUAUCGGCUUACUUGUUUAUGUUGCUCCAUAAUGAGAAUUUAGGAGUGACACUCCAGUUAGAUUCUCUAUUCCACUUAUCUUUUCUUUUGUGGGGUGGGUGGUGUUAUUAUUACUGAGCCGAUUGAGGUACUCCUACCGUCUAUGUAGUUCAUAAAAAGCAGUUUCAGAUUGAGCUCUAUGCUUAGAAUUUUGCUGCAAUUUGAAUGUUUUUGCUUGGCCAUAUGAUUGUUGACUUACUUUUCUAUAUCAAAAUAUGAUGAUCAAGCAGCGAAAAAUGAGCCUACAACUACAAUACUGGUGAUACUCAUUUCUGCUUCUGGGCUGUUUACUGUGGUGCUUAUGGUGGGCUGUUACAUUCGCAUAAGUAGGGGAAACAUAGCCGGUAAAAUUGCUCCAUUUGCCUUGAAAAGUUUUUAUUCAUUUGUUUGCAUUUUGAUGCUAGCAGUUUCAUUUUAUCAAGUCUUCAAAAAAAAUUCAUUACGAAAUAGAUAAUUUUUUGUAGGCAACAAUAUAACUAUAUGGUACUUCUUUUUCACCUAUGGUUCUGUUUUUACUUGCACUUUCAUACUGAUUGGAAAAACACAUAUUGGACGAAUUAGAUAGUUUCAGUGCUAUUUUCCUGAUAAAGAACCUUCACACGCAGAUCAUGGAAAUGGAAAUCUAAAUUUUGAUAUGGUCCAGAAUCCUCAUAUGUUGCUUUCUGUUAAUAUUGUACAUUAUUUUGGCGAAAACAGGAAACAACAGAAGAACCGAUCAGGAAAAUGAAGAUCAAAACGAAGACCUGGAGCUACCACUGUUUGAGUUAGCUACAAUUGCUAAUGCCACUGAUAACUUUUCAAUCAACAACAAGCUUGGAGAAGGUGGCUUUGGACCUGUUUACAAGGUAAAAUUGCAACACGCUUGUAGAAUGAUCCCAAUAAUUAAGUACUUAUCUUACUCAGGGUAGCACAACUAAUUUCUCAUAUAUUUUUUCAGGGCACACUACCAGAUGGACAUGAAAUUGCUGUGAAAAGGCUUUCAAAGAUUUCGGAGCAAGGAUUGAAGGAGUUAAAGAAUGAAGUUAUACUAUUUUCCAAAUUACAGCACCGAAAUCUUGUAAAGCUUCUAGGCUGCUGCAUUCAGGGAGAGGAGAAAUUGCUGAUUUAUGAAUUCAUGCCAAACAGAAGCCUAGACUCUUUCAUUUUUGGUCUGGAUCCCUCUACAAGUCAAAACCUUAAAAAUUUCAGCUAGCUUGUGCUUUCAUUAUAUUUUUUCUUAAGAUUUAGCAGACAUUAUGUUCUUUUUCAUAAAAUUCAAGCUGGAAACUGUACUAACCUUAAUGUGAUAUUUUCUAGAUCAAACAAAACGUAAGCUAUUGGAUUGGUCCAAACGUUUCUGUAUUAUUUGCGGGACUGCUAGGGGUCUUCUCUAUCUUCAUCAUGAUUCUAGAUUGAGGAUUAUACAUCGAGAUCUCAAAGCAAGUAAUGUGUUACUUGAUCAUGAGAUGAACCCAAAAAUUUCAGAUUUUGGCUUGGCCAGAACUUUUGUCGGAGACGAGAUAGAAGGAAGUACGAAGAGAGUGGUUGGAACAUAGUAAGUAUUUCUUGCUUUAUCAUCUUUAUGAUUCACUUCUACUGAUUAUUGAAAGUUAACUUAUAUAUUCUAAUCCUCUGAAGUGGUUAUAUGGCACCGGAGUACGCUAGUGAUGGGCUAUUCUCUGUAAAAUCUGAUGUCUUCAGCUUUGGCAUAUUAUUGCUGGAAAUAGUAAGUGGAAAGAAAAACAGAGGAUUUUAUCAUUCAGACAAGAACCUCAAUCUUAUAGGACAUGUAAGUAAAAUGCAUAUGCCAUUUUCUGACAUACUUUACGCUAAUAAAUCAUAUAUGACAUAAGGUUUUUGACAUGUUGCAGGCGUGGAAGUUGUGGAACAACAGCAUGCCUUCACAACUGAUUGAUGCGUGUUAUCAAGAAUCGUGCAAUCUUGCUGAAGUCAUACGAUGCAUCCAUGUCGGUUUGUUAUGCGUGCAACACCAUCCUGAGGACAGGCCAUGUAUGCCCUCGGUGAUUUUGAUGUUGGGCAGUGAGAUUAUGUUGCCUCACCCGAAGCAACCCGGUUUCUUGGCGGACAGGAAAUCAUCUGGGCCAAAUUCUUCAUCAAGCAUGCUUGAAUCAUCUUCAACUAAUACAAUUACGAUCUCAACGUUGGAAGGCCGAUAGAGAACCUAUUGGUACAUGCCCUGUUCUACGUUUUCUAAAAAAUUAUCAGUAAUUUUUCAGAACUUAGAAUAUGUGAUUAUUUCAUGUAGAAACUUUCCUGGAACCUUCAGUAGAGUAGCAGUUCCGAAGACACUCUUUCAACACUGUAUGUAUGUAGUAAACUGGAGCAAUCCCUCUACAUUUUGAGAUAUAGUAUUUUUACGCUUGCGUCAAUCAAAUUUAUGAGCUUCAUAUAAUUCUCAGUUUCUAAAACUUAUAAAUAAUGGUGAACAAUAUUUAAGUCCAGAGAAUUGAACCUAAAGUAUCCUUUUAUAAAUAAAUAAAUAAAUAAAAUUAUUUAGUAAUGAUUGAUUUUGACGAUGAAAGUUUGUUUUAUUUUUUGGUUUCUUUAUUAAGUUAUUACUGUUAAUUAUAUUGUAUCGAACUGUUGGAACGUUCAGUAUAAAAUAAAAGGGGGAAGAAUCUAUAAAUAAACUUAUAGAAAGAUCUCCGCAGAAUAAUUUUAUGACAACAUUAAAUUGAAGUAUUAGACUUAAAAUUUUGUUAAAUGUGAAAAAGCAAAAGAAAAAAACUGCUGUACCGUACAUCCGCCUUGGCCGUACAGCUUAUCUUACUCAGGGUAGCACAACUAAUUUCUCAUAUAUUUUUUCAGGGCACACUACCAGAUGGACAUGAAAUUGCUGUGAAAAGGCUUUCAAAGAUUUCGGAGCAAGGAUUGAAGGAGUUAAAGAAUGAAGUUAUACUAUUUUCCAAAUUACAGCACCGAAAUCUUGUAAAGCUUCUAGGCUGCUGCAUUCAGGGAGAGGAGAAAUUGCUGAUUUAUGAAUUCAUGCCAAACAGAAGCCUAGACUCUUUCAUUUUUGGUCUGGAUCCCUCUACAAGUCAAAACCUUAAAAAUUUCAGCUAGCUUGUGCUUUCAUUAUAUUUUUUCUUAAGAUUUAGCAGACAUUAUGUUCUUUUUCAUAAAAUUCAAGCUGGAAACUGUACUAACCUUAAUGUGAUAUUUUCUAGAUCAAACAAAACGUAAGCUAUUGGAUUGGUCCAAACGUUUCUGUAUUAUUUGCGGGACUGCUAGGGGUCUUCUCUAUCUUCAUCAUGAUUCUAGAUUGAGGAUUAUACAUCGAGAUCUCAAAGCAAGUAAUGUGUUACUUGAUCAUGAGAUGAACCCAAAAAUUUCAGAUUUUGGCUUGGCCAGAACUUUUGUCGGAGACGAGAUAGAAGGAAGUACGAAGAGAGUGGUUGGAACAUAGUAAGUAUUUCUUGCUUUAUCAUCUUUAUGAUUCACUUCUACUGAUUAUUGAAAGUUAACUUAUAUAUUCUAAUCCUCUGAAGUGGUUAUAUGGCACCGGAGUACGCUAGUGAUGGGCUAUUCUCUGUAAAAUCUGAUGUCUUCAGCUUUGGCAUAUUAUUGCUGGAAAUAGUAAGUGGAAAGAAAAACAGAGGAUUUUAUCAUUCAGACAAGAACCUCAAUCUUAUAGGACAUGUAAGUAAAAUGCAUAUGCCAUUUUCUGACAUACUUUACGCUAAUAAAUCAUAUAUGACAUAAGGUUUUUGACAUGUUGCAGGCGUGGAAGUUGUGGAACAACAGCAUGCCUUCACAACUGAUUGAUGCGUGUUAUCAAGAAUCGUGCAAUCUUGCUGAAGUCAUACGAUGCAUCCAUGUCGGUUUGUUAUGCGUGCAACACCAUCCUGAGGACAGGCCAUGUAUGCCCUCGGUGAUUUUGAUGUUGGGCAGUGAGAUUAUGUUGCCUCACCCGAAGCAACCCGGUUUCUUGGCGGACAGGAAAUCAUCUGGGCCAAAUUCUUCAUCAAGCAUGCUUGAAUCAUCUUCAACUAAUACAAUUACGAUCUCAACGUUGGAAGGCCGAUAGAGAACCUAUUGGUACAUGCCCUGUUCUACGUUUUCUAAAAAAUUAUCAGUAAUUUUUCAGAACUUAGAAUAUGUGAUUAUUUCAUGUAGAAACUUUCCUGGAACCUUCAGUAGAGUAGCAGUUCCGAAGACACUCUUUCAACACUGUAUGUAUGUAGUAAACUGGAGCAAUCCCUCUACAUUUUGAGAUAUAGUAUUUUUACGCUUGCGUCAAUCAAAUUUAUGAGCUUCAUAUAAUUCUCAGUUUCUAAAACUUAUAAAUAAUGGUGAACAAUAUUUAAGUCCAGAGAAUUGAACCUAAAGUAUCCUUUUAUAAAUAAAUAAAUAAAUAAAAUUAUUUAGUAAUGAUUGAUUUUGACGAUGAAAGUUUGUUUUAUUUUUUGGUUUCUUUAUUAAGUUAUUACUGUUAAUUAUAUUGUAUCGAACUGUUGGAACGUUCAGUAUAAAAUAAAAGGGGGAAGAAUCUAUAAAUAAACUUAUAGAAAGAUCUCCGCAGAAUAAUUUUAUGACAACAUUAAAUUGAAGUAUUAGACUUAAAAUUUUGUUAAAUGUGAAAAAGCAAAAGAAAAAAAUGAAACAUUUUCCGUUAAAGCUUUAACUUUAAGAGAAUAAUAAAGUGUUAUGGGAGCCCCCAAGGGUAAAGUGGUAAAAGUCAAACUAUUUAGGAAGUGGCAGUCUCCCUAAGGAGGAUUAAACAUGUAUUUGCAAAUUGCAAUCUUCACUAUAAUAUAUAAAAGGAAAAUUUUCUGUGGACGCUUCCUCUUACAAUAGUCCAAAAGUACAAAAGUAUUUAAAUCAUUGUAAAAUACUUUACAAUAAUGUAAACACAUCAAUUAUAAUAUUGUAAAAAGUGUACCCAUAUUUUAUAAAAUGUAAAUAUUCGCACAAGAGAAUAACUAUAUAUAUAUAUAUAUAUAUAUAUAUAUAUACACAUACACACAUACACAUAUACACACAUACAUACUAUAUACAUAUACACACACAUACAUAUUUAUUUACGGGAUUAUAAAAAUCUUCUAUAUUAAAAAGUUUAGAUGCGGAUGCGAAGUCUCACUCAUUAAAAGCAACUCUCAUAUUCUACUAUUACUUAAACUCAUAUGACCAUGGCACAAAGUGUAUUCAUUAAUUCAUAGCCAGUGGAACUAUGCUUAAGAGGCUAAAACCUCUUACUCCUAUAUUUAUUUAAAUAUUGACAGAAAUGGUAAGAAUUUUGUUCCAUAAAGACUUUCAUUUUGUGAAACUAAAAAUUUAUCAGAUAUGUCACUCAUGUGAAUUUUACUUUUCUAUGUCGUUAAUCAUGUUAAUAUAGCAUGAAUAAGAAAAUGAAAACGUUUUUUUUUAUAAGAAAAUAAAAUUCUAUUCAUGAUAUCCUCAUCGCAACUUUUCUUUACAUUCUCACAAUUCAUAUUUUGUUUAAUAAAGACUCGAAAAAUUUCUUAAUUUAAAAAUUUUUUAUAUACAAUAAAUUUAAAAUAUUGGAGAAAACUAAUAGACGCACUAAAUUAAUUCAUUUGGCAGACCAUCACGGACGGUGCUUAAAGCUUCAUCCAUCAUAUGAUAAUUCAAUGUAUAAUAAACAAAGAGUUAUACCCGAUUUCUUUGAAGAUUUUGGAAAAAAUCACAAUUCUCAUGGACUCUUGUUGAUUGAACUCGAGUGUGUAAUGUGUGCUUCUAAAAGACACUCUGACACUCAAGUCAAUCGUUGGAGAUUGAGAAUUGAUUUAGAUAUGAAUUUCUUUCGACUUAUCUCUAAAAAUUGGUGAAAGUUACGGACCGAGAGACGGAAGAAUGGUGCGAAAGUUCUAUCAUUUCAUAUAUGAAUCCUCACAUUUUUUUUCCUUAAAUUAAUUUGAACCAUUAAAUUUGACAACUGUUUGUUCAUUUCCUAGCACGUGGUUUCGUUAGUAACCAUGUGUCAUUACUUAUCAACAUUUUCGGGUUGAUUGAUGUUUGUUUUUUCUGGACCUUUCACAAUGAUUCAUCCAAUUAAUAUUAAUAUUAAAUCCGAGGCUGAACAUAAUUCAUAUCAGAUAUUGAUUUAUGAUCCAGAAUCAAUGUGAGCUGUGUUUAUAUUGAUGUUUAAUUGGAAUCAAUAUAAAAUAUAUUCUUUAUCUGAAUUAACAAUUUUUAACAAACAUGCGAUGCAGUGUAAGUGGCCAUAAUUUCUGGCAUUUACAAUCACAAUCUUAGUUUUAAUGGAAACAAUUAUUGUGGGCAAAAGCAGCAAGCUAGGUACCUCGAUUUGAGACCAAAUUCUCAUUAGAAAUAUAACUAAGUUGAAACUUCUAAAAUUUUACGUAAAUGGUUUUUGAUCAUUUAUAUAUCUUACUUAAAAGUUUGUUGUAAUGGAAUAAUUAUGAAUCUUAGUUACUAGAUGAUUUCAUUAAUUUUUGAAGAGUUAGAAAUAGUGAUCCUUAUACAAAGAUGGAGUGGUAGCUAAGCAUAUGCACUGGAUGUCAUCUGGCCAUAGAAUUUGUUAGCCCUAAAAUCUAUGGUCCAAAUUUCACAAUGUGGUUUUUACUACGUUUGGAGACAGAAUUUUAUCUUCAUGCAACCAGGAUUUCACGUUUUCUUGCAGAAGUUGCAAGCUCGCUUAUCCUUGCUCUGCAAGUCUCUUCAAAGAGAGUGGUGACAGCACAUUGCUGGGCUUGUUCGCUCUGAUUUCUGGGCUUGAUUUUCGCUGGUUGGGCCUACGGGUUCGCAAAUUAAGCUACUAUUGGUCAUACGGUGACUCCAAUUGAAUUCGUCUCUAAUGAAUGCCUUUUAUCACUUUCGUUUUUGUUUCACUAAAUGUAUGUGCACUUUAUGUCCAUUUGUGCAUGUGCUACCAUAAUGUCAUUAUGUCAGUGUUUGAUUAUGCUUUUUGAAUAACCAUGUUAAAAACCGCUAAGUCUUUUCUUAGGAUGAAGGCUUCGGUAACUGCAAAUCCUGCUCGAUCUAGUGCCUCUGAUGCAGAAACUAUAAAGAAAAUUCGAAGACCUUUGUACUAACACUGCUGACGCUCAACAGGAGCUGUUGGGCAGCUUCUAUAGAGCUUGGAAGUUUUAUAAUGGAAAUAUAAAAGUAAAAACAACUAUAACUUAAGAAACGAUCCAAUACUGCAAAGCUAAGAAAAUUUGUAAUGCCAUUCGUUUCUAUCUUCACACACGCAACAUUGUUUUUUCCCAUACAAGAAGAGUCCAUCUCAUGUCUUUCGUUUAAUCCUACGGCUAACAAAAACUUGAUCCAAUGGCUGCCGUGUACUGUCCUUGUCUCCUGUUUGUCCAUGUCACUGUCCAGUGUACAUGAGUGAGAUGGUGAGAGCUGGUGCAGGAUUCUUCACUCCGACAAAUGAUCUAACACUUUGCUAAUAUCAUCAAACACCUUGCACAAACUAACAUUUAUCAGAGAGACACACAAACCAUGGGUUCCCAACGUGCAGUGUUUUCUUGGCACCAUCACCAUUGACUAUUUCUGUUUGGUGUACCAAAUUGCCUAUCAAGGGAACAAAAGAUAAGAAUGAGAAGAAAAUAUUGAUAAUUGUGACAACCGUUGGUCUAAUUGCAGAGGUGCUUGUGCUUAUAGUCAGCUUUUACAUUCGCAAAAAAGAGGAGAAAUUUAGUAGGUAAGAUUACAUUCUGUUUUCUUUCACAAGUUUAUGUUUCUUUGGUUGUUAAAACUUCCUACUGUCGUAAAUUUGUGCUGGCAAUUAUGUUUCAACUAGAAAUUCUGACGAGGAUUGCUUAAUGUGUCCACUGUUUUUUUUUUUUUGGUUUUAGCAAAAACAGAGAACACGCAAUCUGUUCAUAGAAAUGAAGAUCGAAAAGAAGGCCUGGAGCUACCAUUCUCUGAGUUGGAUGCAGUUUGCCAAUGCAACUGAUAACUUUUUAAUCAAUCAACACCAAGCUUGGAGAAGCUGGUUUUAGAUCUGUAUACGGGGUAACCUUAUUGUAUUCUGCAAUACUAACAAGUUACUUAGUUUACGCAAUACCAUGACUCAUUUUGUGUGUGUGUAUAUAUAAAAGAAAUGUUUCAAUCGAGAUCUUAGAUUUGUUAAAGUCUAAAGAAGCACUUAAAUCACAUGCUUUAAUAAUGUAACGGCAUUAUGUUUUAAACCGUAUGACUUAUAACUUUUUUUAACUUUAAUAAAGUUUAAGAUUCUAGAUCAGAUUAAUACUCACGGCAUUAUACUUUAAACCGUAGGACUUAUAACUUUCUUAAACUUUAAUAAAGUUUAAGAUUAUAGAUCAGAUUAAUACUCACACAUAUACAUAAAUAUAUAUAUAUAGAGGAUUUUAUAAUCCAAACCACAACCUUAGCCUUAUAAGACAUGUAAGUAAAAAACAUUACAUAUAUUACUUUUCAACAGUAUCAAUAAUUAUUUAUAGAUAUAUGUUGCUGAUUGUUUGAUUUAGGCAUGGAAACUAACGACAUAACAUGUUUGUAGAUACGUGGCAGUUAUUGACAAAGAAAUAUGUUAAGUGAAGAAAAGGCUAAGAGAGAAAUUGUGAAGAAAAAGGUGGAGAGAGAGGGCUAAUUUCUCUUAGUGUUCUCUCAGCUUUUCCUCUACUUAGCACUACUCAUUGACAAAAUAUUUUAAAACUCUUAAAAGGCUAUAUAGUAUAUAUGCACAGUCAGAAUAAAUCUCACAAUUCAGCCAAUUUUAAUGAAUUAUGAUGAUGAUGAUGAAUAGUGAAAAAGUUGUAGAUUUGGGAUUACAGGGGAAUAUCAAGAAAUUUAAGUUAUUUUAAGAGUUUUUAUGGGGUCCGAUAUUUGCUGCAUCAGAUUUCAGAUUUUUAUUCGCCUGGUUGAAGCAAAUUCAAAUUUAGUUAAUUCUCAUUACUAAUUUACACUCUUGAUCUUCCAGCCUUAUAAAUUUCUCCAGUUUGAUUUGAUUUCAUUUUAUUUUUCAUCAAUAUGAUAUGUUUGGUUACAAAGAUUUAAAAGCUGCGUUUAUCAAUUCGCAUUGCACUUGCAAUUACCUGAAUUCGAGUAAUAAUAAGAAAUAAAAGUGGAUCAAUAUUUAAUGGGUGAGAUUUUACAUCUCCAUCCGAACUUUUUAAAGAGCAUAAAACAAAAAAAUUAUAUAUAAUCUAUAUAUGUAGAUAUUAGAUAUGUACAUACAUAUUAUGCUCUUGCUUUAUUUUGUAGCCCAAAAGAAUGACAAGCCAACAGGAAAGUAGUAAUUAGGCAGCAGCCAUAGAUCCUUGCUUGUAUUGCUGUGUCUGGAAGAAAUGUGAAUCCAUACAAGAACCACCUUUGCAUAUAAGAGAGGAGACAAUUGGUCAAAUGCAUAACUUUCUGAACAAGGCAAUAAGAUUGAGCAUCAUGGGCUAUAUACCCUGUGACUUGUCUACAGAUUGCAGAAUUCUCUUGAAGCCAAAGCCUGUUUCACAUUUGUUUUUUUUUUUUUUUUGUUUUUUUCCAUGCACAUUGUGGACCCAUUCCCAUUUGUUGGAAAUUAUGAAAAAUUAUGAUGAUUAAUUAUGAAAUGGAGGUUCCUGACAGUUCAAGAAAUGCCCAAAUUCCCUUUUUUUUCUAAUCAUGUGAAAAGUUAGCGGUUGUUACUUUUUGGACGAAAGGACUAAUGUAUUAUGUGAUAAUCAAUUAUAAAAUAUGAAUAAUUUUAUAGAUUUAAAGCUGACUUUUGCAAUUAAAUUGAAUGUAGAUUGCAAGUUUGCAACCCUUCUUUUUUCACUUUGUCAUCAUCUAAACAAGUUUAGUUUCUGAAUACUGUGAUUAACGUCCAAAUUAGCAUUCAAUUAACUUUGAGGAUGAUUCUUUAUAUUGAAACAAGAAUUUUGGUUAUAGACCUAACUCUUCCAUCCACCAUUUUUGAAAUUUACCAUUGGAGCUUGGUGGGGGUUUCAAUUUUUGUGUUUGAUCUUCUCAUCAUUCAAAGUGUAGAAAUUGACACAACACUAAAAUAUGUUUUGAGGCAAUGUCAAUGAUACGCUCUUACCAGCACUCAAUACAUUAUUGCUCAUGCUACUCCAUUGACCAUGCAAGCUGUUUAGGGCAUUAACAAAAAAAAAAAAAAAGGGAUCAUAGUGGUGGAUUUUGCUGACCCAAAAAGAGCUUUGCUUUUCCAUUGACAAAACUUCAUUUUUAAUUUAUGCUAUUCAUAUUCCCCGUUGUUGACUUCAACAACAAGCACAAAUGAAUAUCCCCUUCUUUUGAGAUUCAAUACAAAACAAUGGCGGCCGUUUUAACAACGAUUAGGCAUAAUUUUUUAUAAGUUGUAGUUGUUUAUUCAUCAAGUGGGAAUAAAAUUUUUUUUCCAAAUGCUUUAAAUAAGUAAAAAAAGAAAAAAAAAAGAUGACACAAGAUUUGGAGCAUUGAACCAUGCGAAAACUUUCUGGCAUACAAAAUUGGAUGGCCAAAGAGUUGCAUUUUCUUGACCCAACAAAUUUGGACAUUCAAAUUUCAAAAAAUCUGUUUUAUAUUUCCAUUGAUUUUGCACCAAUUUACUUGAUAAAGUAACUAAUUUCACAUUAAUUAUUUUUUUUAAUUUCCGUAUUGGGUUUUCUGUAAAAAAAAAAAAACCCAUAAUUAAAAUCAAUUCAGAUUAAAUUAAGAUUUGGCAGAGCUGAGACAACCUAAUGGCACGAUGUUGAAACUCAAAUUUUCUAACGGAUUAGGUCAAAGGUGUCAAAAAUUCAUAUUAUUUAGUUAUUUUGAGUCAGCAUGCAGCGUGUGAUACGUCAUUUAAUGUUGUCCACACUCGAAUUUUUUGAAAAAAGUCAAACUCUAUCCACCAAUCAACAGCUCAGUUCCAUUUUCUGAAAUUAUUGGACCCCGAAAUCCAUUAAUCUGAGGCGAAAUCGCAGCCGCCCAUCUUCGCAUUAUUGUCACGCAGCUCUUGUCAUCUCGUGCCACGGCAUCUUUCAUUUGUCCUGAAGCCCGCACCCACUAAUAUCCCACCAGGGUAAAACAAACUAACUAAUGGGAGAAUUGCUUUCGAUUCCCUAGAGUCUUUGCAUAAUCACAGACGAAGGCAGUCUACUUAUUUUAGCAUAUGUAUGUCCGUGAAUCCACGAAUAAAUGUUUCAUUUUUAUUUUUUUGGUUGAAACCACCAAGAUAGUGAGGGGCUAAGUUGGAUUCCUACCAGUAAUAUAGAUUAAAAAUUGAGAUACAAAAAGAGAGCGACAAGAUUAAAACUUCCAAUGCAAAUGAAAAAGGUAUAACAAGACAUAAAAAGACUCCAAAAAAUAAGCUGAAAAUAAAAUAUCAUUACUUAAUACGCAGGCAGGGCCUUAGAAAUAUCGAAAUAAAAAAUACUAGUCAAACUAAUUGGAAGGUCUCGACAACCUAAAAACCAAUAAUGAAACACAUGCCUAAUUGGUCGUAAAAUUAGCAGUAGAUGUAGCCUCCCAUAACACUUGCCUAAUAAGGAUAGAGAGGCCAAAAAACAGAGCACGAACACGACCAAAAAGAUAAGUAAAAUCCCACCGCGCAGAGCAAUAAGAAUUGAUAGAAGAAAUGACUGUGGUCGAGUCAAACUUUGCCUUAAUCUCAUAAUAGCCAAGUUGAAUAGCAAAAUUUCAAUUCUCACAAACUAUGAUCAGUUUAGCGAAAAGAAUAUGUUGAUGACCCAAAAGAGAUCCAAAGGCAUCUAACACCACACUCCAAUGGUCAUGCAAAAUACCACCAGUAACACGAUUACCUUUAGAAUAACCAUCCACACUCAAAUAAAAUUAAUGAUGUUGAUUUGGAAUUUUAGCCUCAGUUAUUUUUUAAAUAUUCUAUUAUAUAGUAAAUUAUAACGAAUAAUUCAUCAUAUAGUAUGAUAAAAGAUCAACUUAUAUCAAAGUAUUAUAAUCUCAAUUAAAAAUAUAUGCAUUAUAAAUAUGUUAAAACCUAUUUAAAUGUAUCAUAUUUAUUCUUAUAACUCACAUGAAGAACUCAAACGAUCAAACUCAAAAAUAAGAUGUGGAGAUAUCAUCUACUCAACCAAAAAAUGAUUUAAUACCCUUAAGAAAUAUGGAACUAUCGUAAGAUAGACUUUCAUGCAUAUUAUUAUUAUUGCCAGUGAUAAAAAAAAAAAUUCCAGUGGCAAGGACCCUUGUGAAAUAAAAUAUAAAUUGUAUCAUUAUUUAUUAUUUUUCAAAAACUAGGGAUUUAAAUGUUAUUAGAUAUUACCUGAUUGAAUCAUUAAUUAGUAAUAAUUAAACAAUAUAAAAGCAUUAAAAAUAGUGCCAUCUUCUAGAUUAUUAAUUAGUUUCCCAACGACCGUGAUGAUGAUGAGCGUGACAACAACAUAUCAUCAUUAACCACUUUUUUUUUUUAAUUUUGUAAUUUGGAAAGCUAAAACGACACCGUCCAGGUCCGCCUAAUUGAAUAACUAAUCCGUGAUUUAUCUUUUCAAUCACUGCUCUUUCUCAACUAUAAAUACGACUUCUUAGGCUCUCCAUUUUCCAAUCCAUUUUUUCAAACUUUUUUUUCAUAUAUAGAGAGAAAAGUAACAGAGACUCGUCGAAGAAGACUCCUUAAGAGAUGGCAACCAAAGUGUAUAUUGUGUAUGUAAUUUCUCUCUCUAUUUGUUAUUUUUUCUUGCAAAUUAAUAUUUUUUAUUGUUUUAUAUUUACUUAAUUUGCGUUUUGAGAGUUUGAUUAUGUCGUAAUUGUGGAUCUGUUUGUGUUUAGGUUAAUUAACAGAGUUCAUUUACGUAAUAAUAUUGUAUGUUUAUCGUAAUUUCUGUAAUUUUGAUCAUCUUGUGUAGACACUUGGCGGUUUGAUUGUGUUUUUACGAUUAAAAAUCUAUUUGAUCAGAAAUGCAGUUACCGUGACUCGUUCCUCAGCUUUUGAUAAUCGUUUUGGUUGAGUGUUUUUGUUGUGUUUCCUAUGCCUUCUGUUUGUGUGCGUGCCUGUGUAUUUGGUGUCGCGUUGGGAGUGUCUUUUUGAUAUUGUAAAUUGCUCCUGCUGAAAGUAACACUUGAGCUGAGAAAGCGUGAAAUAAUAAGAUAUUUGUAAUGAUAUUAAAAUGUUUGGAGUCUGUGAAAUUCAAUUUUAGAAUUACAUGUUUCAUGCAAUUAUUUUCGAAUUAGUGUAGUGGUGAGUAUAUGUUGAAUAUUCAUAGCUAAAGGAUGUUAUGCUAUAUUAUGUUGUUUUGGUAACCUGGAAUUGGAGAUGUUAGCUCCUAAUGAUAAAUAAAUUUUGUUUCAAAGAAAGGAAGUUAACUGUCAAAUUUUCAUCCAAUUUUCAUUUCCUAAUGCUGUUUUCAGAGUAUGGAAGUAGUAUAGACAUAUGCAUACUUUUCAGCAGUCUAAGCUCCUUAUCGCAUGUCAUGUAGCUAAUUGCAGGGACAACUUCUGUUUGGAAGUAGAUUUAUGGUAUUGCUAGGAUAAGGUAUCUUUAGAGUCAAAAGACUGACCAUUUAGAAUGUUAUGGGCCAAUACAAUUCAUGCUUCAGUCACCCAUUCCACUCUGUUUAUAGACAGCAUUGUUUGAUUGUAAUUCAUAAGUGAGUGUAGUUGAUUUCUCAUUUUUUCAUUUUCUCUUUCGGCUUGUAUUGUGGUAUGUUUAUUGACUCCGUGCUGUCACCAGCUUAUUGACAUGUGUUUGAACUCCAAAGCUUUGAAAUAUUUGCGGAUCUAUAGACCUGCAUAUGGUGAAAAGAUCAACUAAACUGUCUUAUGUGGACGGUAGAGUUAUGCUUUGGAUAUAAUGCACAAUGAGAGAAGGUCUCAUAAAGCAGUGGGUAGGUACCCACGUUUAAGCCAUAGGAUAAGUAGCUGUAGGUAGGGGUGGCCAUUAGAAGUGAUUUUUUCAUGGCAUUGGAUGGUAUUCAAACAGACACGAUAACUUGGCUUAAUAUCUAGUUUAGUUUUCCAUCUUGAUUUCUUCAAGCAACGUCAAUGUUUGCUAUGAAUUUUACUGACAGUUUUUGGCAUCAUCGAUGGCUCAUGCCAGCAGUUAUCCUCUGUGUCUUCUGAUUAUUGGUUCCUCCAAGGUGCCUUGUUCCCAUUUUUGAUCUGCAGCAAAUUAAUGCAAGGACCUGAUUCAGUACCUUACCAUUUCUUAUUCAAGCAUUGUGGGUGGCUGAGGGAUCUUGUUCCAUUCUGUCCUGGCCAGAUAAUGAUGGAUGUGGUUUUACGGACCGACUCUGUUAACUUGGGAGUAUGCUCUGUUUUCUAUAUGGUUGCCACAUUGGUUCAGACUUAUUCCAUAUGGCCUCAUUUUUAUAUGAUGUGUCAGUACUUGGUAAUUGACCAUAGUGGUUUAAUGUUUCAUCAUAACCAGUUGCAGCAGUUAGGGUAACUUAGGACUUGGGACUUAGACCAGGUGUUCCUACUGCUUAUUUUAUAUUUAGCUGAAAACUUUGGCCAUAAUACAUUAUUAAUAACAGUGACAGUUAAUUUAAUGAUUUACAGAUAUUUUGUUUUCUCUCUACUCCUUUGUACGAUAUUUGAUCUGUUAAGAUGUUGUUGUUCUAUCAUCUAAAAUCUAGAAUUAUGUAUCUAUUGUACAAUGUUCUUACUGUUUUGCAAGCAUAAUGUGACUCUUUUUGAUCAAAGUUUAUUGGCAUUGCAGGUACUAUUCCAUGUAUGGACAUGUAGAGAAACUGGCAGAAGAGAUAAAGAAAGGAGCUUCAUCUGUUGAGGGUGUUGAAGCCAAAUUAUGGCAGGUAAUGAUGUUUGCCAUGUUACCUAUGUGUCACAUUCUGUUGUCAAUAAUAAUAUACUAAGUCUGCUAUUUUGUUGUUUGUCUGGUAUAUGUUGCCUUUUUACUGAGAAAGGUUUUGAGGUAAUAUAUUGUUUAGUUGGUUGGCCAUAACUCAUGGUUCCUCCAUGCUUAUUAUCCAUUGUUGUGGUGUACAUUGCCAAAGUAUCUCUGCUGCAAAAUUGUCAUUUUCUGCAGCUAAGCUUCAAUGAGACUGCAAAGUUUACUUUGUUUGUCCCAGUGUCCUUUCUUAACAUCCCAACUGAACCAGUCAUCAAAGUUAUUGCCUUCUUACUGACUAAGGUUUUGAGGUAGUAUAUUGUUUAGUUGGUUGGCCAUAACUCAUGAUUCCUCCAUGCUUAUUAUCUAUUGUUGUGGUGUAAACGGCCAAAGUAUCUCUGCUGCAAAGUUGUCAUUUUCUGCAGCUAAGCUUCAAAGAGAUUGCAAAGUUUACUUUGUUUGUCCCAAUGUCCUUUCUUAACAUCCCAACUGAACCAGUAAUCCUUGUUUCUGAAUUCUCAUACUGUUUAUCUCUUGUUUUAGAACCCAGAUGUGUUUUUUUUUUUUUUUGUGGUUUUUAAUUCCUGCGCUAUUUCCUCAAUAGCAUGUAGUUGGUAAUGAUCCCCAACUGACUCUAGUGUCCAUAUGGUACAGGUCCCUGAGACACUACCUGAGGAGGUACUUGGUAAGAUGAGUGCACCACCAAAGAGUGAUGUACCUAUUAUUACCCCCAACGAACUUGCUGAGGCUGAUGGGUUUGUUUUUGGCUUCCCAACAAGAUUUGGAAUGAUGGCUGCUCAAUUUAAAGCAUUUUUAGAUGCUACUGGUGGUCUAUGGAGGACACAACAGCUCGCUGGCAAACCUGCUGGGAUGUUCUACAGCACUGGGUCACAAGGUGGUGGACAAGAGACUACAGCGUAAGUUCCGAUAACAUGGUAGACUGAAUUGACAUUAUGGAAAUUCCUUGAUGAAACCGAACAAGGACUAAUAGUUUAAGAAUUUUCACAGGUUGACGGCAAUUACUCAGCUUGUUCACCAUGGGAUGAUAUUUGUUCCUAUUGGAUACACAUUUGGUGCUGGCAUGUUUGAGAUGGAGAAAGUGAAAGGUGGAAGUCCCUACGGUGCAGGAACUUUUGCUGGAGAUGGCUCGAGACAGCCAACUGAGCUUGAGUUGGAGCAAGCUUUCCACCAGGGAAAACACAUUGCGGGCAUUGCAAAGAAGCUGAAGGGAAGUGCUUAAAUAUUUCAAUUUACAAUACAACCAUUAGGUGGACUUAUUCCAUUCUUUUCGUCUCUAGAAUUCCCGGUUUCCUAUAUCUUCUGGUUUGCAAACAAUAAAUUCUUGCUUUGUUAUCAGUAUAAGCUUUGUGCGUGUGUCAUAUAGUGGCUUUUCUUCAUGAUAAAAAGUUGCUUGGUUGAUUAUUUGUACUUCUUCUAUACAUUAAAUUGGGAAAUAUUAUUGUCUUCGUCCUUUUUGUCCCUCGUUUCCUACUUGUCGGUGAAUACUUUUGACCAAAGCAUGUAUAGGAGACGAAUAAGAUUUGGUCGGUUACAAAAUUUCAUGAUGUAAUUCCAGCUUGCUUGGAUCAAGCUUGUUCACACUAAAUUGCAUGACUGGAAAUGAAGCCAACUGGAUUUUGCAGAUCAAACCUAAUAUCAACUGAACACUGAUUAUUCUUCAAACACGAAUUGACGUGCACCUAACUUUAGGUAUGUGAACUGUGGAGUCGUGCCUAGUUUUAGAUGUCCACAUGAAAAAUUUACCCGGACGAAGCCGAAAGACAAAACAAAAAAUAAUAAAUUUUAAUUUCAUCGAGACAUCCACGUCUGAACUGUACAUCCCCAUGUGAGUAACCCUUAUUGUUCAACUUAUGUCUUCUUAAACACAUCAUUAUGGGCAUGUGUUUCUGUGUCCAAUUUCUCCACCGUGAACUUCUACUUUGCCCCAGAUUAUGCUGGAAACAGGGUAAGGAUUGAAAAGUAAAUGAGAGUAAAAAGAAGCAUUGGAAUUUUGAUUCACUUAUCCGUAAAAGAUAAUUAUGCUUUAGCACAAGGUGACAGAGAAUGAUUAAUUAGAGAUCUUUGGAAAUAAGAUUUCCCCGGAAUCAGCCGCAAAGUUCCUUGAUUAGGCUGAAAGCUGAAAACAUAAUAAACACAAAUGAUGGCCCAACAAGUGGCAGUGAACUUUUAAGAAGAACCUCAAAAGAAACAAAACUUCAACCACAAAUUUCAUGAUAUCAGAAUAUUUUUCUCUUGCCCAUAUGCCAACAAUGUGUGCAAGAUCCAACUAGAAAGCUUCAAAUGUAGCAGAAUUCAAUACCGGGGCUGGUAGCAAAAUUCUAAGAUGCUGUUGUUGUGUAUCAAACCAAAAAAAAAAAAACGUGUGUAUAAAAAUACUCGAACAAUCAAGCUUAUGUGGCAAAGGAAACAAAUGCAAACAGGCUUCCCAUUGCCUUUUUCUUCAUUAUCUUACGUUUUUCAAUUUAACCCAUGAUACUUUCGAAUGAGUAUUAAACUUUUUUCUACUUCUCAUCUCCUACAUAUGCAACUUGAAUAGGUGAAUAUGCAUAUAAUUUGUACUUUGUACAUGCAUGUGUCAAGCACUAGUGAAGCACAUGCCUUUCACUACUGGUAACGCAUUUCUCACUCCAUUAGUUCUCUACAAUCAUGCUGUUGGGCAGGCCAACAAUUUUGCUUUCCACUCUAAAUUUUUCUAUGCCCAUUUUACCAUUAACCCCUUUGGCAAAAGUGCUUUCCCACAAUAGCAUUGUGGCUCUAGCUACUUGGAAGCACUUUAGUAAGAAAGCAGAAGCGAAGUGUAUAGAGAUUGUACAGUAAAGCUAAAGAUAUCUUCAAUUCUCACACGAAAUACUAUAUGUGUGUGUGUGUGUGUGCCUGUUUGUAUCUGCCUGUUUGUAUCUCAGUAAAGAAAUAGAAAUUUAAAGCUCAAUUUUCAUAAAGCUGGUGCUGAUCCCGGGGCUGGGUUGAAGGAAUAUGUUACAUUAUUUUAUACUCUUUAGCCAAUAGGUGCAAAAGUCGUAAGAGGGAAAAGAAAGUGUGAGAAAUUAAGAGAUGCCAAUCAAGUAGAUUUCAGAAGAAAGAUUUGUUGCUUUUUUUAAAUUCUUCUUCUUUCUUUUGCUGGGGUUCAUGAUUAGUCUGUUGUAUAUUAUAUAUAUUAGGCUUUUAUUAUUUUUUCUGAAAAACCUUUUCUCCUCAAAGAGAGAGAGGUGCCACAGCUUUUAACUUUUUGGGAAUAUUCUUGAACUAGUCUUCACACUUACUCAAAUAUUUACUACUUUUUCAGAUUAGUUAUGACAAAAGAAUCAUCAAUUUUUUUUUUUCACAUUAUAUCUCACAUGUUGCUAUAAAUAAUUAAUAAACCAAUAAAAGUCUAUGUAAGCUUUUCAACCUUGAAGCUAUUAUUACUAUUUUCUCAAAUUUGUGUUUUUAUGUAUGAUUUUUUUUUUUUACGAUCAAGAGAACAUAUAAAAGUAGUAAAGAUAACUCAAACCAAUGAGAUACUAACUUAUAAUUUGCACUCUAUUUGAUAUUAUGAUGUUAUAGUUUUUAUUAAGCUAUCACGUACUGCUGUGAAAUAAUAAAAUGAAAGUUCUAGUUGUCAAGAAAAAAUUGAUGGGUAAUAUUACCAUUUAUUUGGUAGCAUAGUUGCCAAAAGCUGAAACAAAGUCAGCCUAAUAAAAGAUGAUGAUUUCAUAUACUUUUGAUUUGCGGAUGACUAUGAGUUACGUUUGUAAGUUUCUAGCACACUAUCAUAAUUUUGAAAGGAUCAAAACAAACUAUCAUUUUUUUGAAAGGAUCAAAACAAAAUAUAUUUCGAAUUAUUAGAUGAAAGAUAAAAUGUAUGUAAUCAUAUUAUUGUGGUUGUAUUGACUCAACAUCAAGAAUGACAUCAUUGCUUAUCACUAAUCAUGGAUCAUAUGAUACAAAUGCUUUUAGAAUUGUGAAUUCAAAUACACACAUUUAGAACCCUAAAGUUCGUUGUACAGGAGAUGCAAUGAGACAACAUAAGUGUCAACGGUUAUCAAAUGCCCAUUCUUUUGAAGAUAAAACUACACAUGGAUAAUAAUUAUAACAUGUUUCGAUUUAAAUUAACAAGAAAGAAAGAGAUGAUUAAUUUGCUUCUCUUUGUCUUCCAAUGGAAGCUGCUCUAUGUGACCAUUGGAUCAAAAGCACAAAACUCAAAAGCAAUGUCUGAUAACAUCUGCACAUACAUUUCUCCAAUUCUAACGAUAUUAUAAAGCUUUUUUAAAAAAUAAAUAGAUUAAUAAAAACAUGAAAGAAGGAGCUGUGGGUCACUCUCUGACUUCCACUAACAUAUUCCAAACACAUAAACAAAUCAAAAGUGAGAUUUCCAAUCAAAUGACAUCCCCACACUCACUCCUAUCUGGAAUUCAAUUAUUCCCUUCAAUUUUUAUUUUUUUUCCUUUACUUUCUUUUUUCCCUUAACAAAAGCUUACCAAGCUAAAGCUAGUGCCAGCUCUCAAUUCACCUUUAUCAUCUCUAUUAAUGAACUAAUAUAUAACCUCAGCUAUGCUAACAACAGAUGUUCUUCUAAACAAAUCCUAUACUUGAGCACCCUAUUCUCAUCCCCUAAAACAACCUUAAAAUUUCAUAAUUCUUCAAUUAUUACAACAAUUAAUAUAUGCUGCAUAAAUGGUCCCAGUCUAGGGCAAACUUACAUCAUUUUGCUUGUAGCUGGCCCAACAAUUUUUUUCUUUUGUUUCUCCUUUUACAAUUUCUACAAUUCAUUUUUCAAAAUUUCCAUCCCCGGACUAGACAGUUUUGUGGGCAGCUUCUGUUUCCUAUUCUUUCACCAUUCAUCAAUCUUUAUCAAUUCACCCCCCACAACUUGUCUAGGGUUAAUUGAUAAGAUACAUAAAUGUAGCAGAGAAUCAGUUCCUUGCAUAUUGCAUGCCCCAUGUUAGCUGCUUUCACUUUCUUUUUCAUCUAUCUGAAUGUUCCUCCAAAUGUAGGAGUCCAAAAAUCCACAGUGGUCUCAUGAGUGACUGGAAAUGUGCUUGAUACCGGCACUAGACAUAGUCCCCGGCUUCUAAGAUCUUGUUUUGGCCCUUCACUGUCCUUAACCUUCUCAGAAUUCUGCAUAUAUUAAGAAAAAAAAAAUUAUGUGUGUGUGUGUUUUAUCUACUACUAUGUGACCAAAAACAUAUAAUGUAUGCGCUAUGCAAUAAUUAUAUAUAUACAUAUACAAUUUAUGUUACCGGUUGGUGUGGUAUGGGAGCUCCUCCACUUUUCAUGUAUGGGGUACUUAAGACCUGAUAUUAUAUUUAAAGAAAAAGAAAAAUAGUUGAAAGUUGAGGCCACCGCAUAAAUUUUAUGUGAUGAUUUUUUGUUAUUGAUAAUUAUUGCGACAAUAACAAGGUCUUUCUGUGGAUACUUACAGCUACUUGGUCAUGGAGGAAUUUGAUGUAUUCAAUUGCUUCAGAUAGCACUGAGGCUGUAUCAGUCUGACAAAUGUAUACCAAUACAUACAUUAAAACCAAGUCACAAAGAAAAAUCCAUAAAAGAGCAAGAAUAUUUCAUGAUCAAUAUUUCAAAAUAAAAAUUGAUGAGUAAACUUGUUAUUAAUUAAUUACCUUUCCAAAAGGUGAAACCAAUUGUUGGAGUGCAGUGAUUCUGUCCCCCAUCUUCUCUUUCCUCACCUGUAUGAACAAAUUCAAAGAUACAAUAAGCCCUAUCCCAUCUUAUUAACAAAAUAAUUUUUCAACUUAUUAAUAAAUAUUAAUUAUACCUUAAAAGCUGGCAAAGGCGACGCCGGUUGAUCAUUUUUAGCCCUCUUGGAUGCGGGUUCACCUCCACUACUUUUCUUCACUGCUAUGCUGCUGCUGUUAUCUCGAACCUCAGAUACAUGGUGCUGAAAACAAAAACGAUGAAAUUAAUAAAAUCGAAACCCUAAUCUUGAAUUAAUCUAAAAGGAAAGAAAAAAAAAAAUAGAAACAGACAAUGAUGAUGCGUAUUAAUCAAUAACAUUACCUUUGGUUUUUCAUCAAAAGUUUGAGUAGCAUACGGUGUUUGUAAAGAAGGGAAAAAGUUCGGUGACCGAACAUCAUUCAAUGAUGUGGGAGCAGACGCAUUCCAAAACGGUGCGUUGUUAGAGAAGUGAAGCUGCUGCUGCUGCUGCUGCUGUUGUUGCUGUUUUGGCGGUGAAGUUCUCAAGAAUUGAGGCACUUUAUUAUUGUUAUUAGUAGCAGCAGCUGACCAAGAAGGUGAUAGCUCACUUGUGUUCAUCCCAUAGCUGCUACUUGCUGCUGCUGCAGCUCCGUACUGAUAAUUCUGAUUAUUGUCGGACCCUAAUAUUCCACCACCUUGAAAAAUUGGGACGUUGCCGUACAAAUUAACCGGAGAUGAUGAAUCCAUUUGAAAACUCGAAGGCAAGCCCUGGCACGUUACCGUGCUGUCACUGGAGCUCCCGCCGUGAUGAGGACUAAACUGUAUUUGUUGUUGAUGAUCUAGAGAAAACCCUCGGUACCCACUUGUUGAAUUCAUAUUCUCUUGCAGCAUAGAUCGAAAGCUCCCCUCAGAUUUAUCACCUCGGGUACUAAUUAACAACAAAAAAAGAUAAUUAAUUGAAAUUUGUUAUAUACAUAUAGUGGAGUGUGUGUAUACACACACACACACACACACACACAUAUAGAUACUUACACUAGCAAGGCUUGGUUCCAGUCAAGGGAAGAAGGAGAUGAGAGGCCUAAACCCAUCAUUUGCAAAUCAGAAUCAACAGCAGGGGGUUGUUGGAGCUUAUGGGAAUCUUGAAAAACAACUGAACUACCCGAAACCGAAGCCGAAGAAUCUAUAGAGGAUCUUGUUGUGGCUGCAGUAUUAGGUUUGAUGUCAAUCAUUUGAUGAUGGUGAUGAUGAUGAUGAUGAGUUGUGACUGGCCAUCCAAAGCUACUGGUAUUACUAUUGAGACCAGAAGUUGCUGAAGAUGAAGAGCCGCUAUCGAACCUGUUUCUUGAUGAUUCCCACCAGUUUGUGCUCGUGUUAAAUUCAUCUGCCAUGGCUAAUAAAUAUAACAAUAGCUCUUGCUUGCUUCUUGAUCUUCUUCUCUCUUUGGUUUCAAUUUAUUUUUUUGGGAGGUUUCUGAAGGUCACAUAAAAUGAUCGGCUCGCUGCAUAUUUGUCAUAUAUAUAUAUGUGCGUGUGUGUGUGUGUGUGUGUGUGAGCUUGAAGAAGAACUGUUUUUCAGGGUUACUGUGCAAAGUGAAACGAGUAUCUGGAUUAAUGUUUGACAUUUCAGGGGGUUGAUUAGACAAGAGAAAAUUUAGGUCUUUUUCAUUUUGAAUUUCUUUUCUUUUUUCCUUUUCUUAUUAAUUUCUUAUUUUAGAUGCUCUUAAUUAUCCCUUUUUUUUUCAAUUAGUUUAUUUCUUUCAAAUAUAAUAUAAUAUGAACGAGAGAAAGUAAUAUGGUCGAAUUGGCACAACUUUUGCCUAGUAAGGUAAUGCCAAAAAUUGGCCACCAAGGCACAUGGAGCCCAUUUUGGCCAAUCAUAGGCCAGAAUUUCCCAUAAGCUUGUAAGAAACAAUAUUUUGUUUCAUCAUUCAAAUUUUGAUUAAAUUUUGAAUAAUAUUUUUACUUUUCACAAAUUAAUUAUAAUGAGACUCAAGCAAAUUAUUACUUAGUCUAGUAGUUACACUUUCUCACUCAUUCUUGAACUAGGGUUCAAGUACUUGUAUAUGCAUUAAAAGGUUGAUUUUUUUUUUAAAUAUUUAAACGAGUUGUAAGUAGUUCUAACCUAAAUUUUUAAGAAUCUCUUUCUUUCAAAUAUUUAAAGUAGAUCCAACUCAUUCGAACUCUUUCUUUCAAAGAGUUAGAAGUAAAUCUAAUAAAUCUUAUCUGGGCUAGAUUUUCAUAGUACUAAUUUCAGUAGAUUCUUAUUGUAGUUGAAAAAUAUAAUUCAUCAUAUAUUUAUCUCUUUUUUUCAUAUAUAAUUAAUAAUAACAGAGGGAAUUUCUAAAAGACAAGUGUUAGACAAACAACACUAAUGAUUAUUAAUUUCCUACUACAUAUAUAUUCCAAAACUGUUAACUGAAUUUAAAGACCCACAAAUCAUAUACUAAUUACUGCUUCAAGGAAAUUUCAUGCAAGGCAAGCUAUAGCUCAAAUACAAGAACCUUUUAUAGAUUUUGCUUAAACGUCAAGAGCAAUUAAUUGACCUACUAUAAAUAAAAUUACCUCGAAUUCAAAACUCACUUUAAAAAUUUGAAAAGGAAAAACAUAUUCAUUCCUGAUUCUGAAUUAUUCCAACAUCUAUCCACUAUCAUUUUUAUUAAAUCUACAAUAAGGUGGUCGACAAGAAAUUGAGCAUGAUAAGAAGUGUAAAAAUUUUGUUGUUAAAGAUCGCAUAAAUUGUGGUUUAAAUUAGAGCAAUAUCCGUGCCCGGUAAGGCUACAAUUUAUUAUUAACCAUAUGAAAAAAGAAUUGUUGGUGGAUGACUCGAUUUUUAUUCAAUCUAGGUGGUGAAAUUCAACAUUUUCUAAUUAAGGCAGUUUAUAUUUUUCACAACAUUUCUUAAUAAAGUCAAAAAGGAUUUGUUAUGCAUAAUGUAAGUUUGAUUAAAUCUGUAAUUCAGGAUAAGGUACGUCCAUAUUGAACUUAUUUGAUGCGGUUUCCUAUGUGAUUGAAUACAAAGCAUCUUUAAUCCAUCUAAUCAUGAAUACAAAGCAUCUUUAAUCGAUCUAAUCAUCUUAUGCAGACUUGUGUUUCUCUCUUUAAUACAUAGAGAUAAAUUAUUUUCAAAGCUCGAGUUGAGAUGAAUAAGAAUUAAAAUAAAAAAAAGAUACACAAAACAAUUGAAGUUAUAACUCCCAAUAGUAAAAAAAUUAGAUUAUGAUUUUUUUUGGUAGAAAAAAGAUAAACCUUAACUUUGAAAUAAAUUAUAACAAACACGUUGCAAAAUAUUUAUAAUUUAAAACUCAUGUUUCACCUAUUUUUAGUAGAAAAUUGUUAGGAGUUUACAUGCAUGUAUCAUCAUAAGUGUAUACCACCCAUUAGCCAAAAAAGGCAAAUGCAAAUAAAAAUUAUCAGUUGAGUAUCCAAAAAUAAGAAAAUUUAAUUAAGGUAACAAUUUUUUAAGGAAAAAAAUGGAAAAGAAGAAAGAUUAAAUUAAAAUUAAGAAUUGACCACAAAAAUAAAAUAAUAAUAAUAAUAAAUAAAUAAAUAAAGGUGGGGAAAUGGAAAUUGACUAGGUUAGUUGAGUUGAGGUCGAGGCGGCAGAGACUGGAUGACGUCAUGCUUAGAAGGGUAAGACUUUUGGAUCAAAGUCAACGGGUGGGGUCCACGCGGCGUGCACGCUCGCGUGCGACGACACAUGGGUCCCGCAAGCCCUACACUUGCCUCAGAGUCAGAGCCCUGAAAGCGAAGGCGACCCCCUCUCUUUUUGCUUGCCGCCUUAUCGUUCGUUCUUCUUCUUCUUCGUGCUUUCUUUUAUGAUAUUCUUCUAAUUUCCUAAUCAUUUGCACCCCAACCCAUUUUUACACGUACCCCCUUCAUUUUCUUCUCCAUUUCAAAUUUCUAAUAAUUGUGACAUAAUUUAUCGAUUAUUGAAUAUUUUUUUAAUUCAAGGUGUGUUUGAUAUUUCUAUUUGGUACUCGAAGUCUUAAAAUAUACAUCUCUAAAAUGUUUAAUAGACACUUACAGUUGUGGAUUAUAAACUUACAUGAAUGUAUCAUAUAUUUGUAUAAUAAAAACAAAGGCAUAGCAUCACAAUACCAAUACUACUUUCCCAAUAUUAAAAUCUAAUUCAGAGAAUCAACUAAAUAAGUUCUUAUAAUUACAUAAAUAAAGAGACUCGAAUUCUCUAUUAUAAAAAUAAGGAGAGCAUGUACCGAUAAAUUCAACUAAAAAGUUGUUGUCUUGUUGAUUGUAUUUUACUAGCAAAUAACAAGUAGUUGUUAAUUAAUUGUUUCAUUUCUUUCUUUUGUGGGUAAUGGAGGUGGUUGGGCAAGUGAACGGUUUAUGUAGAAAGAACAAGCAAUCCAAUUGAUUUUCAUCACAUUCGCAACCUGGGUUGAAUCUCUCCAUCUUACAACUUGCCCAAAUGAAUCAUUUGAAUUUGGAUCUUCAAACUUCCAAGUGGGUUCUUCAUCGCAUUUGCAUGUGCCCCCCAUGUCUUUCUAAAGGUCUGCUGCCGGCAAAAUAUCAAUUGUCGCCUCACGCAGCAGCAGUGCUUGUCAUUGUCAAUGAUACUGCACAAGAUUCCAAUUUUGAGUUUUUCUCGUUCACAUUCCUCUCCAUCAACCAAAACGCUUGGGAAUAAGAAUUAGCUUUAUAAAUAAUUAGUACAACAUUAAUUAGUUUCUUAGUUUAUUAGCCGAUCGAUGAAGAUGAACAUCCUGUCAUUUGAAAAUUAUUAAUAGUCCUAAUAUAUUAAUUAUAAUUGUUAGAAUUCCUUUAUUUCUAGCUAGGGAUUAUAUAUAAAAGACGAUUAUGUAACAAUAGUGUAAUUAAGAUUGUGGUCAAUUGGUCAUGUGCAUACUAACGUGACAAAAACCAGAACCCUACUUGAAUUUCUUGACACGAGAUUUUGUCUGAUCUCUUUGUUCCUCAUGAAAAGGAAAACAAAAUGAGAAAAAUGAAAAGGCCAAGCAGCUAGCUAGCUUCACGAGAGUGACUAAGAUUGUGAAAGCGCUUCUGACCAAAGCUCAAGAAACAAAAGCAACAAUUUCAGCAGCCAAACACGCCUUACUUUCAUGGCCCAUGUUUAUAGAAUUUUUCAGUCUCACAAAGUGCUUCUAAAAUCUUCGUAUGUCCUAAUUUUUAAAUUUUAAUUAGGUCAAACUCAUUAGUACUCAAAGUAAAACACGCACCGCGUACACGCCACAAUCAUAAUAUUAUAUUAUAUUAUAUAUAUAUAUACACACCCAUACAUGAUGACUUUGGUUAGAACAAUAGUCAAUAGGUACCUAUCAAAAUACGUACCAAAAAUCAAUCUUAGAUUAACUUAAUUACUGGUGCGAUUAAAUUAAAAAUAUCUAAAACUUAGAUUGAUGUGAUAGUUAUUUAUUGUUGUCAAAAAUCAUGCAAUUCUGAAUUGGAAUAUCAUGUUUUGCUAAGUCAAUCAAUUAUCCUAGCUGUUAACAAUUUUAUAAUUAAAUGUUGUCAACUGGUUUACUUUUCUGUUGACUAUGAUAUACUCCUAGAGUCAUCAACCAACGUGAAGCAAUUUGGACGGUCUAGAUUGGUGGGUUUUUAGUUUUACUUUUAACUUACUGAGCUUUCAUUAUUCAAAAGUCAAUUCAUCUUUCAUUUUUAACUUUCUUUGUUUCAUGUCUUAGGUCUUGCCAUACUUUUUUAUUCUUUUAGUUAGACUAAAUUAAAUGGAAGUCUAAAUUCACAGAUUAAUAAUAACAUAUAGUUCAAAGUCUACCAAGCACAGUGCAAAAACAUAAGUCACAUGAAAGUGAAAUCUCAAACCUAAACAACUAUACUUAGGGUCAAUUUGGUAAUGCUGUAAUUUUUAAAAUAUUUUUUUAUAACUGUGCUGUUAAAAUAAUUAGCCGUAAAUAGAUUAGUUGAAAAUUAGGUCAAAUUUAUUUUUAAUAGUGUUGUGAGUUUUAAAAAGCAGUUGUAUGUAUUUUAUUGUUAAACUACUGUGAGAAUAUAAAUGACUUAAUUGAAGAUAAUGUUGAAUGAAAUUUAUUGACACAUUUAUAAAUAUGCAUAUAAAAUAUUUUUUAUUGUGUAUAUAUAAUAAUUGAUAACUAAAAUAAAAUCUCCUACAAACAACCUCAAAUGAUCUCUUAUAAUGAAACUUUGGAGUAGUAAUAAACAUAGGCAAAGCUAAGGUAAAUUUCAAGAAAUUUUAUUAUAAACCGUUAUAAAAUAAGUAAUGUUAAUACUGGCCUUUAGCAUGUUUUUUUUUUUUUUUGUAAUCACAAUAAAAUUAGUAAUGUUCAUAUCAAACUUUAAGAAAUGUUCGUAUUAGUCUUAAUCGAUAAUAUUUAUUGAAAGAGUAUUUUAAUUUAACUUGGAUUAAAAUAAAUUCUUAGGUGUCGUUUGUCUUUUAACUUAAUGACUUAAAGUGACUUAACUUAAUUAAUUAAGUUAAUUAGAGGUGUUUGUUUUUAUAACUUAAUGAGACUUUUUAGAUAAUUUUGACUUAAUAAAAUAAGCUAAUUUUUUUGGCUUUUUACUUAAUGGAGAAAUUUGAAUUAAGUCAAUUACUUACUAAUGUAAAAAAUAUCCAUGUUUUAUAAUUUAUUUUUCAUAUUUAUCCCAAAACUCACCCAUGGACAUUUAGCCCACAUAAAAAUAUCUAUGUUUUUUCUUUCUUAUAUUAUAUACGAUAAAAUUUGAAAUUUAUGGUAUUUUAUAUAUUAAAAUUCUAAAACAAUUAUGUAUUCACUUGAAUAUAGUUUUACUUAUAAAUGUUAAAAUAUUGUGGUAUUUAAUAUAUUAUUUAUUUGAUAUUCAAAUUUAAUAAGGAUACAAAUGUAAAAGUACAUAUUUUCAGCUUUUUCAGUUGAAAAAAACAAACAACUUAAUAUUUAUUUUCCGAGAUUCAGACGAAAAAACAAACAUAUUAUUCAGAUUCAAACAUUCAGAUUUAUUCAUAAUUCAGACUAAUUCAAGUCUAUUCAGAUUUCAGAUAAAAAAACAAACGUCACCAGUUUCACCACUGAUUAUAAAUACCCAAACUCAAAAAGUACUUUAUUUUGGGAAACAAAAGCAAUGUUUGGUAGGUGAUUGAUCAGUGUGAUCCAAGAAAGCACAAUUGGGAGAUAGGGCAAACCCCCCCGUAACCCUAAAAUGCCUAUAAAAAUAAUACAUAAGGACCAAAUAAAAACAAACGGGAACCCUACCACUUAAAGGUAAUUAAAGCAAAAACAAAUUGCUCUUCUCAAUGAGUGAGGGUAAUAAGUCAAAAUAAGUAUAUAAAAAAAUUAGAAAAUUAAAAAAUCACGUCAGGCUUAGGAAGGGUUGGCUGGCUAAGAACUAAGAAGGAUUUUCUCUUCUUCUCAGCAAUUAAGAAAGAGAAUUUAUAUUAAACUGAAUGAUAUUUCCAUUUCAUCAACUUUUUUAAGAAAUCUUUUCACAUGUAUAUUCAUUUUUUUAUGCUGUAUUUCUCUGCCAACUAAUUAAUUUGUAGCCAUUCUACAAUCCACUCUUAUUUUGUACACUCUUCCUACAAAACCAACAAAGAUUUCCACUUUGUGUUACAAGAGCCAAAAGAUAUUUAUAUAAUUUGCUUUCUGAAAGUUGGCUCUCCCUAGUGGGAUAAUGUAUUAUGGAUAGAAAUGUUUAAUUAAAAACUCAAAAUAAUUUAACCAUUACAUAUACAUGACUUUUAAAAUAGAGCCUAUAUCCAUAGUUUCUUGUUCUAGUAAGAUCUACAAAUGGUUUAGUGGCAAUAUAAUACAUUUAAGUUGCUUUACAUUCUCAACAAGAUGAUAAUUUAAUAUAGAAAUGCAAGUCUAAAACUUACUUUACCAACCAAAUUAAUAUGUGGAAUUAAUUCUAAUCUUGGAAACUUGUCCAAAUUCUUGCUAUCCUCACCAACUCCCUCCCUCCCUCCAACAUCAUCACCUAAUUAAGCUCAAAAGUUCCUCUCCCUUGGCUAUUAUUAGUAAAAUUUAUUUGUAAAUUAAAUCAGUUGUAAAAUCAUCUUAACAAUAUUCUUUCGUAAAUUUAUAUGUAUUAUUGUUGGUUGAAUUGAAGGCUUUCGGUGUUGUGUCUAAAAAGACCAUCUCUCUUGUCAUUGACUUUGCAUUGAAAUCUUUGAUUUAAAUAUUGUAUUAUCAAAUUUCAACCAUUAAAAAAGAAAUUCAAAAGAGAGGUUCUAUCAUCUUUAAAAUUUUCAAUAGGAUGAUGAGUGAAUAAACAAAUUGACUAGUGGGCAUGUGUCCUGUCACCAAAUUAAUCUUCAACCAAGACCCUUGGUGGGGUUGACUUAAGAGGGUGUGAUCUUGAUUCUUGACCCUCUUUGAUGAAACAUUCCUUUAGUCUUCAAGUGGACCCACAUUAUCACAAACCUUUGUUAUAAUCUUACAAUAUUUGAAGACUUCAGUUGAAACCUGUUCUGUUGCUUGUCCUCUUAUGCUUUUGUAAAUCAAUAUAUUUUUUUCUUUUGGGUCGGUGAAUUAUAAUUUAUCUUCUUUGUCCUCUAGCUUUAUUAUAAGGUUACAAGUACUAUUCAUUCAAGAAUUAAUGCAAUCAAAAUUCUUCUUUUGGCAGUAACUUUCGAAUUUUUUAUUGAUAGUGAUUAGUGGAACUAUUCAUGUUAAUAAUAUCAAAAAUUUUGAUCCAUAAUAAGAAGGCAAAAGGUACAUCAUAUUUGGGUAAUGUUUAGAGAGGCUGGCAUUUAAGUUCUUGUUAAUGUGAUUUUUUGUUUGUUGGAUGAUAGAAUAGUAAUUUGCAAGUUAUGGAAUUCAUAGUAACACAUAGUUGUUGGGACUCAAUUAAAUUGAUUCAACUAUAUUAAGUUAAACUUGGGAGUUUGGGUCGAGUCUUAGUGGAUUCUUUUCUCAUUCUAAAUAUAAAUUCAUAUAUAUAUUUAGAAAUUAUUUUCUCUCUUACUAGCUUGUGGGUGGAGCUUACUUUUUCUUACUAGUUGGUGGAGGAGCUACUAUUAUUCUAAAUUUAUAAGAAAUUUGUGGACAUUAAUUCUGAAAUGUAUUUGUGAACAAUUUGUAAAGAUAAAACUUUGGGCAGUAUUGUAAUAGUAUUGAAUUAAAUUCUAAUUGUAAAUAUAUCAAUUAUAUCGUAUCCCAUUAAAAAAAAUUAUUGAAAUCUCUAAUAUCAUUGUAAAUAUUUAUCUUUUCAUUUAUUUUUUCUCUUGUCUAUUUCAAGUAUGAAGACUAGUAUUUUAAAUCCCCCACACAAUUUUAAAGGACAAAUUAGUGCCCUCAUGGGGCAAAUAAGAUUCAUAUAUAAUUGGCAAUCACUUACAAUCAAUUAUACAACAUUUUUUUUAAGUUAAGCAUCGUGGGACACAUAUCUGGCCAACAAGUGCAGAGCAUGACUUCAUCUCUACAUCAUCCAAAGGUAUAUGCCCUCUAUUAUAUGGCUAUGAUAAAUAUUUGAAGGACCAUUUCAUAAAAGCAUUUGUGGUGACCAUAGUCUAUAGGGCCAUAGAGAGUAAUGAGCUAUUUUAAAGGGUUCAUGAUUGUGUAAAUUGAAGAAAAGAGAUUGAAUGGACCUACUUCUAGUAUUUUAUUUCUUCACUGCUAAUGAUUGAUAUGUUUAUGUUCAGACCAUUCCUACAAAACAAUACCUGCAAAAAUAAGUUACUUUUAUUCAUUGGUUUAGUGGAUCACAGUCCAUUAGGAGUCUUCGCAGAUCAAAUUUUAUAGAUUGCACAUUAAUUUAUAUCCGACACAUGAUUUUACAGAUUAUAAAUUUUCAAUUCAAUUCAAUUCAAAUACAAUCUAUACAUCUACAGAUCGGAUGCUGAUUUGACUCAAUCCAUAUUCAUCUACCAUUUUGCACAUUGGUUUGUGGAUAAAAAAUUUUUAAUUCUGUCCAAUCUAUGAAUUAAUUAAAUAAAAAAUCUUAUAUAAAAAUAAUUUUACUAUCGAUCAAAAUCAAUAUUAAAUAAGAUUUAAAUUAAUUAAUUAUUUAUAAAAAAGUUAGAAUAAUACAUUCAAAGUUUCAAAUAUAUAACACACCGAAAAGAACAAUUUAAUAUUUGUUUAUUUUCAUUAUUCAAUUAUUUUUAUUUUACAUUAUUAUUGGAUAUGAUAUAAUAUGGUUUUAACGUAACUACAUUUUAACUUAUUUACUUAUUAGCAAGUAGUAACACCACAUUUAUAAGUUUUACUCUUAAUUAAAUAAACUUUUUUUAUUCUUUUUGUAUAUUCGCGAGUUUUUGUGGGUUUAUAGAAGUAAAUCCAUGUUUAAUCCACCAUCGAAUUUUUUACGGAUUAAAUUUUUACAGAUAAGGUGAAUUAAACAAAUUAGAUUAUAUUAUGAACACCAUACAAUCCAUAACAAAAAUUCAUUAGCUAAGCGGCUAAGCCAGACAUAUUUCAAUAAAUUCGUGAGUGCACAACAAAAAACAAUAUUUCACUUUGUACUACUUGGUGAAUUUUUUUUUCCUUUUAUUUUUGAACCUAUUGCUUGAUUAGUUAUAUCCAUUGUGUUUGCUUGUAGAAUAGGUUCAGUCUCAAUGACUCGUUAUUAAAUUUUAAUUAUUCAUGUUAUUUUAAGUUUAGGGGAGAGUUUUUUUUUAUGGGGUGAAAGUAUCAAUUCAGCACAUUGAAGUGACGUGUCCUACCAAUUAAAACUUACUUAUUGGAGCGACAAUGUUUAGAUCAGGCCACCACCAGCUGCCCCACCUCGAGGGAUUUAAUUUUGCGUAUAUACGACCCUUCUAAGUAUUCUAAGUGGCUUAUACUUAGCUUGAGUUAAUAGAGUUGAAGACCCAUCUUGCCAAAUGACCCACAGAGACGAGCCACCAGCGGAGCUUUUAACACCCUUCAAAAAAUCUUUACAACACUCCUUUGAAUUCUAUUCUUUAAAGUAUCCGAACUUAAUCUAUAAAAUAGUAACUCAUUAAUUAAAAUCAAUCAUCUUGUCAUUAAAAUUUCACCUUAAAAAGAGUAGUUCUUUUAAAUUUUUAUUCAUAAAUGCAUAAAAAUCCUAAAAUCUCAAAUUAUUUUGUUUUUGUUACAGAAUUUCUAUCUCCAUUAUUCUAUGUUCUUAAAAGUUUCUCAAAAAAAAAUAAUUAAUUAAAAUUUAAAAUAUAAGUAUAAAUUAUGAAAUAGGGUAGGUGUAAAAAAAAAAUAAUAAUUUAUUUAAGUAUUUAACUAAAUUUUCAUUAAAAAAAAAGACAUUAAUUUGUCUUUGAUUAUUUAGGUGGAGGGGUUUCAUUAAGAAUUUAGAGGGGUCAAACCGCCUACUCAUGAACUAUCUUGUGAGGCCCAAAAAUAAGGAAACUACUCCGGCCCAUCUAGGUCUUAUUUCAAAGAUAAAAUGACAAAAUCACCCUCAGUAUUUGUUAAAUUUCUCACACCGAUACCAGAAAAGUUCCCCCACUUUUCGCGCAAUGGAUCUUCUCUGCAACGCAUACUCCAAUACCUCAGACGAUGAACCCGAGCCGGCAUCGAAACACGAACCCGAAUUACGGUCCAUAUUUUCACCUCCUUCAAAGCGGCCUAGACCCGACUACCCGUAUCCCCAAACAAAGCCCCACCCUCUUCACCGCUCGAAUCAACAGCACUCUGGUCUUCGAACCGAAGCUUCAGUAGCCGGCAGAUACAUGUCAAAGAGAGAGCGAGCACUCUUAGGCCCCGGUAUUCCCGCCGCUACCGACCCGAAACCUGACCCGAGUGCCGUUGUUGCCGCUGCACAAGGUAAUAUUAUUUAAACCCAUUUGCUUUUCUUUCUUUAUAAGAGUCACAAAUUGAAAUGCCUUGUGUAAAUGUUGUGCGGAUGGAUGCAUGUUUGGGAGUGCUUUUUGUGAGAAGCAGUUUUGAGUAGAAGUGCUUUCUAAAGUUGCAAACUUCUACAAGCAAUUGUUUCUGAAAUUACAAAUAUGUAUGUUUUUAAAGUUGGAUGACUGUAGUGAAGCUUGUUAAGAACUGUGUUGAUGAUUUAGGUAUGAUUAUUCAGAUGGUAUAAUGAGAUUAAUUAUCAAAGGGCAUAUGAUAUCUUAUCUAAUAGGGCAAAUUUUUGGGUAUAUGCUUAGCUAACCUUAUUAAUAAUUAUUAAUUUAAUCAUGAAUUUAUGUAGUAGACGUGUUGUAUUGAAGUUUUGUCAUUUUUAAUCCACAAUUGCUGAAUAAUGAAAUCAUUAGCUGUCACGUAUAAAUUGGUACGGGGUUAGUAAACACUAACUUCCAAAUAAAAGUAGCUGCUUACCAAAUACUUUGGCUGUUGUGGGUUCAAGAUUAAGCAGAAACACAGGAUGAGGAUGGGAUGUUAUAAUGAAGGAGACUACUUAACUGGAGUUGAUCGGCAUUGUUUUCAAACUUAAUCAACAUGUGCUUUGUUUAUUAGAAUAUUAGAUUACAUUGACUAGGAAAUAUUAUUGCAUAUAUGUAAGCAAAUGCAUAUUAAAUUAUGUGGAUCCACUGUUUGAUGUAAAGAUUAAAUCUGGGGCUCGAAUGUAGGAGUGUGUUUUCGAGUUUGUACUAUAUCUGGAUCUGCCCUUUUAAAGACUUGAAUUGGUGUAGUAAUAUGCAGUUGAUUGGUGCUUGUGCCAACACAUUUCUAUUAUGUUUGCUUGUAUUUCCACUGAUUCUUAUUUGACUGAUAAAGUGUCUCUUCACUGUUAUAUUUCAUCUUGUUUUUCAGUCCUGGGAAGUAUUUCAGAUGCAUAUCUACGACAAGAUAUUUUGUCUUUAUUGAGACAUCUACCAAAGAGCCAUGUACGACGAAGCAAAAUACCUGGAAGGCUGUCAACAGCUCUUUGUCACCAUACCAAGGCUGUCAAUUCUAUAAAUUGGUCGCCAACUCAUGGUAGGGUCUCAUUAUUGACAACAUGUUGUCUAUUCCGUACUAAAUCAUUCAUUAUUUUCACCUAAAAAAUUGUAUCUUUUCUUCUAAUUGAAAUUAUAUUUUCCCCUUCCCCCUCCCUCCACUAACUUUGAGUAUUCAUAAAAAACUGUUUUUAUUGAUUAUAUUGUUGGCCUUAUUGAUCUGUUCAUUAGAGUUAGUCUGCAGCUCAUCUUCUUGCUUCUGCUGGGAUGGAUCAAUCAAUCUGCAUAUGGAAUGUUUGGAGCAGAGACCAGAAGUUAGCACGUGUGCUUAACUUCCAUAGUGCAGCUGUGAACGAUGUAAAGUGGUCGCAGCAAGGGCUAUUUGUGCUUUCUUGUGGCUAUGACUGCUCAUCAAGAUUAGUUGAUGUUGAAAAGGGGAUAGAGACACAGAGUUUCAGGGAGGAACUGGCCGUUAGAGUAGUAAAGUUCCAUCCAGAAAACUCCAACCUCUUCCUUUCUGGGGGAUCAAAGGGCGCACUCAGAUUGUGGGAUAUCAGAACCGGCAAGGUGGCACAUGAAUACAUUCAAAGCCUGGGUCCAAUUCUCGACGUUGAAUUUACCAUUAAUGGAAAGCAAUUUGUCUCUUCUAGUGAUGUAUCUGGAUCCAAUAUGAGUGAGAAUUCCAUUGUUGUUUGGGAUGUCUCGCGAGAGGUUCCUUUGUCCAAACAGGUAGUUGACUCCUUCCUAUAUGUCUACGUCACUAAAAGCUUUAUUUUGAUUAUGUCUCUUAACUCCCACUCUCUUCAUGAAGGUUUCAUUUUCCUUUUUUUAUCUGAGUAACACUCAUUCAAACCCAUAAAUAUGUUAGAAAAAUUAUUUUUGUGCUUACAAAAUCCCUGAACAUUGAUCAAAUUCUAGCUUAAAGUGAUGAAUUAACCAGGGAGCUAAUUUUGUAGACAAAUAAUGGGUUAAAUGAGAUCUUGAUCAGUAGAGAAUCAAGGAGAUCUUCCCUGCAUUCCCAUUAAUAUGAUUGCCCAGUAGGACUCUGUGCUGUUUGCAACUUCUCAGUUUUUUUAAUUUCACCCUUUGUUCACGUUCUUCUGGAUAGACAAAAGUAAUUAAUGGAGUUUCAAUGCAUGAUCAGUUUCUAGUUUGCAUUGUUAGCUACAAGCUUGAAUAAAUUAGACAGCCAUAGCCUGUCAAUUGUCACGCACAUGUGUAAGUAGUGGCAUUGCUUAUUUUGUACAAAAUAUAAGAAUGACUUCUAGCAAUGACUCGAAUAAAUAAGUCCUGUUUAUUUGCAUAUCAUAGUGUAAUCAACUGUAUAUGUUAGUCAAUCCAAACCACAAAAAGUCAUGGCAUUUAUUUGAGGCUGGAUGUUAAUAUGCUUAUUCUAUUUUCUAUAGAUCCAAUGUCACCUUCACAAAAUUAUUUCUCAGAACAAUGAUACAUGCACAAUCAGUUUUUUGGGGAAAUAACAAAACCUAGCAAAACUUAACUGUCCCAGUUGGCAUUUGUUUGCAGUGUCUUUUUUUAAGUUUCUCCUCCUGAAACAUUUAUCUUUUUCCUAAAGUCUUAGCCUCAUUACAUACAUGACUGAGAAAAUUGAUUUGUUUAUUCUUUCAUGUGUGAUGUGGAAAUUGAUGACUGAAUAAUUUGUGUUUCAUGUGUCAGAAUUUAUAUUCAAUGUGCAUGAAUCGAUAUUUUAUUAGCUCUGCCUUAGCUGUUUGACAAUGGUAAAACUUUUGACAUUUGGAGUGUUGGAUUAACUAGAAUUACUGUCUAUAGUAUAUUUGGAUAUCUAUAAGUAAAACCUCUCUAUAGCGAUGCUCUAUAUAAGAAUAACCUCCAUGUAGUCAUAAAAAAUUCUGAUUCCAAUUUGGGCCAAUUGUAAAUAAAAAUAUACUCACAUUUGUAAUAAGUUAUAAUCAUUUUGGAUCCCGUCUUAAAUAUUUUGUCUCUACAUUGUAAUAAUUAUCUAUAUAUUUGCAAACAAAUACAUGCGAUGUUACAUUAUAUGUUUAAGAUGAAAUAAAAUACUUUUCUUUGUUACAAUAUACGGUAUUUAAAGAAUUUAUAUUGAGAGAAAACCAUUAAAGAGACUGCAAACAUUUAGACUUUUAUGAUGAUUUUUCAUAUUCCCAUCACACCAUAGGUACAUGAACUAGUUCUUUGAAACUAUGUUUGUCUCUUUUAUCAAUGUUUAUACAUUGUAUUUGAUACACUGUAUUCCCCAUUAAAUAAUAAUUAAUGUAGUGCAUACUUGACCUCACCAAGGAUAAUUGAGUCAAAACAAUAAUUUUUGUAACUACACCUCUAUUAAAUUAUAACCUCCUCAUAGUAAUAAAAUUAGUUCGAUCCCAAUAUUAUGACUGCAAAAAGAUUCUACUGUAUUACUUGUUCAUACAAACUAGGGAAUUGUUGCAGACAAAAUUUUAUAUACGAUUGUGAACAUUUGUCGAACUAGGAUAGCAAGUAACAAUUCUGAUUUUCUGAUCUUUUCCUCUCACUUGCUCAUUGUUUUUCUUCUGUACCAGGUUUAUGUGGAAGCUUAUACUUGUCCCUGUGUUAGGCACCAUCCAUUUGAUCCUUAUUUUGUUGCACAGUCGAAUGGGAACUACAUUGCAAUUUUCUCUUCAACUCCUCCUUUCAGGCUAGACAAGUCUAAGAGAUAUGAAAGCCAUGGCGUAUCUGGGUUCCCAAUCAAGUGCAGUUUUAGCUUGGAUGGUGAGAAGCUUGUUUCAGGCUCUUCGGAUGGUUCUAUCUACUUUUACAACUGUAGAUCAUCUGAGCUUGAGAGAAAGAUCAAGGCAUAUGAGCAGGCUUGUAUAGAUGUUGCUUUCCAUCCUAUAUUACCUAACAUAAUUGGAUCAUGCAGUUGGAACGGAGAUGUUUCUGUGUAUGAAUGAGACAAGCUUAUUCAUUACUUCAUUUUGGGAGUAACGAAACUUUGCAUCUGAGGCCUUGUGGUGACUUGGUCGACUACAUAGCAACAAACUCCUAAAAACUUCCUAAUAAUCUCAGUUUCUUCAUCUAGGACAUUCUUGAUAGUUGCAAGCAGCUUAAGUUUGUAAAUAUGCUCAUAUUCCAUAAUCGACAUUCCAAGUGAAAAAUAUCCACGGAUGAUGAAUGCUCAUUGAGUUCAGGACUCGAUGUUAAAGAAUGUUUUGGCAUUGCAUAGGAUAGAAGAUUUACUCGAACUGUUACCUUUAUGUUCGUUUCUUGAAACUUGACCAGGCGACCUGGCUCAUACUGCCUGUUGAUUCUGGGUUAUUUUUCAGGUUCUUAAACUGACUUGGUAAAUUAUUUUGGCAAUUUAUUGCGGAAGAAGAGUUUUUGAUAUGGUUUCUGAUUAUAUCUCUUGUAACUCUUGGUUCUCGUUAAGUUACAUAAUAGUAGUGCAAAUAAAUCAAGUGUCUUUUAGUGGGUAUGACUCUCGGGCUGAUGUAAGUUAAUAAAUUGUGCAACUUAGACACACCUCUCUUAUAAAUCAAUGAUCAAUGAUCAAAAUGGCAAUCAGGAAGUUACAUUUCGAUAAAUUUCAACAAGCUGGAGGGUGAGCAGAUGAAUUAUGAGGAGCAAUUAAGUCGCCGUUGACACAAUGUUGUAUUCUCAUGGGAGAUUCUGUAUGAUUUUUUUGGGCAUAUAUGAAAAUCGAUAUUGAUUCAAGGAUGGGUCUAUUCAAGCAAAUGCCUGUAACUGUGAACUUGAUUACCAUGCUUUUAAUAACUUGAUGACGAUAAGUACAGAGUCUCAAUCCACGAUCUAUGUGGUGGCCCGAGGGCUUAGACCCAGCUAGGUUGGAAAAGUUUUCGGAAACAAGGAGGGUCUUUACUAAAAUUUGCCACAUUUUUAUGUGUAAUAUUUUUACCACCUUAAAUUUGUUGUUUCUCUAUUACGAUCCAUUUUGAACCGGAAUCUUGAUUCUGCGACUGAGCACAUUCGGUAAGAAUGAAUUUUCAUCGAAAGUCAAUAAAAUAACAAACCGCAUUCAAAAUUUGAUCUUUACAUUACAAUUCUGGUACCGAAAGACUCUUAUACUGGCUUUAAAUGUGUGUUAGUAGAGACCUUUAUAAAUACUUGCCACUUUAGUAUAAAAACGAAUAAAAGAAAAUAAUGGACAAGCUAUCAAAUGUGUGAAAAUAGUUCUAGUUAAGUGGCAGAGUGGCAGCAACAUAGCUAGCUCUUGUUCAUGUCCAGAUGCUCCCAACCCGUACCUACCAUCACAUAUACACAUAUAAGCAGUAGAUAUAAUUCAUCACAAGAGAAAAUGUAGGUGGGGGCNNNNNNNNNNNNNNNNNNNNNNNNNNNNNNNNNNNNNNNNNNNNNNNNNNNNNNNNNNNNNNNNNNNNNNNNNNNNNNNNNNNNNNNNNNNNNNNNNNNNNNNNNNNNNNNNNNNNNNNNNNNNNNNNNNNNNNNNNNNNNNNNNNNNNNNNNNNNNNNNNNNNNNNNNNNNNNNNNNNNNNNNNNNNNNNNNNNNNNNNNNNNNNNNNNNNNNNNNNNNNNNNNNNNNNNNNNNNNNNNNNNNNNNNNNNNNNNNNNNNNNNNNNNNNNNNNNNNNNNNNNNNNNNNNNNNNNNNNNNNNNNNNNNNNNNNNNNNNNNNNNNNNNNNNNNNNNNNNNNNNNNNNNNNNNNNNNNNNNNNNNNNNNNNNNNNNNNNNNNNNNNNNNNNNAUGCUUAACUUAAACCCAAAAAACACAUAAUCAUUCAAUUUCCUUUCCAUUCUUCGUGCAUGGGGGGUCAAUUUUCAAGGGGACAAACACAUGCCACCUCCCUUUUUAGAUGCGUUUUCCUGUUUAAUUGCUUUCAUUAACACUUUCCAAACUUCUCCCCCCCUUCCCCGUAUCUUUCAACAAUCAGCAACACCACCUCACAAAACACAAAUAGGAGACAAAAUUAUAAAGUUAUUGUUUCAAAAACUGCUUAUAACUCCAUUUGCCCGUGGCACUAUCUGGACAAGCACGCAUUUGUUCAAAACAGUACAUGGUCCACUAGCUCACUCUUGAGACUGUUGAUAUUGGAAAAUAGGUCAAUCUCCAAUCCAUUUAUUUAAUUUUUUCUCAAGUGAGGAACACAUUUGUGCAAUGUAGCUAUGAGCAUAUGCAUGCUUAUUCAUUUAUAUAUUAUUUUUCAACUUUCACAUGAAUAUGUUCCCCACCUUAAUUGGUCUCAAAGUUGGUAAAAUUCUAAAAAUCUAUCUCUUUGUCACCCACAUUUUGUUUUUAAAAAAACAAAAAAGUUGUAAAACAGAGAAGAAUGAACGGAGCAAGAAAGAAAGCAAAUUAAAUUAAAGCCCCCCCGCAUACACUACUAGAAAAUGCAAAUGAGUGCAAUCAUAAUCUAAAAGAGAGUUGCUUUUUUUCUCAUUUGAGUACUUCACUUGUGUGGUCAAGCGGGUGUUCGCAAGAAAAAGGACCCACGAGUUAGCCUGACUAGAGACAUGAAAAGAUGGGCUGAAAGGUAUUAGCUAAGCAAAUUGAUCACUUGGAUUGGACAUUAACUCCCUUGGUCUAAAAAAUCGAAAUCACAUUGCUUUUUGAUUAGGAAACCAAAACAUAACAAUUAAAAGAGGAAUCUAGGACUAAUUCACAAUUGCUUAACGAUGGAGAAUUAAAUCUUUGGAAUCACAAAGAUUAUAAAGACACACUAAAAAGUCAUCUUCAUUAUCUUUUGCUAUAAAUUACAUUAUUAUUAUUAUCAUUAUUUUCAUCCUUUCUUUUUUUAUCCAUCUUGUCCUUGCAUAAUAUUUUAUUACUCUUUUAUUUAUUUAUUUAUUUAUUUUUCCUUCAACUUUAAUUAGAUUAAUGUUUAUCCUCUCCUAUAGCUGCUACAUGGUAGACCAUAAUCAAAAUGUUUUAGUGCCUCAAGACACAAAGUUUAACAUAUCACUAAGACCUCCAAUCUCAGCCCUAAAAAGUGAGCCGACAAACUCAUUUUAUUGGAACAGUCAUGUGGUUUGUGGCCAUGCCCCAACUCGCCCAUUUGCUUAUUGCUUCUUUAAUUUGCUGUUGUAUCCCAAUGCCCCUAAAUUUUUAAUAAAUUUUGGGCAAAGAACCGAUCAUGAUUUUGUUAAUUCCCUUUUUAGGUUUUUACCUAUUUGGGAAGUAUUCCUUAUAGGGUCUUCAUAUUGCAGGCCAUGAAGUCAUUCAAAACAAGUGCUGGCACACUUGACACUACAACAUUUUUGGUUUAUAAUAUAUUAAAAUUUGAUCAUUUUGCUCCACUCUACACAAAUUUGACAAACAUGCAUGAUUAUAAUCUAAGCCUCACUAACUAGUCAGAAAUAUUUAUUGCAGUAAUGAUAUUGUAAAAAGUUAGAUGGGGAUAUAUGUUUGAUCUUUGUCACCAAUUUCCUAUAAGCUGAUGAGUCCAGCUAGAUUGGGCAUGGUCAGUUUAUUAGAUUCUCUGUGUCAUCCUUGCUUUUUAAUUUAAAAAGAGAGAUUUGAUUUCAGCUUUUCCAUUACCCUUUUUUUUUUGCCUUUCUAAUGCAUGGCAUCAAGUCACAACUCCUAGUAGUCAACUAAUUUUUAGCCUGUAGUUUAGAACUGUUUGCAAAAUUAAUUUAAUCAAAUUAAUUUUUGUUCAAAGUUUAAGUAGUAAUGUAUAGGAGUCUAUAUGCCUAACUUAUAGUAAAAAGAUAAUUCACGAGUUCAGGACUGUUUGAUAGUCUCUUUAUUGAGCAAAUAUUAAUUAAUUUCUUGUUCAAAUAGUAACAUUCAAGAGUUUACGUCUCUAACUUAUAGUUAAAAGAUAACUCAUGAAUUUAGGAUUGUUUGCAAUAUUAAUUUAAUCAAAAUAAUUUAUUGUUCAAAGUUUAAGUAGUAACACAUGUGUCUAAUCUUGUUCAAAUAGUAACAUUUAAGAGUUUAUGUUUCUAACUUAUAGUUAAAAGGUAACUCAUGAAUUUAGGAUUGUUUGCAAUAUUAAUUUAAUCAAAUUAAUUUCUUGUUCAAAGUUUUUAAGUAGUAACAUAUGUGUCUAACUUAUAAUUAAAAGGUAUCCCAUGAAUUUAGGACUUCUUUAUCCCAAACUUAUAUAUUUAACUCAAAUUUUUUUCUUAGUCAGGAUGAGAUUAUUUACUUAACAACCAACACAACAAUUUGAGAGUUAGAUCUUUUUGCAACCCAAUAACCAGAAUGCACAUACACAACAAUGAUUCUAGAUUGUUCUACCAUAGUAAGCAUUGACGACUGAGGCAUCAACAGUUUUGUUUGCUUAAUUUUUGGGCCACUUUACCGACAAGAAAUCCGUGCACAGUCAGUGGAUAACAUGUAACAGAGCAGAGAGCUCCCCCAUGAUCACUAUUGCAAGCAAUGAGUUGAUCAGCAAGCAACAAAUUAAAGGUGAAACACAAACUCACCAAUUCCUCAUUUGGGUAAAAUCACUUUCAAUAAAGCUAAAGCAACAUUAACAUUACAUUACACACAGGCACGUCAAAAAGUAUGAGGCUAACAUAUCCACAUCACACAAAACAUUCACUGAUUCACCGAACCCAUGAGAGUUCAUGAUAUUUGAUUGAAAACUGUGUCAGAGAAAAGAAUAUAAUGAAACAUACAUGUGUAUGUGUAGCUUAAUUUAUUAAUUCUGGGGUAGUGGGCGAUCAAUUUCGAUAGUGAUUUUCACUUUACUGAAGUUAUAGGGGUUUCUAGCUAGCUAGGGUUACUAGGGUUACAUAUAUACGGUGCUUGGUGCAUGGAUUGGCAUCAUAUCUUAUCCAUAAAGUUAAAUUACAGUUUGUUAUUUUUGUGCUUUUUGGUGAGAAUAUAUAUUGCAAGGACAUGUCCGGAAUGUGUUGUACGUGCCAAAGUACCAAGCAUUAUCCAGUGUGUGUUGCGGCAAUGCAUUGUCACUUCAUUUUAAUCUUUCUAACAUAUUAUGAUGGUGAUGAUGAAGAAGAUAUCGAUAACGGUGAUAAUGGUGUUUGUGUCGGCAAGCCAAAAAAAAAAUAGCUUGCAAUAUUAAUUGGAAGAUUGAUGUGUCUAUUUAUUUUUUCCUAAAUUUAGAGGAGCGAUAAUUAUUCGUAUAAUGAAAAAAGCAAUGAAAAAUUAGCUAGAUCAAUGGAUAAUAUUCUAUCUUUUAGAGAAUCUCAAAACUUUUUAAAUGAUGUUAUUAGCAAACAGGAACGACCAUAAACUAGCUAUAAGUGAUAAGACAAUACUAGCUAGGGUUAUCUUUAAACUUAGUGGUAUAUGAUAGCCCCCCCAAAAGAAAAAAAAAAAAGUUUAUGAACUUUAUAGAUUUUAUCAAUAAUUGGACAUUUAGAAGAAUGCGUUAGGUUGAAUAAUAAAGGUAAACGUGAAUCAAGCUUCUAAAAUACCAAUUUAGACUGCCGAUUUAUAUACAUAUACGCAAGGCAACGUCGUUUCUCCGAUGGUAAUAUAUACAAGUCCAAAUCUUGUUAAAAUAGAACAUUUGUAUCGAAAAACAUUAUGUGUACAUAUUAGAUUUAUCCUAUAUAAUCUCAUAAUAAUUAGUUUCAAAAGAGAGAAAAAGAAGGCCGCACGCAAGUGACUCAAAAAAAAGAAAGGCAUGGCCCGCCAUUAAUGCAAAAGGCUCACAAUGUCAAACGGGAUACUCAAUUUAUAAGUAGCCGAGGGGGGAUAGGAUUUGAGACAGAAAGAUUUAUAAAGAAUUUGCAGUGAAACUUCUUGGAGGCUUCAACAAAUGCCACAUUUUCUUUACUUUGGCAACAUGUUUCAAACGUUUCAUGAUUUUGCUACAUGAUAUCUUUUUUCAUCGCCUGAACAAACGAAGAUAAAUUUAAAGAUAAAUAACAUAUGUUCCAUGUACAAUUAAUGAUAGGUCACUACUCACUAGCAAUCUAUUAUAGGGCAUAUUUGCAUGCAGCUGUUGUCUUCUUCACUCCUUGAGCCCCAUCAUUGCAUAGACUUGGAAGCUGAGCUUUGGUCUAGUCUUAAUUAAUUUUUAAUUCUUUCUGGGGGGUGAUAUUUGAAAAGAUGAGAUAGAAAAUGAAAACACAAGCUCCAAUAAGCGCUUUUGAAGUGUCAAAGGAAAAAAGCAGCUUUCACCCUUGACCAUAUAUAUAUAUAUACACUCUAUAUAUACUAAAGAUCACUUUGCAUGUGAUUUACAGACAAUUAACGUACUUAAUUUAUUUGAUCAUUGAUUGUAAGUAAUGGGAAAAAAUAUAUAUAUAUUGUUACGUAGCAGCAGGAUCCUGCCUUAACGAUGCAGUGAUGAUACAUCCCUUUAUUGAUCUGAUAAAAAUGUCUUCAAUUAAUUUGCAUUAUCUUCCCAUAUUAACCCAUUUGAAAAAUUUGAGAUUUGGGACCACAUUAUUAUCUUGAUUUUGUUGUUUAAUUUUCACUUAAUUAAGGUGUUUUUAAUUAAUGGUGAUUUACUAUGUGCUGUGGGCUGUAAUUAGGGCAUAAACUGUCAGCUUUCCCUCGUGCUACAAGAUCUUGUUUCUGAACAAAUUUGGUACCCUACACACUGCACGUUGCGAUACUAUGAUUGAUCAAAUCCAAACCACUGUGAACACUUAACAUAUGGACCUUAAUUUAAUUAAGUUUUUAAUUAAAUAAGCGUGUAGCAACUUGUAAUUCACGUGCCUGUGCUUAUGUAAUUAUACGACUUAGGUUGAUAAUUGUAUGCAUGAAAGGGUUCUUAAUGAACCUACACACAUCAUUUUGCUCUUAACUGUCUAAUUAAUUAAGAAAUUCUAAACCCAGCACUGUAGGUAAUUAUUUAAUUUAAGGGAAAUUAUCAUUGCACUACCUUUAUUUUACAUUAUGUUCAUCCAACCACUACAAAAUUUUAACAUGUACUUUGCACCAUCUUUUUUUUCACAUUUGUAUCAACUAGCCACUUUUGCAUUAACACUAUCAAAUAAUUUUAAGAAAAUAACAAUUUUACCCCAAAUAAAUUAAAAGACUAUUUUAUCUUAUAAAAACUUUUAAAAUUAAAAAUUAUAAUCAUAAAAAUAUCCAUAAAUUUAAUAAAAAAUAAAUCCCAAAUAGAGGUGAGGGAUAUUUUUAUCAUUAUAAUUUUUUUAUUGUUUAAAGUUUUUAUAAAAUAAAAUGGUUUUUUAAUUUUAUUUGGGGGUAAAAUUGUCAUUUUAUUAAAAUUAUUUAAUAGUGUUAAUGCAAAAGUGGCUAGUUGAUACAAAUGUGAAAAAAAAAGGUGGUGCAAAGUACAUGUUAAAAUUUUGUAGUGGUUGGAUGAAUAUAAGGCAAAAUAAAGGUGGUAUAAUGAUAAUUUCCCUUAAUUUAAUUAGACUGAAGUUUAAUAUCUCAGCAAGCAUUUAAAACUUUGAAUGUACAUGUGCGAUUACUUCAAAAUUAAAUGAAUGCUCGGUGCAACUAAAUACUUCAAAACAGAUAGGAAUUAGUUUUAAAACAUUCUCAAAUAUUCUCUUAUGUGACAAAUACCAAGUAUUAUUAUUUCUAAGAGAAAUUGACUACAUAAGAUAUUUGAACUUAUUUAUUACCCGAAAAUGUAAUUGAUCAAUCACUUACUAGUUUUCUAUUUAUUUAUUUAUUUUUAUUAUAUAAUAUUCAAUAGAAAUUGGAUCUAGUGUUGCGUAUAGGGUUCGUAGAAUUCCCUGAAUAUUGAUCGAGAUUCGGGAUCCCAACUCGUUCGAGAGAGGAUUUAGUACAAAAUUUUGUCUAGAUUUGCUAUUCGGGUCAUAAUUUGAGACUCAAUUUUUUUUUGAUUCAUUGUUCAAGAUGGAAUUCGUGACGUUUGAAAAUCUCAAUUAGGAUCCCAAAUAGCUUGACAUCUAGGUUUCUAGGACAAAUCAAUUUGAUGAAUCACAUAGAUCUAAAAUGUCGGUCAUAUGUGCCUGACAAGUCAUUUUGAUAAAUAAUAUAUAUAUGACAUGUCGAUUAUAGGAGUAUAACAUAUGUUUACGACAGAAUCUAUAAUGUAUGACAAAAAACUCAUGUCAUCUAGGACAAUUCAGGAUCCAAAUCAGAAUUCGAGAUUCGAUCGAGUUGGAAUCGAGACAUAUUUUUUGCCUGAUUUACUAUUCCAGACAGCUAAGGGUGGGCAUGAUUUGGUUCGGAUCGAGAUUGAGUAGAACCGAUUAAAAUCGGUUAUUUUAUAAUAAAAAAAAGAACCAAAUAAGAACUGAAUACAAUAAAGAACCGAAUAUAAAUCGAUCCAUUCGGUUCAGUUCUGUUUUUUCGAUUAUGGGCCUAUCGGGCCUGUUUUGAAUUUCAAAUUUUUAGUCCAUUAGGCCUUAUUAAUGAAAUAAUUUUUCUCAGCAAUCAGUUCAUUAUAGUUUCAUUGCAAAUACUAAUAAUAAAAAUAAAGAAUUCAAAGCACAUUUAUCAAUACUGUCUUACUAACUAGUACUAACAAAAUAUGAAAUAUUGAGAUUUAAGAAUACAAAUUUAGAUUCCAAUGCUCCAUCUAAAUAAACAUAAAUUUGUAAAGAAAAAUAAAAAUAGCAAUAGUUGCACCACAAAAUAAAAAUAACAAUUGUGUGUGAAUAUGUAUAUUGUAAUCAUUUUGCAUAACCAAUUAACAUAUAUUUAACACAUUUCAUGUUUUGGUAAAAUUACAAAAACAUCCUAAUUCUUCGGUUCAGCUGAGAGAACCGAAUCUAAACUGGCAUUUCAAUUUUUUCUUAUAAAUUGGAUAUUUAGAUAUUUAUAAAAAUUAAAACUUAUCCGAACCCGAACGAAGCCACCAGUUUAGUUCGGUUUGGUUUUUCCUAAGUCUCAAUUUUUUUUUGCCUAGUGCUACGAACAACAUUCAGGAUAUUUUGUCCCAAUCAUUCUAGACAGAAUCACGAUAGGUAAAUCUUGGCCAUCUUGUCCCAUUACCACACCAUUAGUACAAACUUGAUCAGGUACAUCCAACUUGUUACAUAGUAAAAAUUUAUUAAAUCAAAUAAAAAUUUGACUCUGGUACCUUGGAUGAAGAAUUGGUGCCGUUAAAUAUUAGAAAAUGUAGAAUUAUCAAGCAUUAAACCUUUGAUCAAUUAUUGAUGGCUCGUAUUUUUGAAGGAUGUACAUGUAUUGUUGAAUAUUAAUUUCUUAAUGCCAAUAAAAAAAUAAAAAAGGUCAUUGAAAAAGUUCUCAAAAAUAAAAAAUUUCCACUGAUUAUUUAAAAACAAUAAAAAUAAGCAUCCAUUGACCAAAUUAUUGAUCAAUUAAUCCAACAGGUAAGGAAGAACAGUAAGAAAGCUGGAAUAAUGGGGGACAGGAUAGAAGGGCAAGGAUUUGAGGUUCUUAAUUUUUUUUUAUUUUUUUUUAUUUUACAUUCACGUCUUUCGAUUUCUUUUAUUCUAUUUUCCUACACCAUAUAUCUCGAGAUGUUAAAACUUUUUAAAGAAAACCUUUUAACAAAAAAUAUAUAUAUAAAAAAAAUAAAAUAGAAGUAUCUUGCCAAAUAAAAAGUCAACGGUCAAAGAUAUGCAUUACUGUCUCCGUCUCCCACACACACCCCACAUUCUCACCGCAACUUACUACAUCAAGCACUAAGCGCGCCCCAGUUGGGUGCGGUCCUACCCGCCUCGGUGCACCCGCCCUCCCUCAAUCCCUCCUCCCACCAAGCAUAUGGGCCCCACCGAAUUCUCCUUCUUUUUAAUCAUAUUUUAUUUUAUCUUUUUUAAAAAAAAAAUCAAAAGCCUAAUUAAUUUUGUUGUAGCGGUUCUAGCCAUCGGAUCAUAUUACCGGUCGUGUGAGUUGACCGGUCAAUGUGAGGCACGUGACGGUAUUGACUUGGAAGACAAGUGGCGACAUGGGCAGGGCUGGUACACGUGGCGAAACUGGAGACAUCCUUGGUGGAUGACGUGGCACUGAUGUCAACUUGAUUGGGCUGCCUUUUUCACCCAGCAACUUCUCUUCAAUUCUGGGGGAUAGGACUCAUCAGGACAUGGUGGAGCUGUUCAAACUUUCGGUGAUUUUGUUGUGACGUGGCAUCUUCUCGCUUCUUUUGAUCGUCGACUCAAUUAGUUAUUGAGUAAUUAACAUGGAUCAUAAGUUCAAUUUAGUGAGAUUAACCCCUUCUAAUUACGACAUGGGUAUUGACAUUUGGGCAUUGAGUGUGUUGUUGCCAUACAUUUUUCUUUCUUUUUUUUUUAAUUUUGUGCUUUGACAGUUUGACCUCAAACAAGCAAAAGUUUUAGGAUAUACGUUAGGCACCAAAAUGCAUACGCAUGUAGUUUUUUGAUUCGUUAAUAUAUGCUGCAACAUCGUUAUCAUUGCCAUUUCUUGAAAAGCAAGUGAAACUAUCAUACAGCUACCCAAAAAAUAAAUAAAUAAAUAAAAAGUCAAUCGAGGUUUUGUUUCAAAAGGUGCAUGCGUUAGUGAAAUUUUGGAUUGUAAGAGAAAACCCAUUUCAAUUUUGUUACUAUUUUGCAUUAAGUUUGUUACAAAAUGAAUAAAUUUAAGUUUUUAACUAUUUAAAAUAAAUUUUUUUAGGGAAGAGAAUGAGGUUGUAGAUGCUCUUACUAAUUUAGGUGCUACGUCUUCCUGUACUUACUUGUUAGGAUUCUCAUUCUAUACUUUUUUUUUUCAAAAAAUUAUCUAGGAGAGGAUUAUUUUUGACAGGGGUGACAAUAUGGAUUAGAAUUUGUUUAUUCAAUUCGAUUGGAUGAGAAUUAAAUGGAUUUGAGUUUUAAAAAAAAGAAGAUUUGUUUAAUAAAUGAGUGAAUUUUAUUCGAUUUGUUAAUUAAAAGAAUCAAAUUUGGGUCUGAUGACAUUGAUUCGUUUAUUCUUUAGGAUUCAUUUAAUAAAUGGGUCAUGAACGAAUUGAAUAUGAUCCAUUCGUUUAAAUUUCAUUUAUUAUUCGUUUAAUUAAAUUACUUAUUUAUCAUGAAAUAUGUAUAAAAAAAAAUUAUAAAAUUUGAAAGCUAAUAUAGUGAUUACAAAUGAUAAUAAGAAAAGAAUAUAUAAAUUAAAAUUCAUUUACUAUUCAUUAUAGGAUAAAUGAAUAGUGAACCAAUCCCGAUUCGAUUCAAUUCGUUUAAUAAACGAUUCGAUUUCAAAUCAGUAGAAUUUUGACCCAAUUAUUUUAUGAUUUGAUAUGAAUUUGAUUCGUUUAUUUAUUUUCCCACAUCCAUUUCGUCCUGCCACCUUUAUCAGCUUGUGUUACUUUCAAUUUUUAUUUCUAUAUAACUCUCCGUCGCUUUGUCAAGAUUCAUUAAAAGAAUAAAAUUAAAAAAAAAAAUACAUUUGACGAACUUAUGUUAUUCAUCAAAUGCGUUGUAUUUGUGCCAUAUAUUAUUGUCAAACUUUGUGUCUAAGAUUGAUAAGGGAAUUACAAGAGAGAAAUGAAAUUAAAAGAAAAAGUAGAAUAUAGGCAAUGACUCUCAAAACUACACACACUCGACACUUAAUUUGACCAACUUUGGAAGCAAAAACAUAUGAUGUCUAAGUUUAACCAACUUCGUAAGGCAUUUGAGCCAAAGCCUUUCACAAAAGUGCUGAUAAUUUGGCCAUACACAAAUAAAAGAAAGUCAUUGAUGCUCAUGUCCACAUGCAAUCCACUCACUAGCCAGCCCCGUGUAGUAGUACUUUCAUUACAUUUCUUCGUCAUAUGGCUUUCCACGAGGUUUCUUUUUCCCAAAUAUAGUUUCUCAAUACGCAACAAUCUUCCACUACUAAAAAUUAUUGCAAAUUUAGUUAUGGGUCUAUUUCUCUCCAUCCAUUGCAGCCUCGGUUAGGUUAACCAUUUUGCUUUUAUUCAACCUUCACGAUCCGUUCACAUCUAACCGAAAAGAGAAUCAAAUCUGUUCCCUACAUAAUUUUACACUCCUUCGCCGACCUUUGCUCGUUUAAUUAAUUUUUGUGUAUGAACACAUUCCAUUUAUUUGUUACAGAUCGAACACUUAUUAGUUAACGAUCGAGGCAUGUUUAAACAUAUGAUAUCAAUCAAUUCAAUUUAAUUGAAAUGCGAAGUGCAAUCAAAACGUUAAUUGUUCACGUUAUAUGAUAAACGAUGAUCUUACAUAGCGUUGUCUGAUUAAUUCAUGUAGCGUUGUCUUAUAAAUUCAUAGUAAUAAUAUUAUUUACAUCGUUAUUGAAUUGCGUCGUGUGUCGAGUUGUUCCCCAUUUGACGUGCGUAAUCACCGACCGGCGGCAAUUGAUCGCGGGAUCAUUUUUUAAUCUAUUCAUUCACAAAGCGCAGUCAAGUUGAUACACGGCAGGCAAAGGGAGCACAAAUAGAUCCGAGAAGUCGCGAGUUCAAAAAUAGUACACAAAAAUAACUACGUGAAGGCACCAAACUCCCGUAAGUACACGUGUCAGAGUACCAAGUUUGGCAGCCAGCUGGCUGGUCCCACUUGGAUACUUCAACAAGAAAACUCCGGCUCCCCCCAAUUAUUAUUUACCGUACACCCACUCAUUUCUAUCGAUGCCAUCCUCCCGCAAAGUUUAUCGUGAUAUAUUGACUUCAUAUUCCGCGAUAUAUUAAACGUAAAGCCGUUUUUUUGUGAAACGCCCGCAGUACAAGUACCCAUGUAACCGGUGAAAUUACUGCGGGUCUACCGCAGACUGCCGGUCAACCCCGCGACAUUUUCACCGGAUAUGACAUUUUUUAACACCACCCAGCCCCAGUCGGGUGUGAGGUGGGGAUUAUUAAGAAAAUUCCCAAGUUUCCCUUGUACAACAAACAAAGCACACAAUGGGAAUUUUUUAUUGGGUUAAAAACUUGGGAGAAAGAAAGUCAAAAAAAUAACUAGUUUAAUAUAUUUGAAUAUUUAAAACUUAGUAUUUGCUGCUCACGAUCAUAAUGCACUAUCUUUAUUUUGUUUUAUUUUAUUUCUUUAUUUUUUAAAAAAAAAAUUUAGUGAAUUAACAAAAUUGAACAAAAGUGCAUUGCAAAACUAAUUAUUGCUUGAUGGUAAAGUCAUUCAAGGGGGGAAUUUGCAUGACUAAACUUUUUUCAUUAACAUGGUAUUUGACCAUUAAGGCAUGAAAUUUUCAUGUUCACGGGGUGUAAUAGAGGCAUGUUCAGAAAAGGAAAAAUUAGAUGAUAUUUACAUUUAUGUCCUCAAAAUUGCAUUCUUUGUUUACUAUCUAAUCCCUAUAAUGAAAGCAUAGCCAGCUUCAAUUGAAUUCUCCCUCUAUAUAUACCCACUUCUCUCUUCAUUUUUCCGUCACACCAAAACCAAUUCAACACAAGCCUCUCUCUUUAGUCUCAUUUAUCUCUCUCUCUCUCUCUCUCUCUCACAGACACACAUACACACAAAAGAACACUCAAAAUAAAACUCUUUGAAGUUUAUUAAUUUUAUCUCUUUCAUACAAAACUGCCAAAGCCACCAUCAUGCCUGAAGCACCAAAGAACUCAUACCCUAGUGAUUAUAGUCUUGAUGAGAUGAACAAGAAGAAACUUGAGUUCAUUGAAAAUGUUACUUCAAACCCUGAUGAGGUUCAAAAGAAGGUUCUUUCAGAGAUCCUCUUACGCAAUGCUCAUGUUGAGUACCUGCAAAGAAAUGGCCUUAAUGGCCACACCGAUAGAGAGUCUUUCAAAAAAACCAUGCCUGUCAUCACUUAUGAAGAUAUCCAAGCUGAUAUCAACCGUAUUGCCAAUGGAGAUACUUCUUCUAUCCUCUGCUCCAAGCCCAUUUCUGAGUUCUUGACUAGGUAAAAGCCUAAAAAAUUUUACAUGAAAAAUCUCAAAUUUUGUGUUCUUUAUUGACUUUUUUGGUAGCUUUGUCUUAGUGGGUUGUUAUGGUUUUUGUGUCCUUUGCGCUAAAUGUUGUUUAAAGUGCUUCUGUGGAUAGUUUGGCUUAGUGGGUUUGUUUUGUUUUUUGUAGCUCUGGGACAUCAGGUGGUGAACGAAAGUUGAUGCCAACAAUUGAAGAAGAAUUGGAGAGGAGGUCGCUGCUGUACAGCCUAUUGAUGCCUGUGAUGAGCCAGUUUAUUCCUGGUCUAGACAAAGGCAAAGGAAUGUACUUUCUGUUCAUAAAAUCUGAGGCCAAGACUCCUGGUGGCCUAGUGGCUCGCCCAGUCUUAACUAGCUAUUACAAGAGCUGUCAUUUCAAAGAGAGGCCUUAUGACCCAUAUACAAACUACACUAGCCCAAAUGAAACCAUUUUGUGCCCUGAUUCUUACCAAAGCAUGUACUCUCAAUUGCUUUGUGGCCUUUGCCAAAACAAAGAAGUCCUCAGGGUUGGUGCCGUUUUUGCCUCUGGUUUCAUUAGAGCUAUUAGGUUUCUUGAGAAACAUUGGCCUCUUGUCGUUAAAGAUAUUAGAACUGGCACCAUUGACUCCCAAAUUACUGACCCAUCUGUUAGGGAUGCUGUCAUGAAGAUCCUUAAACCAAACCCAAAACUUGCUGAUUUUAUUGAAAAUGAGUGCCGUAAAGACUGCUGGCAAGGGAUCAUAACAAGGUUAUGGCCCAACACUAAGUAUGUGGAUGUUAUUGUGACUGGGACCAUGUCACAGUAUAUCCCAAUCCUUGAUUACUAUAGCAAUGGCCUCCCCCUUGUUUGUACCAUGUAUGCUUCUUCUGAGUGCUACUUUGGUGUCAACCUUAACCCCCUAUGCAAGCCAAGCGAAGUCUCAUACACCCUUGUUCCCACCAUGGCCUAUUUUGAGUUCUUGCCUGUUCACAGAAACAAUGGUGUCGCUAACUCUAUUUCCAUGCCUAAGUCACUCAAUGAGAAGGAGCGACAAGAGUUGGUUGAUCUCGUUGAUGUCAAACUUGGCCAAGAAUAUGAACUCGUGGUCACCACAUAUGCUGGUAUAAAAUUUAUUUUUUUAUUUUUUGUCCUUUUGUCCUCUUAAACAAUUUGUAUUUUUACUGUUACAUGUUUUACUUAAUUGUAUUUUUUUCCCCCCCAGGGCUCUAUCGCUAUAGAGUUGGAGAUGUGCUAAGGGUUGCUGGAUUCAAGAACAAGGCACCACAAUUCAACUUCAUAUGCAGGAAAAAUGUGGUGCUAAGCAUUGAUUCAGACAAGACAGAUGAGGUUGAGCUACAAAAUGCUGUGAAGAAUGCAGUGAACCAUUUGGUGCCAUUUGAUGCAGCAGUAUCUGAGUACACAAGCUAUGCAGAUACCACAACAGUUCCUGGUCACUAUGUGCUAUAUUGGGAGCUUAGCCUCAAUGGGACAACCCCAAUUCCUCCCUCAGUCUUUGAGGACUGUUGCUUAACCAUUGAAGAGUCACUCAACAGCGUGUAUCGCCAAGGCCGUGUGUGUGACAAAUCAAUUGGGCCGCUUGAGAUCAAGAUUGUUGAGCCAGGGACUUUUGACAAGCUCAUGGACUAUGCCAUUAGCCUAGGUGCAUCAAUAAACCAGUACAAGACGCCAAGAUGUGUGAAAUUUGCACCCAUUAUUGAGCUUUUGAACUCAAGGGUUGUGUCAAACUACUUCAGUCCCAAAUGUCCCAAGUGGGUUGCUGGUCACAAGCAAUGGAGCAGCAACAACAACAAGGCCACUACAAGAAUUGAAGAAAUGAAUGGAAAGGCUCAAACUGUUUAAGGGUCUUCUUUAAUCUGGUAAAAUUAGCUUUUCGUGGAGAUUCACAGGAACUGUUUUUGUGAUCAAUCAAUCUUAGGACAAUGUUAAGGACUGUUCCUAGGUUUAACCCCAUGUAAUGUUCUUAAUGUUCUUUUUUUCUUCUUUUUAUCUUUUUUAAGCCUUUUAACUGUUGUCUAUCAUGCAUAGGGACUUCGGAAAUUAGCCAUGUACAAAAACAGUUCAUGUUUCAAGGAAAAGCCUUUUUUUCUUUUCAAAAUACAUGGGAAUUUGAUUCAUAAUUCCAACAAGGAAACCUGCCCACUGAAGUCUCAUGGGCAAUUUUACUUGGACUGCAAACGAUUGACAUCAAAAGCCAUCCACAAUCUUAUCUUCCUUUCUAUUAUCUUAUUAUUUUCACUAAAAAGCAUACUGACUUUUAGUUACAUUGAUUUAUUAUGACUCUAAGUAACUCCCUCGAAAACAUAAAUUUAAUACAUACUUUUUCUAUCCACACCUUCAUGGACCAGUAACCUUCCUCAAUAUGGCUGGCAUAAAGUGACCAAAAAAUUUUCAUUACUCUCUUGGGAUCUCAAUUUAUCAAACCCCAAAACUUUAUUCAAAACCAGCUUUAGUUAAUUCAAUAAAGAAAACCCAUUUCUUGCUGCCAACGAGGCCUCAGACUAGUGGUAGUCUCGAAUUAUAUGUCCUCCCACAAAUGAGUAAAAGAUGGAUAUUUUUUAUUUUAAUAUUAAUGAGGAUAAAUAACUGAAAGCAGACCGAAUCUCGACUGAUUAAUAUGAUUUCCUAGUGAUUCUAAUAUUCCUUAAUUGAAAUUGAGAAUGGUGUUGUAACGUAUACAUGAAAAGGACAAAAAAAAAAAAAAACAAAACAAAUGUAACGCACAAAGGGUGUUGUCGUAUUUGUUAUUGUUAAUUUUUUGUAAGUGUAGUGUAUGGGAUUGUGUUGGGCAUGCGUCAGUUGGACCCAAUCUCUGUAGAGUAGUGUGUUGAGUUGCAGGCAUAAAAAUAGCCGGGAAAUCAUGCAAAAAGAAUCAAGAGAUUGUUGAAAGGCCAAAAUAAUUUUGUUGUGGAGUGGCAGGACAGAUAAGGUUGAAUCAGAAGCUGUUCCCUCUAUUAAGCUUUUGUCUCUGAAAACAGACAAAAGCACUUUUGUUUUUUAGAAAAACAGAUUUUCAGGAAGGGUCAGUCAGACAAUUAUAGCAGUCUCCAGACAUAACCCCAGAAAAAAGAGAGACAAUUUUCAGAGACGUUUUUUUUUUUUUUUUUCCCAGAAUUUUCAGAUUUUUUUUUUUUUAAAAAAAAAAAGCAUUUAAUACGAUUGAAGAUAAGUACUAGUACUACUGGCAGCAGUGGUUGUCUGUGCAGGCUAACUUUUGUUGAGUCCUACAACAUGUUCACGAUUUCCCUUCAAUGAUUUUCUUUCCCCUCUUUCAAGCACCACCCAAUCAAAAUACCCAACAAUCAGCGAGGAAUUGCUUCUGGCAACUAACUCACCUGCUUUCACCUAAAGUGAUUUUGGUGCUUUAUUGUUAUAUUUGGUAGCUUUUGGAUGUGAAAUUGAAACAUAAUGCAUCAAGUAUGCAUGUGAGUAUCGGAGUCCUUUGAUUUAUCAUUGUUCUUUAAAGGUGCUUUCGUUUCAUAUAAGGCCAUAAGCUCAAAAAUGCUUUCUCUAGAUAAGCUCUUUUUCGAGAAGUGCUAUUACACCAUUUAGUGACUACCGCAAUUGAAAACAUGGGUCAGGAACCUUUUAUUUAUUCUUGGUUCUUUUUAAGACUAGACACCAUAACUUUUCUAUACUCAUGUUGAAUUAUGUAAUCUUGUCUAUAUGUAUUAAAAGCGUUUCUUUUUUUAUCUUGCUCCAACAAAAGCACUUCUCACACUUGCAUCCUAAAAAACCCUUCUUCUUCUUCUUUUUUUUUUUUUUUUUUAGAAUUGGGGUUUUUUUUUUUGUAGAAUUGGGGUUGAUGGCAACACAUCAUUCAGGGUACUCAAAUAAAAAAAAUGGUUGAUAUGUUGAAAUGCACGUAGUGAUCACUCUAUUAGAAGAAGGUGGCAUGUAUACAUUUGAUCAUAAACGUAUUUCUUUUUAACACGUUAUGCUUAUACCAUAAGAAAUGAUCAAGCAUUUGACUUAAAGGCACUACUUUUUAAAUAUCUGUUCUAGUGAUAUAUGAUAAAUAAAGCUAGAAGAAAACAAUCCAAUAGAGUAAACUUCAAGUAUAUAAAGUUAUUAGGUACAAGUAAUUAAUUGUCUCUUUACUUAAAAAGAAUAUAUGGUGGAUUUAUAUAUUCUUCAAGUUUAUCCUCUCUUAAAAUGCAUUAAUGCAUUUGCUAUAUAUUCUCUUCGUUGAUCUUAUCUCACUGCUUAUCCAUCUCAAAUCACAAAAGUGAUCACAUACACGUAAUCACUUUUACGAAAGCAGUGCUUUUUUAUUUUUGCUGCAUCUCACAUCAAUAAUAUCUUGGUUGCUCCAUGCAUUUCAUUUCAUGGCAAUGAUAAGGUAAUUUCGGUAUAGCCCAUGAGACAAUUAAUUCACAAUUGAAAGCUACUUGUGUGAAAUGAAUUUAAUGAGUAGUUGAAUCAAGAAUUGAAAUGGUUCUGGGAGACAUUAUUGAAGUGAUUAUUUCAUUUUUUUUAUUGUGUGAGAAGAAGAUUCGAGCGUGCUAGCUAUUUUUCAUAACUAAAGCUAUAUAAUAAUUCAAGAGCAAGUACUACUUACUCUAUUAGGAAAGUUGAAAAAAAGAAUUUAUGAAGUUGAAUGAGAUAUUUAUUAUGGACUAAACAUUAUCUAUAUAUCCUUCACCCUUUUCACCAAUAUGUAUAUAUAUAUAGUAUAAUUAGGGUUUUAGUUUCACGGACCCUUUUCUUUUAUAACCAGAAAAACAAAGAAUUUCUUUUACCACCAUUUAGAGUUCUUGCAAGAUUCUUUUAUAUAUAUACAUGAUAGAACUUAAUUGCUACACAAAUACUUAAAUACAGCACUUUAGAAAAGCACUUUUUUAGUGCUUCUCUAAUAAUCACUACUAAUACGGAUAACAAUAAUAAUAAUAACAUAAUAUUCUAAAAAGUUAAUUCAAUUUAAUAAUAAUAUCUUAGAAUAUUUCUUUUCUUUUCUUUGCUACUAAAAAUAUUUCUUUUCUUUUCUUUGCUACUAAAACACUCAUAGGAAUAUGAAUACUUUAUCUUAGAAUAGAGUCCAUUGUCGACUGGUGCCCUCAUUCGAGUCUUAGCCCUUAUGCUGAAACUCUAAUUUCCCCACAAGAUUAUAUAAUUUGAUCAUAGAGUAUAUUUUUGUCUCCUGAGUACAGAUAAGAUAAAUAUCUUCAUAAUAUUAGUGAGAGUUAAAAAAUAGACUAGCCAAUAUAACAAUUUAUUAUAAUAUUAGCGCAAAAAAAGAAAAAGAAAACUCUUCAAUUUUCAAUCCACACUUUUUCCUUUAUUAUAAAAACAUUACUCUUUAGAUAAGUGAUCGAACUUCGCUUGACAAAACUAUAUUUAAAUAGUUAGCAUACAAAGUUUGUAUAACUUAGUUGGAGGGACAUUCGACGUAUCAUUAAUCAAAUUGGUGUUACAAAUUGAUUGGUAGGAAGUAAAAAACAUUCCAUUCCCAUGCAAAUCAAGGGGUUCCCGAUACGCGUGGAUUCCGGGGUUACAAUCUACAGUUCCAGGGGUGGGGGACCGCGCCCAGGUUUCCGCCACGUGUCCAUCCACAAGCGUUGACGAUACGUGAGUAAUUUACCAAAGUCCAAAGCCUCUCCCUCCUUCCCUGUUCCUCUCGCACUUUGUAGGCGCCAUCACGAUCAAGCCCAGUACCACCACAGCAUUCCACGUGGGAUUGUCUGCUGUACCGUACAUCCGUUUCUUUUUUAUUUCUUUAUAUGAGAAAUUUUUGCUAGUUUCUUUCUUUCUUUAAAAUUACCCAAAUUAUAUGGGUUCUAGUUAGCGCAAUUGGUAAAAUUUUUUAUGAUAAUAUGAACUGUCUAACAAAAAUUAUCUAAAUAAUUUAUUUAAAUACGUUUUUAUAUUAACGAUGUAUGAGUUAGGUGAUACGACUCCAUCUCGGUAUAUUUUUUCAGUGUAUUAAAUUAUUUGGUAGUUAAAGAUCACAUUAGGUCUCGAUUAAUCCCAAGUCUCGAACCCAGGACCUCCAUCUUGGUAUAUUUAUAUACUUUGUAAGUGGUUUGAGAUUGAAAGAGAAAUCGAGUGUGGUUAGUAUGGCUGUAUGAUUGGUGGUCUAGACAAUUGUAAAUAUGCCAUGUGGCAAAAAUGUCAGGGAAGAAGACACCUUUCAUCACAAUGUAACAAAUUCAUGGCAAGAUCUCAAUGGGAGACCAUCAAUCAUGGAAGCUCUCUUGUGGUGAUUUGCUCCAGACCUAGGCACCACCGCACCAGCCUAUACAAAUAUAAAAAUGUUAGUCAACUUUCCACAAACCGCACAUUGUUGAGUUUUAUGUUAUAUAUAUAUAUAUAUAUUUUUAUGCGGAUGCCUUCAUUUUUUUUAUGCGAAUAUAUUUUUAAGUCAUAUGAUUUAAUAGAGUCAAAUUUUAAUGUUAUUAUACUACACGAUUUUAUAAUGUAUGAAAAAAUAUUUCCACUAAACUGCAAGGCUUAAUACCUUGUCCGCAUUAAAAAAAAAAAGAGAAUGCCCACUAGGAAUUGAAAAUUUUUAAAGCAAAUAUCAAGUUUGUUUGUUAUAAAUCUUAACUCCAAAUCAAUUUUUUAGAUCUAAUUCAAUAUUUUGGUUGAAAUUUUUGAAAUUGAACAAGAAUUGUUUGAUUUAAAUUGAAUCGUCUCUUAGGAUGUCAUUAUCCAAAAAUUUUGAUAGCAGUAAGGUAAAAAAAUCUCAUUAAAAAAAUCUCAUUGUCCAUUAAUAAAAAAAUAGGGCACUAAACCGUUUUCCCCACCACCACAACACAAAGAAAAGAACAAAUGAUUAGAUUAUUUGAGAUAGUAUGGCCACAUUUUAGUACAAAAAUAUAAAGCGUUGAGGCAAAUUUGAUGCUUAAAUUACUUGUGAUGAUGUAUGACAAAAGCUAAAAGUUAGUUUGUCAUCCUUUGGAACAAUUUUUAGCUGGUUAAGAAAGUGAUUUUUCUUUUUUCAUAAUCUAAACAACAAUGAUGAAAGGAAAAAAAAAUGUGAUCUGAAGGUGAUUGUAAUAUAUGAUUAACAAAGACAUAAACUUUUGGGAGGGUGAUAGAGAAAGUAAAAGUUUUGCUUUUAGAGACAACUAAUCCAACAUUGACUAAGAUGGCUACCAAUUAUAAUUUACAUUGAUGCCCAUAAUGUGCUAAAAGGAGAUUGAUGGAUGAUGAAAGUUGUAACAAUAAUGAUGCAAAGGAGAUGUUUGAUAGAAAAUGAAAGUUAAUAAUAUUGGAGAGAGGUGGGGGAGGAGAUUGAGACUUGUCAAAAGUAUUUAGUGGUAGCGUUUAUUAUGAUAAGUGGUGUCAAAGAACAAUAAUGAGAUAAAUUCAAUUGAGUAUGUUUGUGCUAUUUUGUAGUGUUUUGACCAUGCAAGAUAGAUACCAUGAAGUUUAUGAUAAAUUUAAGAUACCCAUUUAUAUAAUAAGGAUGCUUUUGAGAGUAUUUUUAAUUAUUUUAAAUAAAAAUAUUUUAAUAUUAUUAUUUUAACACAAUAGACUUCUAAUUUUGUAAUAAUCUAAUCAUGCAAGAUAAAUACCAUGAAAUUUUUGAUAAAUUUAAUAUACCCAUGUAUGUAAUGAGGAUGCAUUUGAGAGUCUUUUUAAUUAUGUUAAAUAAAAAUAUUUUAAUAAUAUUACUUUUAACACAAUAGACUUCUAAUUUUUUUAACGAUACAAUGCAAAUCUAUAGUCAAACUUGAAUAUGUGUGCACACAAGCAUCUCUUUUGUCCAAUGGGAUGUGAAAAUUGAAUAACCAUUUCAAUCACUUCUAAUUGGUCAUAAUUAAACAACUUAGUCAAAAGUGGGGAUUUAAUAAAUAAUAAUUAAAAAAAAACACGAGGACCCUCAAAAUGAGCCAAAAAAAAAAAAAAAAGGAUAAAAUAAGGCACAUUAAAAAAUUAAUGAUUAGCUAGGGCUAAGCAAAUUUAGUCUCACUAAACGUGAAUACCACCAACAUGGGCCAGAUAUUUCACGUGAAUUUGCUACAUGAAGGAAAGGCGACGGCCCAACUCGGGUGGUUGAGGAGGCACACAUCCAUUGUCGCUCUCACACGUGACACGACGUCGGACACCAACACGUGUGGCACGGUGGUCCUUUGGAGAAGGUUGACUUUGACUCCCACCUUAAACCCCACCCACACGUGAGGCAAAAUCCCCUUUGUUCCCUUGCCGGGCCCCUCUUUACAGGCCGGAUCGGCCCAUUUUGGGCCCAUUCAUACUGUCAUCCAACAGUUGCGAGUUGUGAGUUGUUGCGACUGUUGUUGUCACUUGUUAAGUGGUGCAUUAUUUUUUUAAUUUUUUUAAAAGCUUAUUUAUGUAUGCAAAUAGCUGUCUAUAAUAAUUAAUUAAUUAAUUAAUAGGAUAAUAAAGCCAAAUAACCCGACAUUUGGUCAUGUAUUAUGUGUAUAAUCAUGCACCUAAUCUAGAAGAAUUUUUAUGAUUAAUUAAAAACAAAUCAAGAUUAGAACAAGCUUUUCAGUCAUAGUAUUAUAUUACUAAUAAUAUUGUUUAACAUUAUCCCACUAGGGUUUGUUGAGAUGUUUUUGUCUAAUGUCUCUCUAACAUCUUAACACAUGGUUGAAUUUAACAAGAUUAAAUUGUCGCAUCACUUCAUUAAAAGUAAAUAAGCAUAUAAACAAUCUUGAUUGCUGAGGUUCCAAAUAGGGUUUUGUCUUAAAAGAAACAAUUGAACGAAAUUGACAAGAAUACAUUUAUUAAUAGCCACCUAAACCACUAUUCAAAUCUGAUAAAUCUCCAUUAAAUCAGGAGACUUCAUCAUUGAUGGGACACACUCGUAUAUUGUAGUUUUAUUAAUCACAUGAAAAAUGGAGGUAUGAGGGGGUCUCACUUGGAGAUGGGGAUGCUUUCAAUCAAACAAGAACAGGGUUUAUUAAAUUAGAUAAGGAUAUAAAUAUGUGAUUAACUAUGUCUUUGUCUAAUGUCUUCCUAUCAUCAAACAUCACCCAAAGUCAAUUAACACAAAUGGGCAAUUUUGAAUAUGGAGAAGAUAUAUAUAUAUUUUUUUCUUUUUUAUAAUAAUAAAAAAAAAAGAGGAUGUUGGAAUUAAACUUGAUUGACUUGAGAAGGUUAAUGUGGUAAUAACACUUGGCCUGCAUGAUCAUCACUAGCGGUGAUGGAAACCUCAGUCUUUAGAUGCCAUCACUGCUUACGACAUACAUUCGUUUUGGGAAGCAAAAGAAAUGAGAAAGAACGAAUCAUUUUCCGAGACGUUGCUUUUGGUUGUCAAGAGAAUAGUGUCAUAUCAUAUACCACUUUAAAAAAAAAUUAUUGGAAUCCGAUAAGAGGGUGAUCUUUUACUCUUUGUUUCUUUUAAUUGUUAUUAUUAUUUUUUGUUUUCUUUUCCCGGGGGGUUAUGUGGCUCAAGAGAAUAUACGACUAUCUACGUAAUUUUGGAUAUUUAAGCCGGAAAUCAAAUUCCAUAAUACGGUAUGAAAAAAAUCAGUUAAAGAGAUGCUCGCCCCUCGCCUAAAUUAAUGGCUGAAUGAUCAUUUUAUUUCAAUGAUUUCAUUGUUGGGCCCAAAAAUGGCCCAGUGCCUGGCCUUGGAUGGAGUUGAAGCAGUAUUAAAGCCUGGGAAUGGAACUCCAAUUAAAGCCUGAAAUAUGAUGAUUUUGCAGCCCAUUAAAAGUUUUCAACCUAAUACUACUUGUUCACGAUGAUAAAAUAAUUGUGAGUGCAACCGGCCAGGAUUUGAAAAGAAGAAAAUCCACAACACAGCUUAAUAGACAUUAUAAGACAUCAGCCCUUGAGGCGAGUUUAGAUUUUGACCACCCCUUUCCUUUUAAAAUCUGAAACAAAAAAUAAAUACAUAUAUUGAGUCAUUGUUUGGUUGCUUCUGAAAUUCAUGCAUAAAAUUUAUUAUGUACAUAUCAAAAGAAUGUUAUUUAUAUUAUGAAUUGGUAUUAGAGAGCGACUCGUGACUUGAUAUGUGGAUGGAUAUCUGAAGCAUUUAAAUAUACAAAGAACACCCUUUACAAUCUAAAUCUCGUUCAUUCAGCCGCAUUAGUUCACCCUUUACAAUGAAGUAGUUCUACUGAAACCAUUUUUUUUUUUCCAAAGAGAAAUAAAGCUAUGAACAAGAAAAUUAGUUCACCCUUUACAAUGAAGUAGUUCUACUGAAACCAUUUUUUUUUUUCCAAAGAGAAAUAAAGCUAUGAACAAGAAAACAUCAAGAAUCAAUUCAGUUUUAGUUCUAAGUUUACAGGAUUGCACUAACCUGAUCUGAAUUUGUGUACCAGUCCCAGGAUCUAUAAAAUCCUUAAUUCUUGAAGCCUUCAGCAACUAUUUCUUGGCAAUGAGACAAAUCUCGACAGACCAGCCAGGAACUGAACCAAACCCUAGUAGUACCUAUGUAACAUGUGCAACUACUAGUGCAGAAUUUGAUGCAGUUCAUGUAUGUAUACUCCAAAGACAUCAAUAAGAGCUUGUGAACAACUGGUACAACAAAAGAUUACCAUGAAAUAGCCAUCAGGGAUUUUUCUAAGAAAGAAAUGGAAAAUUGAUAUGGAUCAUUCAUCAAAUGAACAAAAUUGAUAUGGAGCCAAAUCCACAUCAACCCUUGAAAAAAAUACAAAAUUCAUAACAAAGUCAAUAGUAAAGUGCAUCUGAAGAAAAGUAAGAUACGGAAUAGGUAUGUAACAAGUUAUUAUGCCAUUAAAGAGAGGACAUAACUGAAACGAGGAUAUUGAGAUCAACGUGUUGGAGUACAAGAGACAAUAAAGCAUGAAAUCUGUAGAUUUAUGAACGAUUUGAUGCAUUGCAGCACCAUAAAAAAUUAACUGCAAAACAAGAGAUUUGGCAUAGCACAGGAGGAACUGAGGAUCCAUUCCUCAAAAGCAGCAAAAAUGUAGUUUAUAUUAAGUAUGAGAAAAAAUCUAAUUUUCAACUCAACAGCAAUAUCAGUUUCAAAUGAAGUUACUAAUCACCAGUUUAAUUAAUUCCAUCACAAAAGGUGAAAUAUUCUUUUUUUUUCCAACCCUUGAGUUCCCAUCUAAUGAACUACUAGAAUACUUCAAUUCAUUUUUAUGAAAUAUUUAGAAACAAUAGCUAAAUGAUUGAAAGAAGAAGAAAAUGAGGCCAAAAAAUAGUUAUUUGCCAAAGUUCCAUACUACUGUUUUUGCUGAAGGCAAAUACAUGAUGCAUUAACUGUAUACCAUGAAGCAAGUAGGCGAGUGCAGGACAUUGGACUUAAUGAGCUGUCCAAAUUUGUUUUAAAUGUCCAUUUGUAGACAGUUUGGAAAAACUGAAUUCUUUUUCCUUAAAUACAUAUGGGAUGCAUGUUUAAGUUUUUCCUUUUAUAGGUCUACCAUUGUGAUAAUAUUUGGUAAUCAUUAUAUGAUUACACAUCUCAAUAUCAAGGCAACACUAUUAUUAAAACUAAGCUGAAAUGAAAAUAUUCAGACAAAUGAGGCAAGAGCAAGAAACCAUCCCUCACAAACACACUCUCGCCGAAUGUGAAGCUAUUUAUCAAUCAAUAUCAAUCAAUAUAGAAGUGAGUUUAAUUUUAUAUAAUCAUUCUCUCAAGCUAUUUAUUAUUAUUUUAUACUUCAGAAUCUCGUUUUUACUCAAUUUCAAGUUGUCCCUGUUAUUAAGUAUGAAAACCAGACCAUGAUUCUUACAUCAACAGCUUGAAUGGCUGUGCCGAUGACUUUAAACGCGGCGGCACAGUGGGAAUUGUUCAAGACAUAUCCAUAUGUACCUUAUGUAAUAGGCAUUUCAUGCUUUUAUAACUUUUGUAACUUAAGGAGGUGAUUUCAAAAGUAUUCGCCAUCCUUAGUUAUUAAUCAAUAACUUAUCAUAAAGUUUCCUACAAUACGACAAAAUUGAAAUUAAAUACAUUUAAAGUAGCACAAAUUCACCAUCUAAUUAAAGUGAAAAACGUGUACAACAGUUGGAGAAGAAUCUAACUGCAUUAGUACAUAUGUACUAUUAUCUGCAAUUUUGUAAUUAUAUACCAUUUGUAUAAAUAACACAGCAUGCAAAAGAAUCAAACCACUCAUCUGUUCAUCUCUACUGUUUCAAUUAUCAAAAUUUUCCUCUACCUGGAUCAAACAAUCUCCAAUUGACAAGCCAUAUCCCUCAGAAACAUCUUGCUCGUUUGGUCAUUUGAUCGUGCAGAAGCAGAGGUAUGGAAGCUUUACAAGAUUUUAUUUAAUGCUUUUGUCUAUUUACUCCUAAAUUAUUGUCUCUCUCAUUCGUUGUUAAGGGCAUCUCCUAUUGAUUACGAACCAUGCAAUUUAAAGUACUCUAGAAUUUUCAUGAAAAUUUGAUGGAAGGAGAUUAAUUUGGUGGGUAGGUGUUUUUAAUAUUAAAAUAAUUUUUGGGGAAGAAAAAAUUGCUUUAUAUCCUAUAAAAACUCAUAGAUAAAGACUGUGGGAGUGUUUGGCUGUAACUUCACGAAUAUUUACGUCUACGGCUGCAAUGUAGUUUAAAAUUAAAGUAAACAUUCUUUAUUGUUUUGGCUCUUCAAAUUUUUCUUUAUGGUUAUAUUUUCGUAACGUAUAUGGGUGUGGGUGUUUAUGUUUAUGUUUGUAUCUAGGUUCAGACUAUUGUAACAUAAAUUUUUACUUAAAAUGGAUUCCCAAAUGACCAUAUAUCUUAAUCAGCAACUCAGAUGAUUGAGUUAAUUGAAGUUAAAAUGUAGCAAUUAUUGUUAUCAAUGCAGCAGCUGCCAAACCGUUGGAUAAUUAUACAUGGAUGGUUCAAGAUUUUCUCUUUUUCAGGGUGGGGGUGGACAAACCCCGAACAGAUUUUUUAUCCCCUACCUCUCCCAGGAUUCAAACUGGGGAAGUUAGCCAAAGAAAGCUGCUCGAAAACCACUCAGUCAAGCCCCUAGGGAAAGAGGGAUUAUAGAUUUCAUCUUAAGUUAAAAAAUUUUAGUCACAGCCCCCUAACCCGUGUAUGCGCACGCGCGCGAGCAUGUAUAGAUCAGCGAAGAAAAAUUGCAAAAACAAAAAAAAUAAAUAAAUAAAUCACCCACACAAUUUAACUGCAAUUGAAAUGGAUAUACCUAUAAGAUUAAGAUGUGUAUGCAUGAUAGUCAUCUAGUUGUUUCAACAUAAUGUACAUCUUGGGUAUUAUCAUUCAGUUUUUACUAAAUUAAAGCACCAAUUCUUUGUUGGACUGUUUAUAGUUGAAACCGCUAUGAUUUUUUGUCUCUAGACAACAUUGAAAAUUAAUAAUCUUGGAACUCUGCUUUUACUGCUUUUACUAAUAAAGCAUCCUGCUGUAGAAAGCACUGGUUUCACUGAAGAGCUAAUAAAGUUUCAAUCUAUUGACUCGUAUAAUUGCACCUUUACUCACUAUUUGAAGUCUGAUUACUCAAUGGUGAUCAUCCUUGAGUUUUACAAAAUAAACUAAUAACAGUUAAUCAACCUAUGCAUUAUUUAACUAAAUUCCCCCAUUUUGGCGUAGAGGACCUGCAAGUUUAAGAUAGCUGUGGUGAUAGUAAAUUUAAUAGUGAGUUCAACAAAGUAGGGUACAGUUGUGAUAAGGCACCAUGACUGAGUAAGAUCCAAAUGAUAGCCUAGUUUAAAUUAGAAACAACCCGAGAUGGUCGAUUUAUAUCAAAUUAUACUUGAUUACUCAUCCACUAAUUAAAGAUUAGUUUGGUUAGCUAACUGAUGAUUAAAUAGCUUGCAGAGUACAUCAGCUGUGAACUAUUUCUCUACCAUCAGAUAUUCCAAAUAUUAACAUUUUCCAUUUUGCAGCUUUAAUCUGAGAAGAUUAAUCCUCAAAGAUCAAACAGAAUGGAAAGCGGUGGCAGUGGCGGCAGCAGCAGUAAAAAGGGCAAAAAAGUAGAGCAGCAAAGUAAGAAACGGCAGAAAACUAAUACCAUUGAUUACAUGAAUUACAUACCCGAAGCAAUAGUAUUCCAUAUACUCUCACUAUUGCCGCUGGGAGAGUUGAUUAUAAUGAGUCUUGUAUCACAACGAUGGAAAGACACAGUAGUGCGAUACCUGAAGAUUGUUCCAUCAAGUCUAAAUCUUGACGAAUGUGAGAUGCCAGGAACUAUCCUUAAAAGAGAUGGGCAGUGUUUGCUACGUAGCAAUUUUGCCCAUUCCGGUUACUCUUUACAACAGCGACACUGCUUGAUACGUGCAGCAAGAAAAAGUUUCAUAGAAUUUGUGGACCGAUGCCUCCAGCUCCAUUCCGAUUGCAUGAUCAAUAAUUUGCGGUUGACAUUUCUUCAUGAAGCUGGUGGCGAUUAUGAAUACACUAGGAAGAUUGAUAUGUGGGUUCACUUCGCCUUUACAAAAGACAUCAAAGAGCUUUCGUUGGACUUCUCUGACCUAACACUUUCAAAACCCUUGGCUCAACCAUUUGAACUGCCUCAUGGCUACUUUGCACCCAAGAUAACGAAAACUUUCAGCCUAAAGUUUUGCAAGUUUAGACUAUCUACCUUUCAGGUUUUUGGAUCCCUUAAGGGGAUAUCUUUAGUACAGGUAGAAAUCCUUGAUGGCUCGUUAGCUGAGCUAGCAUCCAAAUGUCCUGUUCUGAAGGAUGUGAACCUGGUAAACUGUGUUUUUCCUGAUCAAUUUAUGAUGAGUGAAGAAGACAUAAUAGUUGAGAAACUAUCAGUGAUUGACUGUAAAACAGAGGAGUGGGAGGCGUGCAAUAUCAAUCUAUCAACUCCAUGCCUACUGAAGCUCCAUAUAGUUGGAAACAUUCUCAUGACAUCACACAUUCGGAACGCAACAAAACUCCUAGAUGUAACUUUUUGCAUGGAGGAGAUAAAUGAAAACUAUUUACAGGGAGAUGCAUUGGGUUCAUUUUUUAUUGAGUUAGGCCACAGUCGAUCUCUAACGGUAAACAAUUGUUGCAUCCAGGUAUCAAGGUCUUCAUUUAAUUGGUUAUAGCUUAAUUUUAAGUUAAUUUGUGCCCUUAACUUGUGAAGUUUUCUUUUGUGUUCAAGGUUCUACCUGCAGGGAAUGAUUUGCUACAAGGAUUGCCAACUUACCUCAACAAUCUUAACCAUUUAUGUUUGUUAGUGGGCCUAGAAAAACAAGAAAUGCCUGGGAUAUCUUGCUUGUUAAGGAGUUCCCCAAAUUUAGAGAAUCUAACCCUACUAUUGCUGGGAACUGGACGGGUGGGCAUUACUAAAUUCUGAAAUUGCUUUCAUAGUUUGACAUUGUAGAUGAUACUAAACCAUUUAGCUUCUAUAUAUUGUAACUUAAUUUUACAGGAAAUUUUCCAAAAUGAUGCCCCACCAUUCUUUGACUUAGAAGAACGGAUUUACUGGGAUGAACGGAAUUCAACUUUCAGUUGUGUACAAAAUUCUCUUAAAAAGGUCACAAUGGACGGGUUUUCCGGAAGAAACAAUGAGAUGAAAUUGAUUCAGUUCCUGCUGAAAAAAGCGAGAGUUCUCCGGAAGAUGGAAAUCAUCUCUAUUUCAACAGCUGAAGUCAUGGAAAAAAUCCAAUAUCUGUCGGAGACGUUGUCUUACUUCCCAAGGGCAUCUCCUCUGGCCAGCAUAGAAUUUUGUUGAAGCCCUUCAACAGUUGAACAUGUAAUGUUCUAUAAAAAUUUCCUUUGUCUCGUUAAGACUUUUCGUUCGACUAGGUAAAAUAAGUAUAUGGGUGCCCUCUUGUGGAGAUUUGGAAAUCUUCACAGAUAGCAUCCAUCCAACAUUAUAUUUCAGAUAUUAUUAUGUCAGUAUCAACCAUCAACUUUCCUUCAUUGCAUAAAAAGGAACUUUGUUUCACCUUGCUAUUGUCUAUGAUGCCUAUCCUAGUUUAAAUUUGGCAGAGAAUUGCAUGCAGGAAUUCAGAAUUGAAGCUUGAGAUGUGAUAAGCUUGCUCAUUGAGAAACAAAGUCAUCAAUCAAGAUCUUCAAUCCUCUUAUAGCCUAGUUAACAUGAUUUCUCAUAUGAUUCUCUAAAUAUAAUGCUUUGAAAAAUCCACAAAAUUAAAAAAUAAGAAACAAAUCAAAUACUCCCAGCAUAUCGCACAAAAAAAUCAAAUGAUAUCAUACCUAGUUCAAAUUAAACCACCGUAGAUGCCAUAAUGCCAAAAAAAUUGCGCAAAAACACAGAGACGCAAAGAAAUAGUAGAUAAAAUUAAUUUAGAAUUAAAAAAAAAAAGGUGACAGCAAGAUAUAAUAAAUGUGUGAAAUUGAAUGAAAUUUCUUUUACCUGAGUCUGUGAAGCCAUGAGCUAUUCUCUGAAUGCAUAGCUCUGAAUGCAAAGAGUAGACGAAGACUCUAACAGAGCGCAAAUUAUGAAAUUUUUUGGCUGAAUAAUAAUUGAAAUAAAAUUUGAUUUGGUGAUAAAAAUAAAAAGCGACCUAAUUUACUAUUAACGAGGCUCAUAUAACACAAGCCCAACAGUUAAAAAAAAUCAAAUUCCGAAUAGCCCCAUAACAUUCAGCCCAAAUCAAAGAAAUAAAAGGGGACUAAAAUGGCCUCUUUAGCAGAACAUCCCAAAAAAAAAAAAAAUCUCUCAACAUUUUCGGAUUUUCUCCUCUCGUUAUCUUGGCAGCUUGGCUUUGGCACCAGCAGCAGCAAGAGAACAAUGGCGACUCUGUACGCACCAUCAAUCCUCGCAUCCAAACCCCUCCUCUCAUCUCGCCCUCAACUCACUCUGGGCCUCCGAGUCGGCUCACCGACUCUCCGCCUCCCAUCUCGCGCUCACUCGCGCUCGAUCUUGACCGUCAGAGCUGGGGCAACGGACAGCGAGUACUCGUCCAAGAGAAGCAGCAGCAAUGAGCCGAGGGAGACGAUUAUGUUACCGGGAUGUGACUACAACCACUGGCUUAUUGUCAUGGAGUUCCCCAAGGACCCUGCUCCCACGAGAGAGCAGAUGAUUGAAACUUAUCUCAAUACUCUUGCCACUGUUCUUGGAAGGUGCUUCCUCUCAAUUUUUAUAGAUAAUGAAACAUCGUUUUGUGUUUUAAAUUUUUGAACGGGUUUAUGCUUUGAGUGAAAAUAGUUCGUAGAGGUCCAGUUUGGACCUUUUAGUUAAAAAUUGAUUUUUAGUGGAAAAUAACUUAAACUUCCGUCAAAGUUUCCAUUUUUUUUUCCCUUUUGUGUACGUGUGUUCUUGUGCUAGUUGUUUUUCUUUGAGUUUGUAGAGAAUUAUUGAUUCAUUUUCCAUAUAGUGAGUAGGUUUAUUUGGAAGAGUGACAAUUUUAGCUAAACCCAUGUUAGAAAGUUUAUGCAUUUUUAUUACAAGCUUCAGCUUUAUGUCUAUGUAAAAGAUGGUGAAAUCUAUACAGAAGAAUGUUUUUUGGGGAGAAAUUUACCUUGGAAUGUUUUCAAGUGGAACAACCAGAUCUUAAAUGAAGUAAUGGGAUGGAUUAUCCAUUUUAGGGUUUAGGAUGAAUCUAUUAUCAAGACGAUUGUGGGUUUUGACUUUUAUUUUCUUGUCCCAAGUUAGUUAUUGAAUUUGCAUGCGUCCCCGUGUUACUAUGAGGGUGCAUUAUUAUAAGACCACGGAUUAUGUGUUUCCAUCAAUUCGUUCUAGUGGAUCUCACAUGGGGUUUUCUUGUUACAGCAUGGAAGAAGCAAAGAAGAAUAUGUAUGCUUUUAGCACCACUACUUACACUGGAUUCCAAUGCACAGUAUCCGAAGAAACCUCAGAGAAAUUCAAAGGUGUGUAGAUCGGCACUUGAUUAGUUUAGCCAUCUUGUUUUUCUGAUCUAUGAAUGCUGAGAUGUAUUGUAACUACUAUAGGCCUGCCUGGUGUUCUUUGGGUGUUGCCCGAUUCAUACAUAGAUGUCAAAAAUAAAGAUUAUGGAGGUUUGUAUCUCUCUUUUGUUGUUAAAUCACAGAAACGGACAUAAUUAUGGAUUACCAGAUUGCUUUCAUAUUCUGUCCAUGUAAUGUGCUUUGCUAUUUAUCUUGUGGGUUUGAAGGUGAUAAAUAUGUCAAUGGAGAGAUCAUUCCCUGCACAUAUCCCACUUAUCAGCCAAACAAACGAAAAGAAUCAAAAUAUGUGAGCAAAAGAUAUGAGAGACGAAGAGAUGGCCCUCCUGCUGAAAGAAGAACGAGACAAGCAGCUGGUCAGUCAGAAUCAGCGUCGUCAUAAGGUACAGAAAUGCUGAUUUAUAGAUUAAUUACUUAAUUAUGGUUUGAUGUUUUUAUUUUCAGUAAUGUUUGUUUUAUUAUUUUCAACAGUUUGCGACUCCAAAAGCCAAUCAUACUACUGCCACCAUGCGUAUCAGCAGUCUAAUCAAGACACCUGUUUUAUGAGUUCUCAAGCUGUUCUUGGUAGUUUUUGUAAUGGAUAUCAUUUAAUGUAGUUAGGAUAGAAAUUCUCUGGUAAUCGCCAUCAUUUAGUUUUGUGCCUCUGGGCUUGUUAUUUGAAAUGUUGUCCACUGACAUUUCAUGGUUGCCGAAGGUCUGCUGUCUAUUGUCUAAAAGUACUGUUGUGUCAGAUUUCUCAUUUAGCUUUAAUAUAUAAAGUUAAUUUUGCCGUAAUUAGAUGGAUUUGGUCAUAUUAUUUGUUGGAUUAUCUUUGUACGUGCAGGUCUGUGUGUCCGAUGAUGCAUUUAGAAAAAUAAUCGGUCAGGAUGAUGCUUGGACUUACAGCAAGAUUAAGCCAUGUGGCCAGAUGAAAUCAUUUCUCAAGCUUAUCUUACUGCUUGCGGUAUUAAAAGCUUUCCUUACUCUCUUAAAGCAACUCAGCGUUGCAUUUUCAAUUAUGUGAUGGGAUUUAUCCAUUUUAAACUAGUUUUCAUGUUGUAGUACCGUGUCCACUUUAUGGAAGAUCACUUUAUGUCUUGCUAUUGAUCAGUGUUGAUAAAUUGCUCAGUUUUUUUGAGCUGCAAUGGAACUUGCAGUUUGGUGAUGGUAAGUGGUAACACUACAGAUAAUCGCACUCGGUUAAAACCAAAGCUGGAGGUUGCUUAAUUCUACCAUCAAUUGUGGUAGCACGUGUGACCAAUUUAGGAGAUUUGCUGUUUUAAAUCUGAACAUCAAAUGUCACCAUGUCACAAUGCAAAUGAGACUUGAGCAGUGACAAAGUCGGCGAUGUUAUUCACGAUAUAUUGUUAUUAUGUUAGAUAGUAUUAUACGACCCUAUUUAAUUAAUUAAUAACUUGAGUAUAAUUCAUUCGGUUGUUAUGAACUGGGGAUCAAAAACGGUUCAAUUUUUCAGGGAGUGCUUUUAUCUAAUUUUGUACCAAUUGAGGGGUACUAAUAGAUAUGACCCAUAAAGUUAAUAUUUGAAUGCGAUCUUUCUGCACUGCAAAAGUACGGCGGCACGUAAGAAUCCCAAAGUUCGCAAAAUUCCUCCAAUCCUAAUCAGAGUUCGAGAUCACAUGAUAAAAUGUUAUUCUAAUUUACUAUUUAAGUUGGAAUUCAACAUGUUUAAAUGUCUUGAAUGGGCCACUUGGGCUUGUAGCCCAGCGGUGGACCAUUGCCCUCAAAGUUAAGCAUGACUAUGAGGGCAAUGGUUCGAGUCCUCAUAGACUCAACCUCCCUCAAUAAAACAUAAUUGUGUGGAAAUUUCUUAUAGCGUCUUUCUCCCUUGCGAAAUGCGAGUGGAGUAGAGUCAUCCUUCCUCCGUGAGGGGUAUUUGGAUGGACAUGUACUUCAUAGAAUAAAAAUAUAAUAAUAUAAGUCCCAUGUAUAUAUAUCUGAUUGUAAAUAUCAGUGUAAUGACCUGCUGUGAUAGCAGUUGUAUAUAUCUCUGUGUAAUACAGUAACCUGAUGCUUAAUCAGUUUCAAAAAAAAAAAAAAAAUGUCUUGAAUGGGUUUCAUCAAAACUUGGAUUUUUAGAAAUAUAUUACAAGUGGGUUUAAUAAUUACAUAAAUAUAACAUAUCAAUUAAUGCGUAUGACAAAUGGUUUUAGUUAAUUCAAAUGUCCCAAACCCUAAAUUUCUAAAAAUAUGUCACGUGAGUUUAAUAGAACAUUGAGCCCUACCCUUCCUUCCCUAGAAACAUUGCACAUUUAUAGUGUAUGAGUAUGACCAGUUCUUUCUCAUUUUAGCAUUCUUGUAAGUCAAUCCUGCUGCAUUUUCAGUGACAAUUUUCGUCUUUUUCUGGCCCAAGAAAAAAGCAUUUGCCUCCACGCAGGAUCGAACUACGGACCUUCAGUUUACAAGACUGACGCUCUACCACUGAGCUAUAGAGGCGUGAUUGUUGGUUCAUCCAAUAGAAACUAUACUCUAAAUUAACACAAUUGGGAAACUAGAAGAACGGUAGCUCUUGAACAUAUUUUUCUCCGCAGUUAAAAACUAAAGAACGGCAUGCGGAAAAAGAUUACAUUAUAUGAGAGACGAAGAAAGACGAAUAUCAAGAGCGGUAAUGUGACCAAGAAACGUAACCAGCUGAAAAAUGUUCAAGUCCCCCACUUCGUCUUGAAAUAAAAUAAGAUGCAGUACUUGGAUUCCUUCUUCGUCUUGGAACUCUUAAAAUGUCCCCCACUUCAGUCACUUUUGAUCUUGACAAUUCAUUUACAUCAAAGCAUGAGCAUAUGCUACAUACAUACAUACAUACAUACAUGCAUACAUAUAUAUAUAUAUAUAUAUACUGAUGAAUAUUUUAUCUGCCAUCCAAACAUGCAAAAAUUAGGGGGAAAAAAAAAAAUGCAAGUUGGAAAUUAGGUUAUUGCAGUCGAAAACAUAUUUUAUGAGUUAAAAUGCCACACAGUACCGACUGUAGGAUUUUCGGCAAUUGGCAUGUGUUGGUUAAAUAUUAUAACAAAAUUAUCGAUCAUUAGAGGCAAAAUUAAUGAUAAUGAUUAAGGCUGAUCGUGAUCUCUUUGGUCGAGGACCCCGUGUUUUAUGGAGCGUCUUUGUCAGCUCCCCGCCAUGGAGCGUCUCACCUACCGCUUUCUUUUUUUCAAUUAAUUCAAUUAAAAACCAUUAUUUUUCUGACAUUAAUACCUGCUUAAGCUGAUUAAUUAAUUAACACAAAGCUUCUAGCAUAAUUAGCAUGGAGACCAUAACACCCUUUACUGCAAAAGCAUUGCUAAUAAAUUUUUAUUCUGCUGACUGAGAAAUUUCUUUACUAGUUCAAAAGUACUAUGUUAACUAUACAACAAAUAAAUAAUAAUAUAAUAUAUGUAUAUUUAUUUUAAAAAGUUAUUAUACAUAUUGGACAUAUAUUCAGGGGCGGAUCCAGAAUUUAAUAUUACCCCGGGCUAAAUUUUAAAAUUUAUAUUUUGAAGCGAACAUAAAAAUUUAUAAGUAGAAAUAAGUAUAUUAAAUAAGGAGGAAUACCAAGAAUUUUAUCUCUCUAAAUAUGUACUAUAAACAAAAAUAAUUAUAAAAAAGAGUAGAAAAUAAAAAACAACUCAAAUAUGAAAUUAUUUUUUAAUUAUAGAAUUUGACAUUGCAACCUAUAAUAACUUGUAAUUAUAUAAGGAUUAAAAAAUCAAUUAAGAAAUUUAAAUUAACAUAGAUCAAUACAUGUAAUUACAAUCAAUUAAAAAUUGCAAGUAAAACUUUUAUGCAUGAAGUGAAGUACUAAAUUAUCCGACUUAAUAAAUUAAAUAAUUAAAAUUUAUUUAUCCUUUCAAAUUGUAUAAGUAUUUUUAAUCAAAAGUUUCAAUAAUAAACUAAACUCAAUUCAACAAAAAGAUAUUUGGGUGCAGUUGUUUCUUUGUCGGAUGCUCUAUCUCUCUUUAAAGAAUUAGAAGUUGAUGAUUCUUCUAUUAAAAGCUCUUAAAAUACUCAAAUUUUAUUUUCUAACUUGUCCUCUUAGUUAAUAUAACUAAUAAAUAAAAUCUGAAAAUUCACAUUAAAAUUUUAUGAAAAUAUUGAUAAUUGUUACUAUAUGUUAUUUCUGUAAGUACUUUUAAGUCUAGUGAUGAUGUUAUAUUACAUUGACAUAUAUAUUUUUUAAUUAGAAGCUUUUUAAAAUAAAUUAAAGCAGUAAUAAAAUUUUAACACCCUAAUGUUUUCAAUCUAUUCAAUAAAUAUAUAAUUUAAUCAUUUUAUAAAAUAAGUCACUAAUUUCAAUUGAAAAUAAUAUAAUUGACUUAGGGACACAUUUAUAAAUAAAAUAAAAACUCUAUUAUUAUAUAAAAUUAAUGAAAACAUAUGGGUAAUUGAGUUAGGGACAUAUUUAAAUAUAAAAUGAAAACUCUAUUGUUAUACUAAAUUGAUGAAAAUGUAAGGGUAGUUGAGUUAGGGAUAUAUAUGAAACUAAAAUGAAAACUCUAUUGUUUUAUUAAAUUAUUAAAAAAGUAAGGGGUGUAAAUGAUUUUUUUCUAAACUAGACCGGGCUACAGCCCGGUCUAGCCCACGUGCAGGUCCGCCACUGCAUAUAUUAAUUAAUUAUAUUAUCUCUAAUAUAUUUUAGAAUUUCUCUUAUCAUGAUAAUAAACUAUAUAUAAAAUUUCUUGAGAUCAAUCAAUGCAAAUAACCUGGGUUAAUGGUCAAUUUUGUUAAUUAAUUAAUUAAUUUUUUUUUUUGAAUUAGAGUAGCUAUGAAAAUAAAUUUGUUGUGAUAUUUUUGGCACGCCACUCAUCAUAGUGAGGGUCACGCACAUGUCACGCGUGGGGAACCUGCUUAUCCCACACGUGGGCCAAUUUUAACAUUGUGUCGGGUCUGUCAUUUGUCCACGUGUUUUACAUCAACUUGCUAGAUAUCGAGGGUCCCCUACGAGUAAGUUGAUCAUUAUCUGAUGAAACUUUUGUCCAAGUGCUGUCACUGCCACCCUGCUCCUUUGCAUGCAUGCCCCUUGAAAGGGCAAAAAUGUAAAUUGCUGAAUUUUUUUCUAAUUUUUUGGUCAUAAAUAUAAUAAUACCUAGACUGUGACUACAUAAUUCUAGAGAUAUUGUUCUCGCUGCUUAAGCCUUAACAGUGUUGUCAAAUAAUUAAAUUUUAUUAGCUUUCUCAUUAUUUGACAAUAUCAAAAUUAUAAGGUACAUUAGGCUUGUUUGAGAUUAUUUUUGAAAGGUUUAAAAGUAAUUUAAAAAAAUUAAAAGUUAAUUUUAAUAUUUAUUAACUUUUUUUUUAUAAAUCGCUUUUAACAAAAUUACACUGACUUUAGAUUUUGAAAAGUAAAGAAAGAAUAACUUUUCAAAAUCUAAUUUUAAAAAUCACUUUUAUAAUACAAUCUAUAUAUCCUCUCACAUAUAUUAAAAAAAUCUAAAAUUAUCAUUAUUAAUUAAGAAAUAAAAUUAUUAAUUUUAAAAAAUUAUUAUUAUUAUUAUUAUCAAUUAUAUUAAGACAAUAAAAUAAAAAAUAAAAGUAAUAAUAUAAAAAUAUAUAUUUUAAUUUUCAAUUAUUAUAUGUACAUAAUAAAAAAUAUUAAAAAUUUAACUAAUUUAUUUUACGAUUGAUUAUUUUUACAACAUAAUUAAUAACAAUUAUUUUAAAACCAUAUAACACUACCGAACCGGCCGAUUGAAUAUUUUUUAAACCAAAUCUUAAGUCCUAUGCAAAACGAGUAUAUAGAAUCUUCCCGAACUAUGAAGUGUUAAAUUACCUUUACACCCUUUAGUCCAGUUACUGAAACCAGUCUUUCGAAGACUCUGCAGGGCUGUGAGCUUUUUGGCUCUUUGACUGCAGACACAAACCGUUACUCGCCUCAGGUUUUCUUCUGAUCCAACCGAAUAUUUUUCUGAAUUGACCAAAUUGCCCUCCAACCCUUAACCCUGGUUAAAUAUUCCCCUCGGUUGAGUAAAAAGAAUACGAAUUUGUGCUUAGAAUUUUAAUUAGUGGUUGCUUUUGCUUAUAAGCUAUAAUAAGCAUCUACAUCUUAAAAUUGCAUUAUAUAUUCGAAAAAAUCUGAACAAACAUAGAUGGAGAUUGAUUGAGAUAUAGGCAUGCAAUUCGCAGGAGGGACCCUACUAUAGUGAAUUAUUAAAGUUUGCUUUGGGUCAGGGAAAAAAUUCCAUUAAGAUAUUUUCACAUAUUUUAUUAUUAAAUAAAAAUAUUAUAACAUAAAAUUUAAUGGAUGGUUUCUUGGAUUUACUAUGAUGUAAUUGUGGUACCAUAUCAUGAUUGUACUCAGUCAUUAGAUUCAGUCAUUUGCUUUCACCAUAUUUGGAUUCAAUUGUUGAAAGCAACUAUAGUAUGAUACCACAGCUGCACCAUAGCUUGACCCCGGUUUCUUUAAAAAAUAACAAAGAUAAAUUAAAUUCAUACGAAAAAUGAAAUUGUAAUAUAUGAGUGCGAGGAAAUUUUUAUUAAAUAUUUCUUCAAACUGAUCAAAUUUAUUUUUAGUCGAUUUUAAAAUUUUUUUUUGUAAGCUCAUUUUUUUAUGGCUCAUGGACCACAUGAUAAUAGAACUUAAAAGUUAAAACACAAUCAAUAAAGUAUCAAAAUUAAGCAAGUAAUCUUAGCUAAUCACAUUUACAAAAUAAGCAACCCCAGCCAUAAUUGAGGUUAUUAAUUACUUUCAUUCCAAAACCUUAACCAAGCAAACUCUGGAAAGCACAAAUUUAGGCCCCCAUCAGUCACCCACCCAACAACAACCAGAGGGGCAAAACAGUAAUCUGCACAUCUAAAUCCACCCCUUUAUUAAACACCUUUCCACUUUCCACUCUCCCUCCAGUUCUCCUUAAACCUCUUCUUUCUUUUUUCUUUCCAAACUCUCUAAAAAGAGAAGAAGAAGAAAAAAAAAUGGAAAAAAGAAAAAUGGAAAUCUUUAUGUUUAGCACCAAAAAUAAUAAAAUCUUAUUGACAAGUUUCUUGAUUUUGCUCUUAUCACCAAUUGCCUUCUCAUCUUCAAUCCACGAUCUUCUCAAGGCAAGAGGGUUACCCGCAGGCCUGUUGCCAAAAGAGGUGAAGUCCUACGCUUUGUAUGAGAAUGGGACACUCGAGGUUGAGCUCCAAGGGCCGUGCUUCACAAAAUACGAGAACAGGGUCUUUUUUGAGAGCGUGUUUAGGGCUAAUCUCAGCUACGGCAGCCUCACCGGAGUCGAGGGCUUGUCGCAAGAAGAGCUCUUCAUUUGGCUCCCUGUUAAAGACAUAAUUGUUGACGAUCCAACGUCCGGCCUCAUUUUGUUUGAUAUUGUCGUUGCUCACAAAGAACUCUCUUUGUCUCUCUUUGAAGAUCCUCCUGACUGUAAACCCCAAGGUAUGUGUCAAGUCUCCACAUUUUGAUUUUGAAUUUUUUUUUUCACAUAAUUUGCUGAAUUUUUUUUUUAAAUUUUAUAUCUGGGGUUUUUUUUUAAAAAAAAAAAAAUUGUAUGAUCAGUUUGUGAAAUGGGAUUUAAUGCAAUUUUUUGGUGAUGCCUUGUAAUAUUUUUUGAGUUUCACGGCAAAUUCAAGAAACUGAAUACAGACUCAGUUUCCUGGGCUGUUUCUUUGAUAUGUCUUUUUGUUUGUUUCUCUAACAAACUUACAACCACAAAAAUGUUAAUUAUUAUUAUUAUUUUAAAGAAAGAAAGAGAUUUUUACCUUUAUUUUGGCUUCAUUUAUUGUAUAGUCUGAGUAAAUUUAUGUUUGUGAACUGAUGUUAAAAGUGAAAUAUCAUGUGCAAUUGCAGGAGAGUUGAAGAAUCAUGUGAGGAAGGAGAAAGGAUUUGUUGAGGCAAUGAGAUAAAAAAAAAAAAAAAAAAAAAAANNNNNNNNNNNNNNNNNNNNNNNNNNNNNNNNNNNNNNNNNNNNNNNNNNNNNNNNNNNNNNNNNNNNNNNNNNNNNNNNNNNNNNNNNNNNNNNNNNNNNNNNNNNNNNNNNNNNNNNNNNNNNNNNNNNNNNNNNNNNNNNNNNNNNNNNNNNNNNNNNNNNNNNNNNNNNNNNNNNNNNNNNNNNNNNNNNNNNAAAAAAAAAAAAAAAAAAAAAAAAAGAUGUCAAUUCCUGUGACAACUUUUGUCUUUUCUCUUAUGUAACCCACCUUUAGCUUUUACUAAUUAUAGUUAAUAAGUAGGUCUCUGUUUUUUGCAUUUUGCCUUUCUUUUCUUUGUCUCUUCAAAUAUUUGAAGUUGCUUGGUAGAAUUUGUAAAGAUGAAAAAUUCUGGGAAUCAUAUCCUCUAAUCAAAUCUGACUUUCUCCUGCAUAAUUAUCCCUUUUGUUUUUUUUAGCUGGAUUUUUGUUCUCUUAUAUCAAUUGGAUUAGACGGUAAAGUUUACAAACUAAUUGAAAUGUUUGAAACCAAAUCAAAUUUUGAAACAAUUCAUUAGUUUUGAGCUGACUUUGCGGACUGUGACCCGGGGAAUUUUAUAAUUAAAAGGCCGAAAAAAGCCUCUCUUCACGGGCCAAUAAUGUGCCUCAUACAGACAAAAGUUUUCUUCACUUUUUUUUUUUAUCAGAUUUUUUUUAAUCUUUCUUGGUAACAUAAAAAUAUUUUCAUUCAUACGUUUACUAUUAAAUUUACUUUAUUUAUUUUACGCGGGAAUCGUGGGCCAGAGCUGGGCCCUCCGGAUUACUGCAUGGGUUGCUGAGCGGACCCACGCGGUCACAAGGGUCCGGGCUAAUCAUGUUGUUGUUACAUUUUUGUUGCUUUGCUUAUUACUUUAUUAGUGUGCUUUGGCAAUUUCACAAAUAAUAUAUUAUCCCUCCAUUUUGAUAUAUCUUUACACUAAUUGGGUUAUGGAAUCAGGGCAAGUUCAAGAAUAUAAACAAUCUCUGGUAGGUAGGAUUGAUGCUUUUCUUAUAUUUUAUUUAGGGUGUUUUUAAUUUUUCUUUUCAUUAGUGAUAACCUUUUUUUGAUUCAUUUAAAAUGUAAUUUCGAUCCAUCUAAGAGUCAAACGGUUCCAUUUAAGUUUUUUUUUUAAAUGAUUUUGAUGGACGGUUCUUUUAUGUGUGUACUAGAAAUUUGACUCAAUAAAUUAGUUGACUCUUAUUCAAGAUUAGAUGAAAUUAAAUUUAAACUACUUCAAUUUAAUAGGUGACUCAUUUUUUUUUUCUCAAAAUAACACCUCUUAUGAAUUUGUACAAGACAAAAUAAAAGAAUACUAAUUUGCAUUUUAAUUUUUCAUUUUGAAUAGGGAAACUUCUGUCGGACCUCUCGGCAGGCCGCCUUUUUUGUCGUUUCGUCUUUAUUGCUUAGUAAAAUGUCGGGUUCCGAUGUCAGUUUCAAAUAGCUGUGGACAAGUCCAAAGCUCGCACGCGCGCGCACACACCGAAAUCUGAUUAAGGAUUCUGAUUUUUUAUUAGAAUUUAAAAAAUUAUUAAAUUAUAUGAUUUAGUAUUAUAAUGAUAAUAAUAUUAUAUUAUUAAAUUAUGUGGUUUAAUAAUUUUUAUUUUACACACAGUUUAAUAAUUUUUAAAAACUUUAACAAAUUCAAGAUUGUAGAUUAGAGAACACACGCAAACGUAGGUGUGUAUAUAAGAAUGAAUAAAUAAAUAAACUUUAAAAAAAAAAUGCGAAGAAAAAAGGCGUCCUUGUUGUUUGCAUUUGACUGGUGCUGUUAAGUUUAGAAGGACCACCUAAUUAUCUAACAUUAUUGGGUAUAAAUGUAUAAUCGGAUCGGUUGAAUUAAUAAUUAAAUAAAAUUUAGAUUACUAAAGUCGGGUGACAGAACAGAACAGUUCAUCUACCGGGAAGGUCGUCUCAAGUUUUCAAUUCAUAUUUCUAACUAAUAUAAAGAUUAUUAUUAUUAUUAUUAUUUUUUGGCAUUUCAAAACAGAAAAAAAAAAAAUUGUUUAGGUAAACUUUUACAUAUUUUAUUAAUGGUAUAAUUAGUUGGAAUCAUUGUCCCAGCGGCUGGCAGUGGGCGGUAAAGAGGCUUGCCUACGUCUAAUUUGGGCUCGAGUUUAAACAGUUGAACCCCAAAUUUAGGUAUGGGCUGUGUUUAGAGUUUUUACGUACUAUUUACGAGUACAAAGAACGAUGCAUUUCGACCUAAGAAUUUAUUCUAGCGUACUGAUAUUUGACCAUCAAAUUAUCUUGCAAGCCCUUUUUUUUAAUUUAUCUUAUUACUUUUCAUAAUUAUUUGUAUUGAACAAUAAAAAAAAUUUAGUUUAUUUUAUUCACGCUCUACCUCCUUCUCUCUCUAAUAGUAAUUAACAAAGUGAGGGCUAAUAAGAUAAAUUGAAAGAGUAAAAUAUCAUUGUUCCAUAUUUUAUUAGAUCUCCUUUCAACAUGAACGGACAUCAUUUACUUUCGCUUGAUGAGUUAUUAAAAAUCUCAUUGAGUCAGUUGGAUUAAAAUUAGAUCUAAUCACUCUUCAAAUAAAGAGUAAGAUAAUCAUGUUGGCUUGGUCUGAUAACAGAAUGACAUCUAGUGUUAUUUAUCCUAUCAAUUUUGCUUUUGCUUCCCCGCUCCGUCACUAUGAAACUAUGAAUUUUGAUUUGUUAGAGAAGCACCGCAAAGAUCCAAUUUUCACCAUUCUAUACUAGUUAUAUCAACACUACUAAAGAUCCCAAAAUUUGAAGUUUAACUUAGUCUUAACUGACAUGUCAGUCAACUAGGGUGAGCAUCAACCUACUCAACCCAUGAAACCGACCCAAGCCGCAUGAUUUUUUGCUGUUUGAUUUGGGUUGGUAAAAUAUAUGGGUUGGGCUGAAAAUUUUUAACCCAACCUUCACACACGCAUAGGGAUGAUAAUUAUACCCGUAAACCUGCAAACCCACCCAAACCCGUCCGCUGCGGGUAAUUUUACCCGUUGCGAGUGGGUUUAGUAUUAUAAACUAAAACCCGUACAUGGAUGUAGGUGGGUUUGUUAUUAACUUUAUAUCCGGUGGAUACCCACAUGGAUAUCCGCCAGACCCGCAAUAUUUUUUCUAAAUAUUUUUAUUUAAUUUUAAUCUAAAAAAUGUAUAAAGAAAAUAAUGUAAUUAUUCAAAUUAUCAAAUAGCCAAAGGCCUAAAGUUGUGUAUGUGUGUACGUGACCCAUCUUCCAUUCUAAAGUCAUGACCUAAAGAAAACUAAAGGCAUUUCCCCUUUGACUUAGCCGCACACCCGUGUGACUAUCUCUCAUCUCUGUCUUCAUUCAAUCAUUCUUUUCUUCUUUAGUCGUGAGCUUGUGAUAGUGAGCCAGUGCCUUACACCCAACUUAAUUCAUGGAUUAUUAUAUACCUAUUAUAAUUUUGUUUGUACUAUUUUUCUUUAACUUAAUACAUGAAUUAUUUUAUUAUUAUAAUUUUUUUCUUCGAAUUAGUAGUUAAAAAUAUUAUUCUUAAUUAUUAUUGUAGGCAUCGUGUUGGAUGGGUGCUUAUGAUGGUGAAUGAAAUGAAUAUCUUCUCUUGGAGCUUGUUUUAAAUGAUAAUAUGAAAUGUAAUUGUUAUUUUUAGAUAGUAGUUUGUGUUUUUUAAAUGGAUUUAUGUAAUUUAUACUUAAAAUUGAGAAUUUGUGUUGGAUUGAUGUUGAAAUUUUAAUUUUUCAUUUACAUUGUUUAAAUAUAAAAUUGAGCAUGUUAUAUGAAAUUUGAGGUUAUUAUUAUAAAUUUAUAUACUAUACAUUUGUGAUUUUAAAUGCAGAAACUUGCAAAAAAUAUGUCGGGUACCAUUGCGGGUUUGGUAAUUGUCAAAACCCACUGUGGGUUGCGGGUGGGUUUGGUAAUUUAAAUUUUGUGCGGGUUUGGCUUUGGUAAUGACAAAACCGCUGCGGGCGGUGCCCAUUGCCAUCCCUACAUACACACAAAAUUGAUAAUUUAUAUAAAAAUUAAAAAAAAACAAAAUAUAAAUAUAGAAGGAUAAGAAAGUCUCUCACAACUGUCGAAACUUUGUCAAUUAUAGUAACCCUAACGCAAAUUCAUUUUGAAUUGCAGCCCAGCCGCAAAGGUUCUUAUUUUUGUUUUGAAACAAAUUGGUCAACUUUAUUGUUAAGAAUUGAAUUGGAUUAAAUUAUUAGGUGCUCUAUAAUAUUUUUUUAUGAAAUAAAUUGGUAAAUUUUUGGUUGUGAAGGUGUCAAGAACAAUUUCACCAAACCGAAUCUUCAAAUUUCACAUUAUAUUUCAUCUCAAAUCAUUAUCAAUUCCACGACAGUCAUGGGGAUUUAAAAAAGUAGGUGACGUGAAACUGGGUUCUUUCGUGUUGGCCAUUUAGAUGCAUGUUUUCCAUGCUUAGAUUAUUAGUUUUUGACUAGAGGAAGGGAUUUCGGGACCAAUAUUCUGCAAUUUUCACAUAAAAUAGGAGGAAAAAGAAAUCGUGAUUGAUAUUUCUUUUUCGUCCUAUUGAAACAAGUUUUGCUAAUAUUUAUAUGAAUUGAGUUAUUUGGUGUGAAUUUUUUUUAAUGAAAAAACUAUGGAUAAUUUUGGAAUUUUUAAGAGUGUGUUGAGUAAAUAUUUAAUUUUUAAAUUAAACAAACGGGCGUUUCAAGUAAAAUGGUGUUCAACACCCGCCCUUUGGGGUAGGGAUGGUAAGAUAACUCGGAUGAUCUGGGUCGGGUUUAAUAUGUACUGCAUUUAAAUAAUAUGUAGAUUCGGUAUUGAUUUUUUUGAAUCCGAAUGUAUCCAGGUCCAAGUCUAAGUUUAGGUAUAUCCAGAACUCGGAUAUAUUUAUUUUUAAUAUAAAUAUAAAAAAUAAAAAAUCAAUGGAAAAAGAACAUCAAAACCCUAGUUUACAUAUUUUAGGCUUUUAGCUUAUAUGGCCGCCGCCAUUUCCUUUCUUUUUCAUCUCCCAAAUUCAUCAAUUUAAAUCAUUAUCAUUAUCAAAUCGUCAUCAAUCAUCAUCAAAAGCUUGAAUCUCUCAAUAACUCCUAAGCCCAUUCACAGUCACAGUUCACGCAUCUAUGUUUUAGUUUGCUAUCAUUUUAGCUGUUGUUUGAUGAUGAUAAGCUGACAAUCACAAAAUUUAGGUUUUGCUUUGCACUUUUACUGCACUGUUUUGUUAUUAUUCGUAUUUUUAUAUUGAAGCAAAUCGGUGAUGGAAAAAAAUUGGUAAAAUUGAACAUCAAUGCCCUACCUUCGGUUUUCUACUCGGAAACAAGCCCAUAAAUGCUGGUGCCCAUUCUGGAAUUUUGCCAUCCCUCGUUUGGGGCAUAUUCCAUUAAGACCAUUGGGGUAUAUUUACUUUCACCAAUCAGAUUUUAUCUCACCAGCUGAUUGUCCAACGUAAAAUCAAACUACUACAAGGGUACAAUAGUCUUUUCAUAGAAAUCGACUCGAGGGUUUAGCUAAAGGAUCGCUUAUUCCGGAGAUUAUACUGGGAAAAAGGAAUCAAUUAAUGAUAAGACUACAAAAAAAAAAAAAAAACUGCAAGUCAGAUAAUGAAGGGUAUUAUACAUUUUAAACGCUUAUACACGUCCAGAUACAUUUUCAACGCUUAUACACGUCCAGAUACAUUCUCAAAGGUCAAACCUCAGGAGAGGCAUCCACAAACUACCCCAACCAAACACAAACCAAAAGAUCUGCCUCUGCUGGUCCGGUGGAGUUCCCUUCUUGUCCUGGAUCUUAGCCUUGACAUUGUCGAUUGUGUCAGAGCUUUCGACCUUCAAAUUUAUGUUUUGCCGGUCAGGGUUUUCACAAAUAUCUGCAUGCCACCCCUGAAAAGGCGGACCGAAUGAAGGGUUGACCCGUGGAUGUUGUAGUCUACAAGUGUGCGACCAUCCUCGAGUCGUUUGCCAGCAAAGAUGAACCUCUGCUGCUGUACGGCCAAGGCGGAUGUACGGUACAGCAGUAAAUGGAUUUGUGUAAUUUAUACUUAAAAUUGAGAGACACGAUUGACCAUUAAAAUGACGAGAUUGCCCAAAUUCCGUCCAGUACAAUGAUGCCACGUCUUUAAUAUUUGGUGUCCCCUUCCUGACCCACACGCCGACAUUAGUUUGGCAAACCGUUGACGAAUCGGAAGAGGCGGACAUCUUUGAAAUUUUAGGAUAUUGGCACGUACGACUUACGAGUGUGCCACACCUCACACGCUCGCUCAUCAUUCUAAUUUUCUAUUUGUAUAUUUGUGGAUCAUUUUUAACGAUUUAAAGUUAUUUAAAAAAUAUUAAAUAAGUUAUUCUGAAAAGAAAAUCUCUAAAAAUUUAAAGAUUUCUAUAACGACAUUUCUGAUAAUAAAGUUCAAUUUUUUUUUUCAAUGUGUAAUUUUAAGUUUUUGAGCUGGAUGAAAGUGAAAAUUAUGGUAAUGUAAUUGAAUUAAUCAUAAAUAAAUAUUAUUAUAUUAUAAGAAUCACUAUGGUAAUGUAAUUGAACUAAUCAUAAAUAAAAAUAGUGAUUCAGGAAUAAGAGGGAAAUUUUACAAUCACAAAAAGAAUAUAAAAUUGAGAAUUCUCGAUUAGGUUGAUAAUCCAUGUUGAUAAUUUAUGAUAAUUUUCAAUAAAGUAUCAUUGAGAUUUAUUGAUAAAGCCAAAAAAAUUAGAGUUCAGAAUAUUUAAUCAAGCUACUCACUUCAAUAAUAUCAUGCUAUGUUAGUUCAAUAGUAUAAGUCAUGAUUAUUUUUUAAUAUUCUAGUAUCUAUUUUUUUUUUAACAUAAAAAAUAAAAUGCAUUGCAGUACUGCAAAUUCAUAACUCCUACAACACGUAGUCCACACACAAUACACUAUUCAAUCAAAUUACCAGUCCAUUACAACAAAUAAUGAGUUAAAUUAUUUUAUUAUAUUGAUGUACUAGAGGAAAGAUUGUGCAAACAAAGUAUCAAUAAAGGAUAUUUUCUACUCUAUAUACAAACAAUAAAUUCAAUAUUUAUUCGAGAUGGCUCUUAACUAUUUUAAUGUACCCUCCACAUUAAAGUUGGAUUUAUUAAUUAAAUUAAUGCAGUGAUCGAUUUGCAGAUAAAAAAAAAAAUAUUUAAACCUCAUGACCACUUUAUAUGGGUAGAGCAUGGAAACACAAACAAAAAAUUGAAAAGGGAAAAUAAAUUCCAUCGCAGAGAAAGAGGAAAGUUGGACUUACGUUUGCAGCAAGUUUUCCUCAAUUGAAGCAACUAAAUUAUAAGCUUAUAAUUUAAAUACCUUUAAUCAAAUUCUCAUUUCUUGCUUAUAAUUGAAGCAACUAGAUUAUCACUUCCUUCACGUAUAUAUUAGCUGUUAUUAUAUUAACGUAUUAGCUGCAUAUCCGUGGCUUAUUGCAUGAUUUAUAAAUUACUCUUUCAUGAUUGUUUCGCCAGCACGCGCCCAUGCUUCCUAGAUGAGCGUGGGUUUGUUUUUCCGUUAUUUCCUCCGUUGUUUCUCCCUCAACAGACGGAGUCUACCAAACUCAUUAGCCGAUAAUAGUUCUUGCCAUCACCCACUUGACAAUUAACUAAUGGAUCCCCUAAGUUGCAGCUCACUCGCGUAAGUUACAGCUCACUCGCGUAAGUUACACCUGUCCUGUAUAAUUUUAUGUAGCCCCCUAUACUCUAUAUUAUUUAUACUUUAUUUAUACGUAUUAUAAAUUUUUUUGCAUUGUAAACUUUCAUUUAGCCCUUACACUCUAUUUUAUUUCAUUAAAACCUUUAGAGUAUCAAUUCACCACCCCCUAUAAUUUUAAAUUCCCAAAAUACCCUCAAUUUAAUUAAAAAAUAUAAUUAUUGUUAAAUGAUUUAUAAUUAUAAUAAUUAUUUUAUUAUAACUAUAAAUAUAAUUAUAAUUUUUAAAUAGAUUAUUAUUGUUGUUGUUGUUGUUAUUAUUAUUAUUAUUAUUAACAAGAAUAAAAAUUAUGAUAAAAAUUAAUUAAAGAUUAUAUAGUAAUUUGUUACAAUUUAACUCAUUUUGAUUUUGAUUCUAAGACAAAGUAAAUACAUAAAUGGUAAUACAUCUCAUUAUAAUUACGAUUUUUGUAGUUCAAGUAAAUAAAUUAUUCUGAUUCCAAUUCUUCAUUUCGAUUAUAGCUAUUCUGAUUUUAACUCAUUAUAUUUCUAACUAAUUUCGAUUCCUGUUUAGUGAACACACUAUAAAAUUGUAAACCAUUCUAUAUUCAAUUAGACCACUCUAUAUUAUUUACAAUUUAUUCAUAAGUAUUAUGAGUUUUAUAGUGCAUUCACUAAACAUGAAUCAAAAUUAGCUGGAAACAUGAAUCAAAAUUAGAAUCGGAAUAGCUAUAAUCAAAAUAAGGAAUUGGAAUUAGAAUAAUUUAUUUACUUAAACUGCAUGAAUCGUAAUUAGAAUGAGCUGUAUUACCAUUUAUGUGUUUAUUUUGUCUUAGAAUCAAAAUCAGAAUGAAUUAAAUUGUAACAAAUUACUAUAUUUUAUAAAUUAAUUAAUUAUAAUACUUUUUAUUCUUGUUAAUAAUAAUAAUAAUAAUAAUAAUAAUAAUAAUAAUAAUUUAUUUAAUAAUUAUUAUAUGUUUUAAUUAAAUGGAUCGUAUUUUGGGAAUUUAAAAUUAUAGGGGGUGAAUUGGUACUUUAAGGGUUUCAAUGAAAUAAAAUAAAGUGCAAGGGACAAAACAAAAUUUUAUAAUACAGAACGUUCUAUAAUACUUAUUAAAAAAUAUUAAAUAACAUAGGAAUUGAAUAAAAUUUUAUAGGACAGUUGUAACUUACAUUAGCUGUAACUAAGGCAGACCAUUAAUUAAUUAUUUAAAUUCAUCCUUUAUUUUUCCUUAUUAAAAAAUUAAUUUAUUAUUCGAAUUAUGAUUGGCGGUAUGAUUUUUUUUUUUUUUGGUUUUGACCACGAGGUAUCUUGGGGAGGGCCCCAACUGUGGGAGGCACCUUUAAGCCCGUACCUCAAUCCAGACUAGAACUCCCCGCUUGAACCGAGAGGCACAUGUUCUCCCAACAAAGGCGACUUCCCUGCGACUCGAACUGAGGAGCAAACCCAGUCAACCCACUUAAGGGGACUCCAUUGCUAGUGAAGCCAACACUUUGUUAGUACUGUCGAUAUGAUUUUGAUCCAAUGAUUUAAGGGCACGGCUACGAUACAUGCAUGUAUGUGAUACAUGCAAGCAAUAAAAAAAUAGAAAAAAACAUAGCAAUUGUUUAGCUGCCACAAACAUUAAAAAAUAAUAAUAACCGGGAACAACCGGUUGCUCUUUAACGUAAUUAAAUAAUAAUAAAUAUUAUUAUAUUUAAAUAAAACAAAUGUAAUAAUAAUAAAAUAAUAACUAUUUUAGUAUUAUUUUAGGUCACAUAAUAAUACAAAAUUAGUUAUAAUAACAAAAAAUAGUUCCAAAUUUAAUAAUGUUAAUUUCAAAAUCAAUGGUAGCAGUUCCACAUUUAUUGGUGCAAUAUUGGUAAGAUUUUGAUGGUUGCAAGUUAAUAAUCCAAUGUUUCAUAUUUAUUAACCUAAGUUUCAAGUUGCGUUGGAAUCAACUUUAAUGGUCAUUGUUUCAAAAUUAAUGGUAGGUGUUUGAUAUUUGUUGUCCACAACAUGAAAAGCUCUAAAGGUUGCAAGUUAAUGAUUACAUGUUUCAUGUAUAUUGGCCUAAGUUUCAAUUUAAUUUGGUUCCAAAUUUAAUGAUCCUAAUUUCAAGAAUAAUGGUAGUUGUUUCAAAUUUAUUGGUCCAUAUUUUACAUAACCAUCAGGUUUGCACGUUAAUAAUCCAAUGUUUCAUAUCUAUUGACCAAAGUUUCAAGUUGCUUUGGCUUUAAGUUUAAUGGUUCAUGUUUUAAAAUUAAUGGUAGAUGUCGAUUUACAAGUACGAAAAAUGAUGCAUUUCGACCCAAGAUUUUAUUUUAGCGUACUGAUAUUUGACCAUCAAAUUAUCUUGCACGCCUUUACUUUUCAUAAUUAUCCGUACUGAUAUUUAAACCCUACAACCUUCAGCAUCGUAAUGGGGAUCAAAGAUGGAGGGGAACCAGUAUACAUCCGAGAAGAAGCGGGUGGUAUAAUUGAACUGCGUGCCAAGUAUAGAACAGGUGGAAGAGGAAUUGAAAUAGCCGCAGUUACUGAAAGACUGAUAGCUAGUGAGAGUAGUGAUGAUGACUUUAAGAUCAUGUUUUCUUUGUUUGUUUUAGGAACUGUAUUGUGUCCCACAAGUGUCAGCUACAUUAAUCCGAUGUAUCUGCAUGCCCUAAAAGAUGUGCAGUUAAUUAGGAAAAAAAAUUGGGCUACAUGGUGCUUCAACUUUCUGUGGGAGGGCAUAGCGAAGUAUAAAGAUCAUCAAGUGAAGUCAGUUAGUACUUGUGUUUUGUUUUUAGAGGUAUAUUUAAGAAAUCUUAGAUGCCAUAAUUAAUUUGCCAAAUAUGAAAAAUAAAAUGACGUACGUAGUAAUUAUUUUUUGAAUGAACAGUUGUUCUACUUUAGUGUUGUUUUGUAUGAUCGAUGUUCCAUGGACAGAACAGUUUGCCUUGUUAGUGUAUAGACCAAGGAAGAGAUUCAGCGAUUAUUGAAUUGGCGGAAAAAGUUUGGGGACAUGACAAGUACUGAGCUUUGUUUUAUUUUUUGUCUUGUUCACACAUGUAUUUAAUUUUGUUUACGAUUAAUUGAAUAUAUUUUGAUUGUCAUUAUGUAUGAUUGUUAUGCAUAUUUAUUUUAGGUUCCAAAUGCGUGAAUUAAAUUUUCUGCAGCUCGAAAGAAAUUUCCCUCAUUUUGAACAAACCAAAGAUGCUGGGCCGAGCACUGUUAAUAUGGAGGAAGCUUUUAGGGUGCUAACACAGUGUGUCCAAAGAAUUGAACACAAAAUGGAUUCGUUCAAUGUGAGAAUGGAAAUGGUUGAGAAGUCUUUGGAGGAAUUGAGAUCCAAGUCUCCGGUUGGUGCACCAUCAAAACAACCAUAUGAUCCAUGCCCGCCAUCUCCGAGCUUGAAAAUAGUAGAACCAACAUGUCCAGUCAAAAAAACCGAGCCAACCACUGAUGGAAAAAACAAAAUGGUAAUGGAUAGCGAUGAGGACUCUGUGGAUCGCAGAUUGAACCUGAGCCUCGAUAAAAUAAUGGGCUGGAUGGGGAAAAGAGAAGGAAUCGGUGAAUUUCGCAAAGAUCCUACCCACUUUGUCCUUAUUCCACCACCUAAUUCCGAGAUGAGGUACAGUUUUAUAACGUCGUUUUCUAAAAAUUAUUUUGAUGAUAACUCACUUAUGAAGUAAUUUACAUAUAAUUUUUUUUUAUGAAAUAUAUAGACGAACCAGUUCAACUUAAGCAAGAACUUCAAACAUUUACUAGUGUCAGUGUCCUGCCAACGCCACCAAGUAGGAAUCGUAGGCCAGGCCGAUAUCAACUUUCACCAUACGAUCAAGUGUCGAGGGGAGCAAAUCCCAAGUAUAAAGCUGGUCCGUUUCAAGUCAAUGAUCCAGUUACGCUGGAAGAAUUGAAGCUUAUUCAAUAUGCUUUUAACAAAGAGGCUGACGGAAGGUAAAAUUCAGAAGACUGAAAUUAGUUUUCUGUAUAUAGUUGUUAUGCUAUACGACUAAAAAAUUACCGUGUUUUAUCUUUAGUGAAAUCAUUGUUUCUAGCUAUGGCGAAAUUCUUAAUCGGCAUUCUUUAUUGACUCUUUUGCCGGGGCUUAUCUAUGUGGAGAGGUAUUAUGUUUCAACAUUUGGUGAUGUCACAAUAUAUGUUUGUCCUUUAUUAUAUGUUAUUAUAUAUCUCAAUCAAUAUGAUCACUUUUAGGUGAUUUCUAUGAAAGCGCAUCACCUCACCCUCAUUCAGUAGGUGGUGGAGAAAGAUGUGCCAAUGAACUGGUAUUUACCAACAAGAUAUUCUGUGAGUCUCGCCGGUACUUGUUGCAUUGUGUUUUGGUUUCUUUAUUGACAACUUCCUUAUGCAACGUUGUCUUUAUCAUGUGUAGCAAGCAGUUCUAAUGGUCGGAGAUGAGGUGGAUUGUUUUGCAAGGGCAGCUAGAUGUGGAAAGAAUUUUAUGCAACAAGUGCAUAGGUGUCAAAAGGUUAGUUUCUUAACCUUUUACUUAUUUCAGUUUAUACUAGUGUGCUUGGUGUAUGACAUUGACAAUUGAAAUGUUAGAUUUAUGUGCCAAUAAACGAUGAAUCAUCUCAUUGGUACCUACUGAUCGUGAAUGUCAGCAAUACAAGUGCAGAAAUAUGGGAUCCUCUUCCAGAUCCCCGCAAUAAUAGAAGACGGUGCGUAUUGUAUCUUAAUCAUGUUCUUUGUUUUCAUGAUCUAUUUAACAUUAUCAGUUAUGCAUAUUGUGUUAUAUUCAUAUCCAUAAUAUUGUCUGGUUUUCGACAUUGCCGACAGCUACAUUCCUUGGAUUGGAUUCUGCCGCCCCAAUUGCCAAGCAAUAUGCAACGCGUGAAGUUCCAAGACUUUCCAAUCAACCGGGGCAUUGGAGUUCCAAAGCAAAGGAAUGGAUAUGACUGUGGGGUUUAUGUGAUAAAUUUUAUGGACAGCCCAGAAUUUAUUCCGAAGAAAUCGUCAACUUUGGUACGACUAUGCCAAACUUGUUUAAUGGUUGAACUUAAAAUUUUGUUAACUUCAUAAUUAUAUGAAAGCUACUAAUUAUAUGUAAGUAAUAUUAGUUUCCUUUCAAAUUGACCAGUACACAUAUGAGGAUACACAGGGUAGGCUAGCCAUUCAACUAAUUAAUUCUGCAUUGAAUCAAAAUCGAGAUAAAUUGCUGGAACUAAGCAACGCACAGUUUGCAAUUCAUGCUGUAAUGGUGAACCCUGUAUCCUCUCAAGUGCAAAAGCCAUUUCAUCAACAAAGCGGCAACAUUCGUAAGAAGAAGAAAGUUAACACGAGAACGCAUGCUUAGAUAUCCAACCAUACUAGGGAAUGAUUAUGCAAGUGAUUGCAUACUAUUUUUUGUUGUAAGCUUUUUGAAACGUGUUGGGAGGUCAUACCGUGACUUUUUUUUGUCUUCUUGCUUACGAUGGUUGUAAAAUCAAUUUUAAUGGAGAAUUAUCUUUAAAUUUAUGACAUGGUUAUGUAUUCUCGGCCGAGACAUUAUUUAACUAUAAUGAACAUAUGCAUGUUAACAGUGUUCACAUCUCAUCAUUUGAUAUUGAACUGGUUGUCAUGUUGGUACAUGAUAAUAGAAUUCAAAUGGUAAUACAUAUUGACUCAUUUUAAUGGCGCUGUUUAAUGAGGCCACCAAUAAAAAACAUUAGAAAAUCGGUUGCUUACAUGACCUAACAAUGUUAGAUUGACAGCAGCAAAGGCUCCAGGAUUCUGGGUGCUUGAUGAAUCGAAUACGACAAAACAGUUUCUAUCGACACUAAAAUCAAUACCAUGAAAGUUAUUUGCAAUGAAAUAUCCAACAAUGCAAUAAUUAAACACAUGAUAAAGAACUUUGGACAUACCUUAGUUGGGUGCAAUCAUUCCCUUGAAUAGGACAAGUUCGUGCUGUAUGCCCAACUUGACGAUAUUUUCCACACUUUCUAGAGCUUUCUGCUACACAUUUUGCUUUAGACAUAGCGCCCUUGGUCUUUACAACUGCAGGAUUACAAAGUUUUAUUCCCAUCCGCAAUUUUUUAUUUGGGAGACCGUCUCGUUCAGAUUGUUAUUCAUAAGUUAAUGUUAGCCGAUUGAUUUCUACCAACGCAUUUUCAUAGUCUUCAACGUUUUUUGCUGCAUUGUAGCACAUUUUAUUGCAAGCUGCAGACAAUGCACUAAAUCUAGCUGCCUCUGAAACAUUGGUGUCAACUUCUGGUUUUGUGGUCUUGCAAGUAUUAUGCUCCUUGGCUUUUUUUGUCUAUCUAUGAAGAACCAUAUUGUCAGGAAUCUUUUCAAUUUGUUCCACUUUCAAGACAUGAAACAUAUGCCUACAAGGAAGCCUAACGGACUCCAUCAUUUGACAAGAACACUGUAUGUGGUUUUCUUGUAGAUUAUGGAUGGCAUUCCAACAUGUUGUUGGUGUCCCAAAUUCAGUCACUGUGUACAAAGCUGCAUCGACAGCUUUGACAGUUUUUACUUCGAUGACCGCUCCUUCUCGCAGCAUCUCAUCUCUAACCUUCGAAAAAACUCUUAAUGAGAACAAUUGUGCAGCAUGUUUCUCUAGGCUCUGUAAGUGCGUUCUUAAGACAAGAGUACUGUAUUUGGUUUUGAACUCAUCGGAUGUUUCUGUGGUACGAAUAUUGCGGAGAGCAUGAUCGAUUUUUCGCACAAACUCAUACAAUUUUAGUUUAUGUUGGACAAAUCGGCUAAGAUAUGCAUUCAUACUUUUACAUCGUCGAGUGCUUCGCAUAGUAACAAAGAAUGUUCCUCUAAGAUAAGCUUCCGCCUAGUUGCACCGCUUCGAAUACAUUUUCUAUACCCAUGCAUGAUGUUCAAGUGCGAAUUCAGCCACUACAGCUAACCAUUGGGUUUCAAAUUCAGCUGCUGUCAUAGAUGUCAACAUCAAAUCAUGAAAUUUUCUCGUAAAGUCUUCGUUCUUAAAAUUAGCCUGCGCAUUGCGCCCGAGAUGCCAACAACAAAGACUAUGGAUGCACCCGGUAAACACUGUCUUUAUUGCCUUUGACAUUGCCUUGUCACCAUCAGUAAUUACAGGCACGGACUUUCGGUUACCCAUAGUGGAUAGGAAAGUUUAUAGUAGCCACGUGUAUAAGUCAAUUGUCUUAUCUGCGAGCAAAGCAAAACCGAAGACCGUUGUUCUGAAGUGAUGGUUUGUUCCGACAAGUGUAACGAGGGGUUUAUGAUAUGCAUUAGUCUUAUACGUUGCAUCGAAUGCCAACACAUCACCAAAACAUUGAUAGUCAUAACGAGCUACACAAUCAGCCCAAAAUAAAUUUUGUAGUAUAUUUUCAUCAUCUAGUGUGUACUCAAAGCAAAGCCUAGGGUCAUGUUCAGAUUUUGCCGCAAAGUAUGCUAUAGUUAUGUCUGAAUCAGAAUCUCCAACCUCGGCACGAGUGGAAGCAUUUAACGUGUUUUGCAUGUCUUUGCGUGUGAACCUUAGGUUUUGAGGCCCCUCUACCUGAUCAGCCAUGUAAUCCAUGAAUUGACAAGUCUUCACACCAACAUGCCUUAAUGUCUUUGCUUGCCCAAGUUCUGCAUCAGUAACCUUUCGAUGUGAACGAAUGAGAUGAACUUCAUUAUUAGAAGCCAAAUGAUGGUUGUGCUCAGGCCUGAAUUCUUUGGCGAUGUAUUUACCAACUGAUUCAUCGUAAUUCACUCGAAAUGAUGCCCGACACCCGGUUCGUGUUAUAAGUCGUGGUUCUCGCACCCUACUGCAAUUUUGAGAUUGUCUUUCAUCUCUUACUCCUUCGAAAUGACAAACCCAACGUCGAAUUGUGAUUCGUCCAGAUUUUUUUCCGCGCCGCAUAUUAUCUUUCCUAACACCAAAACCAAUCAUUCGGGCAUAAUUAUUAUACCACAGUUGUGCAUCCUCUACUGAGUUAAAAUGUCUGUCAAGUACGUCCGAUGCCUGUAAACCAACCUUUGGAGCAAUGGAUAUUCCUAGGUUGCUGGAACUAUGUGAGCUACUCAUAUUUAACCCCUGUUCAGCCAAAACUUUGUUAAUAACAUAAUUCACACCCUUUAUCUUAAUAAUUUAAUAUAAUAAUAAAUAUGAAACUAACUAUGGGAGCACAAAUGUACUACUUAAAUUACAGCACAUACCUUUGUUAGAGAGAAACUUGACUUAUGAAAAGUUGAAAACUAGGCACCAGAGAUGUUCAACGAGAUUUUAGAAUAUAGCAUUUGGGACUAUGUUUUGGAGUGAUUGUGUUUUUUGGGAAGAAGUCUUGGACAUGAGCCUUAGGAUAAUCCCUCAUUAAUGGAGGGAAUGUGAGUUUUGUUUUCAUCAUAUUUAUUGCAAACCUAACCAACCAAACGUGAUAAUUUUACCUUUAUUUUUUUAACUUUAUACAGGACAUGCAACAUGUAAAGUUAAACAUGCAACUGGAAAACUGGAAACAGACGUUGAUGCUUGCUGGAAUCAUCCGGUGAACCGGUUAAUAAAUCCGAAAAAUCGGUUAACCGGUUUGAUGCUAGCUGGAUUGAACCGGUUAACCGAUUAAGUUAUCCGGAUUCGAGGGACAUGCUUGCUGUCAACAACCGGAUAACUGGUUGUGAAAUCCGGUUAUCCGGAUUCGAGAGACAUGCUUGCUGUCAACAUCUGGAUAACCGAUUAAGAAAUCCGGUUAUUCGGAUUCGAGGGACAUGCUUGCUGUGCACAACCGGAUAACCGGUUAUGAAAUCCGGUUAUCUGGAUUCAUCUUACAUGUAAACCGAAUUCAACCGGCUUACUGGAUGAAACCGGAUAGCCGGUUAUUCAAAUCGAAAAUUCAGAUUCGUGUGGCUAGGUCAUUGCCCACAACUGGUUAGCCGGUUAGGAAUUUCCGGAUAGCCGAAUUCGCGAGUAUAUAUACUGUUCAUCUCCUCCUUUAUCUUUCGAUAAACUGGUUAGAUUUCUUUCUCUAAAACCAAUUAUUCCUCUCUCGUUUUCUCUCCAAAAUCCAUCAUUUUCACAUGCUUUUUAUGCAAAUGGAUCCAUGAAACUUGUUUCCCAUCCGUUCUUGUAUCCAAAAUCAUCCUUUAAACCCUUUUUCAACCUCAAAAUCAAUAGAUCCGAAAUCGAUUCUAGGGUUUAAACCGAAACUUCUCUCUCUAGAUUUCUCCCUCUGAAGCCGUUUUUGAUCGAAAUUGCUUCUCAAAAUCUCUUUCCAUCCUUAUUAUCUCCAUUCUCAUUGAUUUAUUUCACUUCAAAUCAAACAAACUCACCAUGUCAAGCUCACGGCUGGUUCAAAGAAAAGGCAAAGAAUCAGUUCAACAUACCAACCGGUCACGACAAGUAGGGGGCACCUCCAAUCAAUCCAACUUUGAGGCCACACACUUUCAGAACCACAAACAUCUAGCCAAACGAUUUCACCAACAGUUCAUGACUUUUGAGGUACUCCAAACCUUUUAUGUUUACCGGAUUGGUUGAAUAAUCUUAGUAUUAGCAAUAGAACUUUAUUACAAUUGUUGGAAGAUGUUGGUUGGCUUAAUGCAAUUGUCUUUGAGGAAAAUGUAUAUCCCGACUUGGUGAAAGUGUUUUACUCGAAUAUAGAUUGUUCUGCGGAGAAAGAAAAUAGAGUAAUCACCACAAUUGGAGGAGUUUCGAUUGAGUUUGAUGAUUCAGAGUUGAACUCUAUCCUAGGAAAUUCCGAUGAUGGCCUAGAAAUUUUUUCACCUAGGAAACCUCCUGAUAUUGAUGACUAUGUUCAUAUUGAUGAUGUUAAGAAUAUAUGUCGUCGUAUUGACCUUUCAGAUGAUGAUUGUACUAUCCAUUUUCGCACCCAAUGUCUUUAUCUUCAAACUCGGAUAUUACUUUGUUUUAUUUAGAGUAUUGUGCUUCCUAGAUCUGGCCAUUUGGAUGAGGUUUUUCAUAUGGAUGUUGCCUUAAUUGAUUGUAUUCUUAGACAUCGUCCAGUCGACUUAGGAUACACAAUUGUCCGAAACAUGCUUAGUAUACCUAAGUUGAUUACUCGUUCCCUUUCGUAUGGUCAUUUCAUCACCCGAAUCCUCAAAUACUUUAGCAUCCCUAUCAAAGAACCAUCAUGUAGGCCAUCUAAGAGCAUUGGGGAUGAGGCUGUUAGUUCUUUAGGUUUUGAGUGUCGUAAUGGCACUUUGGUGAAAGUCACUGAUAAUAAGUUCACAUUUCUUACUCCAAGUGAUGAUCGGCCACUUAAUGCUGUGGUUCCAGCCCAUCAGCUACCUGUUUUUUCGCUUUUAUUUCGGGGUCAGCAUAGACGUCGAGCUCAUUCAGUAUCUCCCUCAGCUCCUGCAGCCUCUGCACCUGCUUUACCACAUCCUGAGCCUCCUACUUCUGAAGAAGUUACUUUUCAGCAGCUUAUGGAUGAGGUGAGGACACUCUCUGUGUCGCAGACUGAGUUUCACUAGCAGCAACAGCAGCUUAUUCAUGGACAACGCCUCCUCUUUGAGCACUUCGACAUUCCAUAUCCAUAUCCACCUCCAUCACCACCAUUCUCACCACCUCAGUAGGCUCUUAUGCUUGUAUUUGGACACACCUACAUUUCAUUAUGAUUUUGGAUUAUGUAUUUGUUUUGAAUAAUAUGGAUUUGUUUUGAUUGUUUGAUAUUUCAUGGAUAAUAUGUUAUUUCCGUUUGCUUUGGAUAUUUUUGGACUAAUGUGCUGUAUUGAGAUUCAGAUUUGGACCUAUUUAAAAAUAUUAAAAUGUUUUGGGUCAUUCUAUAAUUUCUCAUAUUUUGGAUCAUAUCUUAAUUUCAGAAAGUUUUGGGUUUAAUAAAGUAAUAAUUACAAAUUCUGAAAUUGGACCUAUUUGAAAAUUUUUAUAACGUUUUGGGUUAUAACAUAGUAAAAAUACAGUUUUGAGGUCAAAUUGUAUUUUUAAAACAUAAUUCAUUGUAACACUUCACGUGGAAUAUACAACUUAUCACGUAAAGUUGGCAACAUGGACAUCAAAUAUGAAACGGGUGAGAAUAUUUGAGAAUUUUGGCUUUAUCCAAAACAUGCAACAUCGUACGUCAAACAUGAAAUCCUACCGUAAGACAUGCAACAACUGACGUUAAACAUGAAACUUGCAACUCUUCACGUGAAAUAUACGACUUAUCACGUUAAGUUCGCAACAUGGACGUCAAACAUGAAACGGACGAGAAUAUUCGAGAAUUUUGGCUUCAUCCAAAACAUGCAACAUCAUACAUCAAACAUGAAAUCCUACCGCCAGACAUGUAAUAACUGACGUUAAACAUGAAACUUGCAACACUUCACGUGAAAUAUAUGACUUAUCACGUCAAGUUUGCAACAUGGACGUCAAACAUGAAACGAUCGAGAAUAUUCUUUAUUUUGGCUUUAUUCAAGACAUGCAACCUCUAACGUUAAACAUGCAACCGUUACGUCUGACAUGCAAUCAUUACAUCUGACAUGCAACAACUAACGUUAAACAUGAAACUUGCAACACUUCACACGAAAUAUGCAACUUAUCACGUAAAGUUCGUAACUUCAACCUCAAACAUGAAACGGGCGAGAAUAUUCCAGAAUAUUCUUUAUUUUGGCUUUAUUCAACACAUGCAACAUCUUACGUCAAACAUGAUAUCCAAUCGUCGAAUAUGCAACAACUGACUUUAAACAUGAAACUUGCAACACUUCAUGCGAAAUAUGCAACUUAUCACGUAAAGUUCGCAACUUCGACGUGAAAUAUGAAACAGACGAGAAUAUUCUGGAAUAUUCUUUAUUUUGGCUUUAUUCAACACAUGCAACAUCUUACGUCAAACAUGAAAUCCAACCGUCGAAUAUGCAACAACUGACGUUAAACAUGAAACUUGCAACAUUUCACGCGAACUAUGCAACUUAUCACGUAAAUUUCACAACUUCGACGUCAAAUAUGAAACAGACAAGAAUAUUCUGGAAUAUUCUUUAUUUUGGUUUUAUUUAACAUAUGCAACAUCUUAUAUCAAAGAUGCAAUCGAGACGUCGGACAUGCAACAACUGACGUUAGACUUGAAAUACUAUUUUUUUCAUUUUCAAUUUCUGUAUUUUUUGCCAUUUUAUUUAAUUAUAUUAUAUUGUAUUAUAGGGUUUCUAUUAUAUUAUUUAAUUUCUUUAUCUUUUGCUAUUAAUUAUAUUAUAAAAAAUUAUUUUUGACAUUUUAUUUAUUUUUAUAUUGUAUUUUUAAUAUAUUUUUUUUAAAAAAUAUGGUGCAACCGGUUUAUUAACCGGCUGCACCAACAGCCAGGCUCUCCUUUUGAGAGCCCGGCAUGGUGCCGGGUACAAUGCCAACGGCAUUGUAGCCAAACCCGGCAAAGAAUGAUGAGCCUGGUGGUCAAAGAGAGGUUGACAAGGAGGGUCGGCUUGUAAUACAGCUCUGUAUGUCAUGCAGCUGCCUUUAUUAUUUUUUAUUAUUGCAGAUGUAACCGACCAUCGAUAUCAAUUAUGAAACAGGUAAAUAUUAAAGGUAAUUAUCAUACAGCUACCCUCAUUUCAAAUAAAUAUCAAAAUAAUCAGUUCAAAGUAGAACACUACCAAAGAACCCCUCAAUUUAACUUGAAAAUACACUACUUUCUUUUUUUUUUUCUCCGAAUAACAUGAAAACACACGUAAAAUAUAUGAGACUUCUAUACUAAUUAGAAUAAUAUUUAAAUAUAAAUUAAUAAAUUGACCAAUUAAUUUUUAAUAUUACAUUAUAAAGUUAAGAAUGUUUUACAUAAAAAAAAUUAUCAUAAUAUUUUAUCAAUUUUUAGAUAAUGUUAAUAACUCCAAUGGGCCUUUAGCCUAGCGGUGAAUCUCUACCCUCACAGUUAAGCAAGAUUGUGAGGGUGGGGGUUUGAGUUCUCAUGGACUCAAACUCUCUGAAUUAAACAUUAUGCAUUAUCGUGUGGAGUUAUUUGCAAGUCUUUUUCCCUUGCGAAAUGUGAGUGGAGCAAAGAUAUCCCUCGUUUGUGAUAAUUUGAUGUGUAAUCAGUAUUAAAAAAAAGUUGUUAAUAACUAUCAUGGCUAGCACUUGGUCAAUAUUAAUUCGAUUAAACUAAAUUCAGUUAUGACAUUAUUAUUUUUUUAGUAAUAUUGUUAAUUUAAUAUUAUUAUUUUAGGGGUAUGGUUGGGAGAGGACAAAUAUAACUUUUUAACUCUUACAAUCUCUCAUGAGUUUUACUCGGUAGCAAUAAAUGAAGAAACCAUCCAACCGUCCCCUUGGAGCUGAGUAAUAUUGUUAAUUAUAAUUACAAUUCUUAUUCACAUUGCAUUGUAAAUAUUAGAAAAAGAGAUAACAACGAGCCCGUGUUUUGUGAAAUUGUCUCGAAGACCCUUAUUAUUUUAAAAAAUAAUCACAUAUUCCUCUUUUUAGACAAUUAUGAAGGCGGAUGUACGGUACAGCAGAGUAAACCGGAUUUGCUUUGCAAAAUUUCUGGACGAAAACCGGUCAACCGAUUAGAAAAACCGGCAAGCCGGAUGUGUUUUGGAGUUCACUGGACAAAAACUGGUCAUCCGGUUAUUCAAUCCAGAAAGCCAAAUUUGUUAAGCUUCCUCUCUGCCUCAAAACCGGACAGCCGGUUCUUCAAAUCCGGAAAACCAAUUACGGGUUGCAUGGUUCUGCCUCACAACCGGCUAACCGGUUCUGCAACCCAGAAAGCCAAAUUCGAAAGGCAACUUUCUACCUCAAAAUCGGAUAUGUUCAAUUCAUUUAUUAGUGUUACAAAAUUAUUACAAUAUUGGUAGAUUAUAAAAUCAAGUAUCAUUGAAAUAUAAACAUAUAAAAAUAAGUCAUCAAAUAGAAUAUAAAUUAUGUAUCCAAUUGUAUAAGGAUAAUAUUAUUAAAUUUGAUUCGUAUUAAUAAUUUUUUGAUAUUUUUAUUUGUAUUACUAUAAUAAACAUUUAGAAUGAAAUGUAAUAAGGUUUGAUUUAGGCGGUAAAACUACCGCCAAUAUGAAAGAAUGAUUUAUUAAAUUUUAAUUUUUUUGAAAUUUUUUCCUAUAUAAAAUUGAAAACCUUAUAUAGCUUUUCUUUUUACCCCGAAAAUAUAAACACUUUAGUACUUCAUAUUGUUGAAAACCCUAGCCCCUCGCCUCAGCCGUGCUCAAGCAUUACAAACCAGCCACCAUCCUAGUAGUCGCGCCGUCUUCGUUCCAACGUCACUAGAUCGCCGUCGCCGUUUCCGUCGCCGUCGCCGUCCCCGUCCUGCAUAUUAGCCACCAGCUCACCAGCCCUCACCGUCUUGUCACUUUCCUCCAUGAGCUCUCUCUGAACACAAACCCUAGACUAGCGAGUUGAAUUAAAGGGUGAAGGUUGCUCUCUUUCUUUUCUAACAAUAAAGAACAAAAAUCUCAUCAAUUUCCUUUUAAUAAUAACUUCUAAUUAGUGAUUCGGCACUUCUUCUCAAUUUACAACUCUCAUUUUUUAAUUUCGUCUUUAAUUCUUGAAGAACGAAGAACAUACAGAAGCCUUUCAGCUUUCAUCGACUUUGAUUCUCGAAAUUUAGGUAUUUCCUCUAUUACUCACUUAAAGAAUUAAAUUUCUUCGCUUUGAUUUUGACACCACGGUUAGAUUUUGAUUUAAUGCUUGUUUAAUUAGUUUAGAGUUUCAUUUAAUUUGUUUUGAGUUGUUCACUUUAAUUGCAUCUUCAAGAUGGAAUUUUGGUACUCUAAAUGAUACAAAGUUUUAUUCCUAUGCAGUAUGAUUAGAAGAAGUAAAUUGAUUGUGCAUUUGAUAUUUUGCAUCUUAAUUUACAAAUGAUUUAAUGCCUAAAUUCUUAUUUUAUCAACCACACAGCCAAAAGUGAUUUGUUUGGGUUAUAUAGACUUACCUGUAAUUCUGUAUUAUUUAUAUCUUCAUAAAUUCUUGUUUAUGUAGGCUUGAUUGUUGAGGCUUCUUUUAUCAGUGAUGAUGUGUUAUAGACUUGGUUGUUGAGGUUUGUUUUAUCAAUGAUGAUGUGUUAUUAAAAACACACACACACAUUUUGAUUUUUUUUUAAUAUAUAUAGAAUAAGCAUGACCAUGGAUCUUUAGGUGUGUAUUAGUAAUUUAGUAAUUUAGCAUCCAUUUCUUUCUAACAAGUGUUUUUAAGUUCAAUUAUUUUAUUUCACUUAUUCUUUACUGACCAUGGUAAUCAUUAAGGUCAAGCAUAAACGUACAACAUACUACAAAUUGAUCUAAAGUAGGAAAUACUAUAGAAUUCAGAUGAGACUGGUUACUAAUUUUUGAUAUUAAAAAGCUGAGAUUUAAUUUUAAUGUGUAUGUAAGAAUUCAUGGGUGGUGAGGGUUGCCAUUGUAUUUGACUCUUUGUCUUUGGAAAUGUUUUAUCAAGAUUUACUUUUGCUAAUAUCACUUGGGUAUGCCCUGGACAUGCUUAUCAAAUGUCAUUACUGCCAGGUUUAUGCUUGUUGUCCAUAGUUCUUAGUCUCUAAUUAAUUCAAAAUAUUGGGAAUAUCUUUUUAUGGCACAUUGAUCUUUUCUUUUUGUAUAUCNNNNNNNNNNNNNNNNNNNNNNNNNNNNNNNNNNNNNNNNNNNNNNNNNNNNNNNNNNNNNNNNNNNNNNNNNNNNNNNNNNNNNNNNNNNNNNNNNNNNNNNNNNNNNNNNNNNNNNNNNNNNNNNNNNNNNNNNNNNNNNNNNNNNNNNNNNNNNNNNNNNNNNNNNNNNNNNNNNNNNNNNNNNNNNNNNNNNNNNNNNNNNNNNNNNNNNNNNNNNNNNNNNNNNNNNNNNNNNNNNNNNNNNNNNNNNNNNNNNNNNNNNNNNNNNNNNNNNNNNNNNNNNNNNNNNNNNNNNNNNNNNNNNNNNNNNNNNNNNNNNNNNNNNNNNNNNNNNNNNNNNNNNNNNNNNNNNNNNNNNNNNNNNNNNNNNNNNNNNNNNNNNNNNNNNNNNNNNNNNNNNNNNNNNNNNNNNNNNNNNNNNNNNNNNNNNNNNNNNNNNNNNNNNNNNNNNNNNNNNNNNNNNNNNNNNNNNNNNNNNNNNNNNNNNNNNNNNNNNNNNNNNNNNNNNNNNNNNNNNNNNNNNNNNNNNNNNNNNNNNNNNNNNNNNNNNNNNNNNNNNNNNNNNNNNNNNNNNNNNNNNNNNNNNNNNNNNNNNNNNNNNNNNNNNNNNNNNNNNNNNNNNNNNNNNNNNNNNNNNNNNNNNNNNNNNNNNNNNNNNNNNNNNNNNNNACAAAAAUUUUGAUUUGGUUAAUUUUUUACUGCUGUAUGGCCAAGGCGGAUGUACGGUACAGCAGUUUUGAUUAUAUUUCAGUGAUAUUACUAAUGGGAACUUCAACUAGUGUUUCAGCAUUGCGAAGAAGAUUCAAUUUUAAUUGAGUAUUUUUGCCAAUGUAAUUGAUUAGCAUUUUUCUUUUAGCUAUCAGAGAUAUUUUAAUGAUCUAAAACUUGCAUAGUCUCUAAUGUUUCAGUUGAAAUUGUAGUUGUUUGAUUGUUAGAUUUAAUUUUAUUUGCUUUAUUGUUUAUUGGAUUUUGUUGCUUGUCUUAAUUCCUUGGAUUAUAGUUGUAACAUGUAAUAUGAUUUGAGUUGCUAUUUUAAAAUAAAGAAACAUUUACCUGUUAUUUUUUAUAUGAUAUCUACAUGCCGUAUUGUUUAAUUUUAUAUCACUUGUUACUAGUUAAAAUGAAUUUGUGGGUAAAUGGAAUUUUGAUCUUGGUAAUUCUUGAUGUAUUGUUAUCUUUCUCUUUAUUCCAAAGAUCACUUGGUUGUUAAAUGAAAGGAGACAUAAAAGUUGCAUCGAACAAUUAUGCAAGUCGAGAGUAAUUUUUAUAUAUUGAAUAUUGCUGUUAAUAAAUCCCUUAAAAAAUAUAUGUUAAAUGAAAAUAUAUUUUGUGUUUAUUUUAGAUUAAAAGUAUGAGUUUUUCUGUUGAAAACCAAAUUUAUUUGAUCAUACCUAAGAAUUUGGAUCAUGCCUUUGAAAUUCUAAAUAUUGUUGUUUACUUUGUGGUUGCAUUGUGUUUUCUAAUGUCAUUUGUUUUUUUUUUUUAUGUGUAGAUACUUGAAAUCUAAAAUGAGCAGCAGCUGGAGCCUUAGUUUGUGGAAGCUGUAAAUUGAUUAAAUUUUUUGAAGCUAUUUGGUCACAAGCUUGUGAAAAAUUCUAAUUGUCUUUUACAUCUGUUUAAAUGAAUGGAAGUUUUAGUUUACCUAAAUUUUUAGUGCAUCGCAAACAAUUAAUAGGGCAUUUAUUAUUUUAUUUGCAAAGGAAUGGCAACAAAUCAAGAGUACCUACCAUUCCAAUCAAGACAUGCCAAAUUCAACAAUUAAAGUGAUGUUAAAAAAAAAGUGAUAUUCUCUUAGUACCAAAUUAAGCUGUAAAAAACUUUUAAAAAUGAUUUUAGUCAAGUCAGAAAAAUUGAAGAACUGAUUCUGUAAUUGAAAAAUUGACUUAAUAUAAUUUAUUUUUGAGAUAAAAAAGUAUACUUUGGUGUAACAUAUCGAAACAUCAAAAGUAAGUAUAAACAAAAUUACGUUAAAAAAAAAAGAAAUCUAAUCAAGUUGAAAUGAUAGAAAAAAAUGAUGUUUUAAUACAAAUAAAUUAGCAUCAAUUUUAUUAAUUUAAAAUAUUUUGGAAGUUAUAACUUACGUUUGCCUUAACUUUUUAAAAGAUAAAUUUUUUUAGCAAUUGGCUGCAUCCUUAUAUGGUAUUAUUGUUUAAGUUAUAACAAAUUAAGGAAAUUCUUUUAAAAGUAAAGAGAAAGAUGAAAAUAAAUUUAUAAGGUUAUUUUAAACGUAAAUAAUUAAAAUGGAGAAAGUGGUUCAAAAGAAUUAGAAUUUUCUAAUUUUUUAUUUAAAAUUAUCAUGAUCUAAAACUUGAAUUUAGACAUUUUUAUUUGAAAUAGAAUUUUAUUUUUCAAAUUAUAAAUUUUUCAUAGCAAAAUGAGAAAUGAUAAAUGAACAAAUGUUUAUGUAGAGGUCAAAAGAUCAAGUAUGGAUAAUCAAAUUAAUGAUUAAAAUAAUCUCUCAAAAUAAUGAAUAACAAUUUUUUUUAAUCUUUUUUUCUCUUUCAAGUACAAACAAAGCAUUUUUGCCAACCUUUAAAACUUUGAUAUAACAUAUUAAUUUUCAUGGUUCAUUGAAUAAUCGUAUAAUAAAUAUAUAAUUUAUUUGAUCAUAACAAUUUGAAAAAUAAAAUGUUUGAGGAGUAUAACAAUUGCAUGCAAAGCUGUUAAAAUGAAUUUUGGUUGAAGUCAAAGAAAUUAAUUAUUUGAAAAGAAAUAGAAUGAAAAAAAUUUUAAACGAAUGGAUAAAAAAAUUAUUUUCCCAGAAGCUUCUAAAAAAUUCUUAUAAACAAAUGGAUGAAAAUUUUGAUUUGGUUAAUUUUUUAGUGCACUGGAUAACUUAAUAGGGCAUGAAUUUAUGAAGUAAACUUGGAACAUUAGCCAAAAUAUUGGAAUACACUUAAAAGAGUAAGAAUAUGUAACAAAAAAAUCUUGAAAAUAAAGAUGAAAUUGAUUAAAAGAAAGUAGGAAUACAAAAAAUAAACUUGAAACAUUUAAUCAAAAUAUUGGAAUUCAAUACAAAGAAUGGGAAUAUAGAACCAAAAAAUGGUGGAAAAAUGAGUAGAAGAGCAGAACUUAAAAGUUGGAAUAACUUGAUAAGAGUUUGAUAAAUUCCAAUGAAAAGUAGAGAUCUGAAAGAUAAACUUGAAACAUUCACCUAAAUGUUGGAAUUCAAUAAAAAGAGUAUGAAUAUAGUAUCAUGGAAAAAAGAGUUGAAGAGGUUAACAUAAUAGUUGGAACAACUUACAAAGAAUUUGAUGAGUUCCAAUGAGAAGUAGAGAUCUUAAAAGCGAACUUGAAAUAUUAACCCAAAAUAUUGGAAUUUAGUAUAAAAAAAGCAGGAAUAUAUAACCAAAUUGUGGUGGUAAUAAUAGUUGAAGAACUUAACCCAAAAGUUCUAAGUAUAUACCAAUAAUCUGAUAAAUUCCAACAAUGAAUAGAGAUCUGAAAAAUAAACUUGAAACAUCCACAUAAAAUAUUGAAAUUCAAUUAAAAGAGUAGGAAUAUAAAACCAAUAUAUUAUACGAAAUGAGUGGAAGUGCUUAACACAGAGAUUGAAACAACUUGACAAGAAUUUAAUAAAUUCUAGUGAAAAGUAGAGAACUAAAAAAUAAACUUGAAAUAAUUACUCAAAUAUUGGAAUUCAAUAAAAAGAGUAGGAAUAUAGGACCAAAAUUUGGUAAGAAAAUAAGUUGAAAACGUUGACCCAAAAGUUGGAACAACUUACAAAGAAUUUGAUAAAUUUUAAUGGAAAACAGAGAUCUGAAAACAAAACUUGAUAUAUUUACCCAAAUGUUGGAAUUCAAUAAAAAGAAUAGGAACAUAGAACCAAUAAAUGGUGAAAAAUGAGUGGAAAAGCAUAACCGAGAAGUUGGAACAACUUAACAAGAGUUUGAUAAAUUCCAAUGAAAAAUAGAGAUCUAAAAAAUAAACUUGAAAUAUUCACCCAGAUGUUGGAAUUCAAUAAAAAGAGUAGAAAUAUCGAACCAAAAUUUGAUGGGAAUAAAAGUUGAAGAGGUUAACCAAAGGUUGGAAGAACUGACAAAGAAUUUGAUAAAUUUUAACGAAAAGUAGAGAUCUAAAAAAUGAACUUGAUAUAUUUACCAAAAAUAUUGGAAUUCAAUAAAAAGAAUAGAAAUAUAAUACCAAAAAAUGGUGGAAACAAUAAUUGAAGAGUUUAACCCAAAAGUUAUAAGUACUUACCAAUAACUUGAUAAACUUCAACAAUAAAUAGGAUUAAAAAAAUGAACUUAAAACAUCUAUAUAAAAUAUUGGAAUUCAAUGAAAAGAGUAGGAAUAUAAAACCAAAAAGUGGUGGGAAAAAGAGUUGAAGAGUUUAACCUAAAACUCGGAAAGAAUUACCAAAAAUCUAAUAAAUCCAACAAGAAGUAGGGAUAAAAAAAUAAACUCGAAACAUUCACAAAAAAUAUUGGAAUUAAGUAAAAAGAGUAGAAAUAUAGAACAAAAAAAUGGUGGAAACAAGAGUUGAAGAGCAUAACCUAAAAGUUUGAAGAAGUUAACAAGAAUAUGAUAAAGUUUAACAAGUUGUCGAGAUCUAGAAAAUGAACCUGAAAUAUCCAAGCAAAAUGUUAGAAUUCAAUGAAAAUAGUUGGAAUAUAGAACCAAAAAAUGGUGAAAAUAAGAGUGGAGGAAGUUAGCCCAAAAAUUGAAAUAACUUAACAAUAAUUUGAUAAAUUUAAACGUGAAGUAGGGAUUUAAAAAGUAAAUUUGAUACAUUUACUCAAAAUAUUGGAAUUCAAUAAAAAUAGUAGGAAUAUUGAACCAAAAGUAGUGAAAACUAAGUUGGAACAACUUAGCAAUAAUUAGAUAAAGUCUAAUAGAAUAUUGAGAUUAAAAAAUAAACUUGAAAUAUCAACAUGAAAACUAGAAAUAUAAUGAAAGAACUGGAAAUAUAGAACUAAUAACUAAUGGAAAAAUGAGUUGAAACAACUUACCAAAAAUUUGAUAAAUUCCAACGAAAAGUAGGAAUUUAGAAAUUGAACUUGAAAUUUCCAAACAAAAUUUUGGAAUUCAAUAAAAAGAGUAGGAAUAUAGAACUAAAAAGUGGUAGGAACAAGAGUUGAAAAAAUUAACCCAAAAGUUGAAAUAAUUUACCAAGAAUUUAAUAAAUUCAAAUGAGAAGUAAGGAUAUAAAAACUAAACUUGAUAUAUUUACCCAAAAUAUUGAAAUUCAAUAAAAAUAGUAGGAAUAUAGAACCAAAAAGUGGUAGAAAAAUAAAUCGGAACAAUUUACCAAAAAAUAGAUAAAGUUUAAUACAUUACAGAGAUAUAAAAAUAAACUUGAAAUAUACACCUAAAAAGCUGACAAACUUGAAAUAUAUAUUAUAAAUAUUGGAAUGUAACAAAAUAAGUAGGAAUGUAAUUAUUUUGUGAUAUGUUAAUAUUUUUUUAUAUUUUUUGUACUAUUUUUAAAUUUUAAAUUAUUUCAAUCUUUUUCCUCAUUUAAUUACAAUUUUAACCUUUUUUCCAAUUUUUUUCAUAAUUUUUUCACAUUAAAAAUAAAUAAAAAUAUAAUUUUCAUUAUAUUAUCCGGUUAAAAAUCGGUUGUACCAGUUGCAUGCAUGCGCUGUAUGAGAUACAGCGCUGCAUGGCAGGUUGACUCAAUUUUGAGAAUGGCUCCAUGAACUUUCAACCAUCCGAUAGCCACAUGAUCCUUUGAGAUCUAAAAUAUUAAAUAUCUUCGACACAUCAUGUCCCACAAAUGGGUCCCAUCCGGGAGUUUCUCCCCCCAUCUCUUCCAAGAACAUUUGAAUCUCGUGUGACAGAUAUCUACAAAACUUCUUGACGUGGCAGCAUCUCAAAACGUCACGAAAGCACACUCAGCACUCCAAAGCGACGCCUACGGUGCCUUGAUCCUCUGAAUCACACUGGCAGAAACAUGUAUCCAGAGAAAUUCGUGGAAGAGCAAUGCAGUUCUCCUGCAUGACGUGGCGACAUGUAAUUGGCUACUAUUGUUGAAACCAUACAAUGAGUAUGUGUAGAGAAUCAAACCCACAGAAUAAUUAAUUUUAGAAUCUAUCCGCACGAUAAUAAAAAAAAAAAGGGGAAAGUGUCCUUAAAUGGAACCAACCAGCUCGCGGUGACAAAUCUUGAUUGCUAAGAUUCGGCCAAGAAAAGUUUCGAGUCACUCGAAACAUUUCAUUUUUUUUUUUCCCUUAAAUUAUUUUCUUUCACAAAUUAUGGGAGGUGGAGCAGCCAUGAGAGCCGCCGGCAAGGUGGCGGGGAUUGGCGUUUUUAAUGGCGGCUUCCGCGGCGGCCUGUCUUCGGCAACGCCGACCGCGCAGUCGCUGAGAAACGUUCAGCGUCCCGUCGCGGCCACCAUAUCCAGCGGGAAAGUAUCCGGUGGCGACGUGGCGGAGGCGCAUAAGGCAACGUGGGAGAUGGUGGAUGACUGGGAAUUUGCCGGAGGAGUGGAUGAUUUACCGGCUGAGCCGAUGCCUAGGGUUGUAUUCGGCGGCGCACCGAGCCUUGAGGAGACUAAGGAAGCCACGGCUGAGCUCAAAGAUGCGUUGGAUAAGUAUGUGACUCAAGAUUUUGAUCUUUUUUGUUGCGUGUGUAAAUUUUCAAUCCGUCUAAAACGUGUGAUCUUCUUGUUUGGAUUUGAUUUGAUUAUAUUUUAUUUUUUCAGUUUGUUUUUGGACAACGAUCGGUUUGAUCGCGACGGAGUGUUUUUGUAAUAAGUACUUUUAAACAGAAGCACUUCCCCUAAAACCAAAUCAAACUGCUUUUUUGAAAAGUAUUGUUAAGUGUCGACCAAUUUUUUAAGAAGAAAGCACUCCAAGUGUUUUUCACUCUGAGAAAUACGUCCCAGUGUUUUGUUUGUCUGGAAGUGCUUUUAAUAUUAUCACAAGAACUUAUAAAUUCACCUGAAUUGCUAUUGCAUAUGCUAGAAAUGCUAAAUGGUGCUAGUAAUUAAUAUGGAAAUUCAGACCCUUGUUUUUUUAAUCUCCCAUAUUAUUAUUUUCCAAUGUUUUAAUUAGAAAUUAUUUCUUCAGGGUUUAUCUGUCGUCUUCAAACUCCAACACAUCUGAACACGGGGAUCCAUUCGUCGUUGGUGAGGUGUCCAGCAUGCCAUUACUUGCAAACUCAGAACAUACGGAGACCAAGAGCUGCAUUACUUAUGACCUGAAAUCAGCAUCCGUGCCGAAACCUGCUAUUCAAGCUUUUAAAUUGCUCAGUGAAAGUCCUGCUGCUCAGGUUUGAUUUGAUUCAGCUCCUGCCUCCCUCUCUUAAGCAGUUUUUUAACAGGAUUAGAUUCUCAUUGAUGUGUCUGGUUGCAAAAAUCUAAGGAUAUAGUUCUAACUUCUUCCAAAUAUGUAUGUUCAUCAUUUUCCCCAUCUUUGUAGGUUUAUAUGAGUACUUAUCCUCCUCAUUGGUGUAUUAACGUUUGAAAUUUUGCAUUUUUUAUUUUUCAUCAUUUCAUAUUUCAAUCUUCUGUUAAUGUGGCUUUAGAUGCAUUUUCCUUGUUAAAUGUUUUUGUUUCCUUAUGUCAAUGAAGAUGUAGGUAAUUUAUUUGAUUUGGCGAUUUCAAAUUUUGGUUUUUGUGUGCAGUCUGUUGUUGCUUCAAUUGCAUGUGACCCUGCGGUGUGGAAUGCUGUCGUGAAAAAUGAUGCUCUUGUAGAAUUCGUCCAGUCCCAGAAAACCAGUAAGAACCCUAUUUUUCCCCCAGUUCGUGCAAGUGGUUAAUAUUUGUUGGGUAUUCAUUUUGUUUCAUUGGGCUGGCCUUACUUGGUGUGGAUCUCAACUAACAAAAUUUGCUACAGAUGACAUGCUUCAAGAUCAGGAAUCUCUCAAAAUUUUUGAAGCAGCAUCUGAUUCAAGCCAAUUUGGUGACACUGAAAACCAAAGUGCUGACUCUGGAAGUUUCCCCAUGGAUGUUUUAGAGACAAUCAAGAACAAAGUUGUUGAUAUGGUGAACAAUGUAACCGGUUUUCUUCAGAACAUCUUUGGUUUUGCAGCAGCAGAUAAGACUUCUUCGGAAGCUGAUGCUGGAGGGUUCACAAUUGACAAAACCUUAGGAACUGCAUUUACUGGAUUGGCUAUGAUGGUGAUUGUGGUGGUUUUGCUAAAGCGAGCUUAGUUUUAUCAGCUAGUCGUAAAUUUGUCGAUCUUUCAAACUCGGGGAGUGCUUGUUUGGAUACUUUAAUAAAAUUUGAUGUCAAAAUAUUAGGGAUGGCAAUGGGGAGGGGAGGGGAGGGGACCAAUCUCCCCAUACCCAUCCCCGAUAUUUUGCAUAUGUCCCCGUCCCCUCCCCGUCCCCGUCAGAAUUACUUGAGAGAAUCCCCAUCCCCUCCCCGAAUAAUAACAGGGGAUCCCCGAGGGUCCCCGGUCCCCGAAUAACUAAUAGUCUAAUACAUUAUUUUUAUUUUCGAUUUUAAAUUAAUCAUAUUAAAAUAAAAAAUUCAGAUAAAAAUAAAGUUCAAAAUAUAUCUUACAUUAAUAUUGAUCCAUUACAAAGUCACAUUCAAAAUAUAAAUUAUUAAAAUAAUUAUAAAACAAUGAAAAUAAUAUAAGUAAAGUAACUUAUAAGUGCAAAUAUUAAUAACUGUAUAAUAUAAUUACAAUGUAAAAUAAACUCAUACUGCUAUUGUAAGCUCGUAACCAACUUUGACAGCACAUUAAGGCCUCCAAUGUGCUUGGAUGAAGUUUGUUAUGGUAUGAGCUCACACCUCUACCACUAGUGUUAAAAGCUGAUUCAGAAGCAACUGUUGUAAUUGGAGUUGCCAAAAUAUCUCUAGCAAUUCGAGCUAAUGUAGGAUACCUAUUAGCAUUUGUCUUCCACCAACUCAAAAUAUUAAAAUCUUCCAUCCGAGAUAUAACUUUCUCAUCCAAAUAUGAAUCUAAUUCAUCUGCAACAACUGCACAAUCUCCAUUGUUUACAUAAUCAUUAAAACCUGUCAUCCAUUUGGUUGCUUUCUUAUAAGAAUCCCCUGUAGAUCUAGUAGAAGAACUACUACCAGUAUAAUCAAAGCAAUAAACAGUUGGUGAAAACUUCAAUUAAUACUCUUCAACUAAUUCCCGGCAAAGGGUGACCACUUUCCCAACAUACAACUAUUUUGAUAUUUAUUAUUUUUAACAAUAUUUAUAAUUUUGUUAUUUAUUUAUUAGUAAUUUUAAAAAUAAAAAUAAAAUUAAAAAUUAAAAUGGGGAAAUGGGUAGGGGAUGGGGAUUCCACCUCAUCCCCGUCCCCUCCCCGCAUAAAAAAUUGGGUAAAAAAUUUUCCCUGUCCCCUCCCCGAAAAAAAAAUUGGGUAUAAAAUUAUACCCGUACCCUCCCCGAAUGGGGAAAAUCCCCGAGGGUACCCGUCCCCGUGGGGAUUUUUGCCAUCCCUACAAAAUAUGAUAUAAUGUAAUAGUUGGUGCGUUGGUGCCAAAAUAUGAGCUUGCAUGCAAUAAGUUUGCUCAUUUGUUUACAUCAUUUGGUUUACCGAUGACUGGCCAAAGUCAUAAAAGUGUAUGCGUAACAAAUUACAUAAGAGUAGAGGCUGUGGCAAAAAUCAUCCCGGAAAACUAGCUGAAAAAUGAAUCCAAAAUUUCUAAUGAUGGUUUAUCGCAAUUGUGGAUAUUAAAAAUGUUGACAAAAGAAUUCGUAUGGAAACUUCUCAUGAAGUUUCCACUAAAUGUCCAAAAACAAUUACAGCCGGUUGCUAUCCAUUCACCGAAAGGUGCCAUCCUCGGGUUCACAAUUCCCAUAUCUCAUAUUCCUUGACCCAAAAAUACAAAUUAGUACUAUGAAGACGCACUUUCUCACUGGCGAGAGUGAAUAUUGAGUACAUUAUUAUAUUAGAAAGAUGCACUUUCUCAAUAAGGGAAGUGAGUAAAUUAUUAUACAGUAUGUAUUUGGUGGAUCUACAAAACUGAAUAGCAGUGAGAAAUCUAAGGGACGAGCCCCAUGGCCUACAAUUUGGCCGGAAGGGCUCCAGCUUCAGCAACUCUUUAUCAUCUUGUAUUCUUUCCUUGAAAUAUAAGCUGAGACACACUUUGGUGCCCAUUAUGUGUCACUAUGAACAUACAUGAUGUCCUCUUUUGAUAUAUACAUCUUUCCUUUAUCUCUCUUUCCAGAUACCCGUGUCCCGUCUGGUUGGCCACGCUGCAAGGAUUAUGAUUAAACCUUAAGUCUCUUCCCUGAAUAGUGGGCUAUAUAACUAAGGCAAACAAUAAUUGGAUAAAAUCUGGUGCUAACCUUCCUGAGGACAAAUGCCAGGUAUAAGUAUGCUACUUCCCACUCAUCUGCUGACAACGUGCCUAGACAUUCAAAACGAAUCAGAGAGAAAAAUUUACAAAUGUGUGAAGCAUGGGGACAGCAAUACCCCUAAACAAAUUAAAUAUGAAAGUGCCAACAGCGAGCAAAAACAAGAGAUAAGUUGCAUGCAGGAAAAAGGAGCAUAGGGCAUAAACUUACUUUGAUCUUGGUUACCAUCACCCAAGGCACCAAGCCUACGCAUGAGUUCUAUGUAUUCAGGUUUUUUCAAGUACUCGUGCACAAAUUCAUGUGAGUUCUUCACAAAAACUAGCUCCAAAUCAUACUGCAAAAAGAGAACACUGCUUAUUAUCAAACUAUUUCAAACUUCCCAUUAACUAAAUUGUGCUACACAUUCUUCAGGUCCGAUGCUUUACAUAAUCAUUUCAGCAAGAUGAUAUAAAAGACUAAUCAACCAACUAUGUUUCCUAGUCGAGGAGAGCCAUUUUAUGCAAAGGAAGAAAAAGUAAUAUUUGGAAACAAAGUUAUACCUCUUCAGCCAAUGAUUUGAAGAUAUGAAAGGGAACAAUCCACUCUGGGCAAUCAACAGCAUCCUGCAAACAGACAAACAUUUAAUGUUUAUUGACAGAGUGUAAUCAAAACAAAUUAGUCAAAAUAAAGAUAAUAUUACAAUAAUGCAGAAAUUGUUGUGGAAAAAUAAGUUAUCAUGGCUACUGUGUAAACCAAGAGUAAAUUGUAGCCCCAGUGACAAGGCAUCUGAAGUGCCAAUCAUUGACAGGUGUAGCAAGAUUAGCACAUCAACGAGGAAUUAUAAGGUCAACUAUCACCUUGCAUGUGGAAACAUAGGUUAGACAUGAACUAUAGAUCCCAACAAUAUAAAGUAAAUAUAAUUAAUAAAGUGAUACACAAAGGCCAGCUCUUUAUUAACAACAAAUUCCUACCAACCAAGUUCCGCCAAAACUAGAAUCAGAAACAAAAGUGACAAAAGAAAAUUAAAAAUUAAGAAAGAAAUGGUACCUCUAGAUGAAACUUGUACUGGAUACCGAAGGGCCGAGAAGAUUUAAAUUUCUGAUCAUAAAAUAAAGUAUUUGUUAGAGCUGAAUACAAUAACAUUCAUUAGGAUUUCAAAUAAAAUACAUACUUUCCAGUUUUCAUAAUGGUAGUGAUACAAUGAAAACAGAAAUUUACCUUAUCAGCAAACUCUUCAUCCAAACGUAUCCAAUAGACACUGUUCCCAAUGGCCAGUCCUUCAACUGCAUAUUCACAGUGAAAAUAGCAUCUCCAAUCAAGAAUGACAAAAGUGCUCUGCCAUGCCAACAAUGCUAAUAUUAAAAAACUUAAAAUUAACUAAAAACAAAUCUUUUAAAAUUUUGUUCUUCCAUGUAUUUUAAUAAGAAAAAUAUGCAUAAUACAAGUCCUCUUUCUUCUUCUUAUUUCUGGAAAACAGAAAGAAAGAAAGAUAUAUCUUCAACAGCACUUUCCUUCUUGGGCUUAAGAAAUGUUCUCCUCCAGCAAAAUAUUAAUGAUUUUAAAAGUCAACAAUCCGUAACAAACCAUUUAAUUUUUUAAGAUGACCUAGCCAGAAAACCGAUACCAUUUUUGUAGAAACAUCUGUUAUGAAAGAUCAACUCUGGAACAUUAAUGUGAACGAAAAUUUUCUUAGUAAUGAAACACCAAUAAAUUCCUUAGUCUCAAUUAAUUUCAACAUAUACAGCCAGCAAAAAUGUAACAACAAAUGAAGGCCAUACUGCUGACUUAGGGCUCAGAUUUUCCAAUUUUUCACUUUUGUAUGGACGAGAAACAACUAAGUGACAAGGCACAAGGAAAAAACCUUCUCGGAGCUUUUUAAUUAUCACAUUUGCAUCUGGCAUUGUUCCAAUGAAUGUGCCUCCUGGACGAAGUAAAGCAGAUACAUUGGCCAAGGCUCGGCGUGCACGAGCCUCAGUAGACCAGGAGUAAUGCAUGGCAAACUACAAUAUCAAACAUGUUGAUGGUUUAGAGAUCAAGGCCUUGAAGAAGCCCAAAGAAAUCCAUAACUAUUAUUUGAGAGAAAUAAGAGAAACUAUGUCAACAAGAUAGGCAAUUUAUAAAAAUGGCAAAUUAUUAAUAGAGUAAUGUUAGGAUAUAACCUCUUUGUACAAUCUAUUGUGUGCAAGCUGAUGUAACAUGAAAAUAUUGAUGGGAUGGAAACAAAAAGACAAUGCAUUUAAUGGUAAUAAAUAAUAUGAGGCCAUUAGAACAUUAUACAAAAGUGUCGCAUUAUACAAAGAAUCUAUAUCCCUAGUAUUCAUCUUAUAAAUAAAGGGGACAUAUGCAUUUAAAGUCAUCACGAUAAACUUUUGAGAUUUUCAGCAUUAAAGAUCAAGUGCAUGUCAAUCACCUGGCAACUGCAGAUAUCAAAAGGAGCAUCAUCUGCUAAAACUUUGUCCAAGUGAACCUGAAAUCAUUCAACCAGAGCAGAACUUACUAAAACUUCCACUGACAUCUGGAUAAAGUAAUCAUUCUGCUAAUUAAAUGGUUAGUUAUCGGUCAGCUGUUUAAAAGUAAAUUAAAUUUCAUUGUUCGAUAUCUAUUGAAUAUAGCAUUGCUCGGUACUUUCCAUGUCUGCAUUCACUGGCAUAGUACUUUUUUAAUUUAGUAGUGCAAAGACCAUGUCAGCUAGCUAAAGAAAGGAUGAAUUUUGAAAGGCUAGCAACUAUUAUGGUAAUUACCUCAUAACAAUCCCCACAUAUUAGACGUGCAGGAAAACUGAACUUUUUACGACGCUGAUGGUGAUCUGCAUCACCAUUGUAGCGUGUACGGCAAUCUUCUAUCUGUAUGUGAAUGACGGACACUUAAGAAUUGGCAGAUACUGAUGUAAAUGUAACAGAAUAAAAAGUUGUACAGCAAGGAAGAAACCAUAAAAUUCUGUGUCUUAUUAAAGAAUAAAAGAUGGAUAUUAUAACAUCAAACACUUAACCGAUUAGCAAUGAAGAAAAGAAUGUGAUCUAACACUCAGAAAAUAUUGGAUUGGAAAUAAUGGUCUUGAGCAGAUAUCUCAUUCAUAGGAAAAUCAUAUUUCAGGGGACUUCAUAUUAUAAGAAGAUUAUGCCACCACAUUGGGGGCCAAACCAACAAGGAAAAAAGAUGUAGUCACUUUGUAUAGCAUUCAUAAACAUGCCUUCUAACAAGCCUAGGCAGCAAUGGUGAUAUCAAACUGAUUGCAAGUAUAAUCACUUACUGAGCCUUCAGCUAUAUCAAUGCCAACAUAGUAUCCAAUUUUUGCUUUGUCCCAUUUGAUGAGAUCACCACCCUAAUGCACCCAAAAUUAAUGGCAAUGAGAAUAAGAGGGGGAAAAAAAGGUAAAGACUUUUCUAUGCAGUAAGGGGUAGGACCUUGCCACAGGCGAGAUCAAGAACAACAUCUCCCCGGCGAGCAUAAAGCUGAACUAAGACACUUUUAAUCUGUUCAAAAUUCAGGAGUCAAAUAAAUUACUAACGGGUCAGCUACAUACUGUGAUAAUAAGCUUGUAACAAACUCCAUGAGAUUACGAAGCAUACCCAGUUGUUAAGUUUUUUCAAGUGAAUGAUUGGACUCGCUUCUCGUUCUUCCAAAGUUUGAUUUGUCCUUCUACUGUAAUGGUCAGCCACUUUCCGAGCAAAAACCUUAGUGCUCUCAUCCUCCAAAAAAUGUGAAUCACCUAAUAGUACAACAUAAAACACUCAACUUACAUUCUCUAUUGAAAAAAAUACUUUAAAUCAGCAGCAUAUUCAAUAAAAGGAAAAGCUAAAACUUUUAAUCUUUAAUUCAUUCUUCAUUAAAAAGGUCCAUUGACGAACUCCAAUACAACUAAGAACUAAACAGCCAAAACUUCAUUCUCUUCACUUCCUAUUCUUUGAAGAUGAACCUUCUAAACUCCGCACUUCAAGAAAUCAACAAAUUCAUCAAGAAAAACACGUUUAAAAAUUAAAAAAAAAAAACACCAUCAAAAUAUGCAGAAUUCAAAUUUUAUCACCAUCAAAAUAUGCAGAAUUCAAAUUUAAUUCAUCAAGAAAAACACGUUUAAAAAUUAAAAAAAAAAAACACCAUCAAAAUAUGCAGAAUUCAAAUUUUAUUAGAAACUCAUUGGAUAAACUAAUAAAAGCUACAAAACCCAUCUCCACAAUACAUCAAAUUAACCAAAAAUACAAAUACAAGAAGCAAUUAGAAAGCAAAAAAGGGCUAUAAUUAAAAUCACCUUCAGGGUUUUGUUUAAACCUUUGUGCAGGUGGGCCUUCGGAGGAAGAAGGAGAACCGCGGUGCCCUCGUUUCAUAGAAAAUUAUUAAGAAUGAAACGAAAAAGAAAAUGUGUUUCACUUUUUUUUCUCCCCCUGUUUUGUGUUCAGAAACUCAAGAAAAACAAAAACAAGAAAGUGCUUUUGGGUUUCUGUUUUGUUCAGGUUCUGAUUGAGACACAGGUUAAGAGAGCAACAACUGCUUAUGGUUAUGAAAUUGAAUGUGGUCUUUUGUCUUUUGAGUUCUUGUAUUUGUAGAAAUCUUAUGGGGAUUGUUAGAUGCAGUUUUUAGUGAUGUAUAUAAUACUAGUAGUCAUGCAACCAGCAGAUCUUAAAUUUGGGCCGUACUUGGGCCUUUUUGUUAUGGGCCCUUUUCUAAACUACCAUCACUCUCAAUGGGAUAAACGACACGUCGUUUAUGCAAACGGCGCCGUAUUUACGUAAUUUGAAUUUAGACUUUUGUCUGAGCUGGCUACUGAACUUGUUUUGAAUGGCUUGCACGUCAAUUGCUCCAUUAUAUCCAUUUUUAAUACCUAAUCAAAAUAUUGGGUUUAAUGAGUCCAUCAAUAUACUGAAUUGGGUUAGUCCUCAUUCCUCAUCUUUUUUUUUUUUUUUUGGUUUUUGGUUUUUUGCAGUAUCAAUUUUCUGCCAUGAAAUGCUUGAUAUCCUAAUUUCAGUUCUUAUGGUAACAUGGAGUGAUGAACAGAACAGUUGAAAGAGAAAAUUGAAGAUCUUGAACAAUUAAAAUCGCUCUUUAUAAUGCAUAUGCGUGUUUGAAUUUCUUUCAAUAUUAUCUAUACCUAUUUCUCUUUCAAUUGUAUAUGAAUGUUUACAACAUGUGUUUGACACAAUGUACAAGAAGAAAAUGUUAAAUUAGGUUGAUUUGAUCAUUAUUUUUUAGUCUAAGCAUUCUCUUAAACCAUUCAACAGAAGCUUUAGGAAUCCUUGUCAGGUUAUUUUUGUAAUCCACGUAAUAGAGUCCAAAUCGGACUGUAUAUCCCGAGUUCCAUUCCCAGUUGUCUAGCAAGGACCAGAUGAAGUAACCUCGUACGUCACAGUUAUCUUCCCUGUGUUGGUUCAAGUUUAUGUUAGCUAACUCGACAUCAAUAGAAAAACUUUAAGAACUGAAGGUUUUUUUGGGAAGUUUUUUGUGUUACCUUAUGGCGGCAGACAGGUUCGAGAGAUAGUCCCCGUGGUAUCUUAUCCUCUUGACAUCAUGGAGAGCCUUGUUUAGUGUUAUAAAUGGACUAUUUGGAUCAUCCAUCCCUGUAGUCAUGAAAUUAAACUGUGUUUGUCACAUUGCAAGAAAGCUAUGUGAUUGAGGAUUUUCAGCCUGAAACCACUGACCGACCGUUUUCUGUUAUGAUCAUGGGAGGAUUCUUGUACUUAUGUUUUACGUAUCUUGCCAACUUGCGAAUGCCCCAUGGGACAAUGUGCAGCCAACGGGAUGCAGCCUGGAGGAGAAAGUUGUUAUCAGCUUAAUUUUAUUUGAAAAUGAUAACUACAUAUUUGAGGCCUUAGUAAGUUUUUCAGGACAUACUCUUUUUCCAAUAGCAAUUCCACUUCGAAAUGCUACAAUGGAGGAUAUAUAAGAAGAUAAUCAGUUUCUUUCUGCUUAUUUGAGUGAUAAUCUUCAAAUCAUAAGAUUGGGGUUUGGCUUCUUACAGGUGGUAAUAACUGCAGCGUCAGAAUAAGCAUCCUGCAGUAUUAGUUUCUGAAUUCGACUCCUGUCGUUGCGAGCGUAUAAUGUGGUAUAGUGAUUUAGACCAACAAAGUCCAAUGACCCCACCAGGGCCUUGGACAUCUCUGGUGUUAUUUCUGGUAGUCUCCCAUCAACAAGCGAUCUCAUUGACAGUGGGUACUCCCCAAAGAAAAGUGGAUCAAGGAACCUGAUUCACGUUCUUUAUGUUAAACAGGAUGUUUAUGAAAUUUGAUUCCUUCUUAAUUGUUAUGGACUAAAUAUUUGAAUGAGGUCAUAGUCAUACCAUCCAAUUCCAAAGUCUAUUGCUCUCUGCGCCGCAUCUUUGUCCUCAUCGCUGUCAGAUUUUGGUUCAUACCAUUUGGCAUCCAAUGCUAUCCCAAUUUGUCCCCCUUGUUUUUCCUGGAAGACAACGUAUGAAUGAAAGGAAAGGCAGAAAUAAGUGAUUCUAUCAUCUUUUGAGUGGACAGGGGAAUCACACUGUUCUGGCAAAAUCUUCUUCUUAUUCUUUUUGUAUUCUUUUGAUGAACAGUACCUUGAAAUUUAUCCGGUAACUAUGAUAAGCAGCGGCGUGAGACAGUAGGAUGUUGUGAGCUACAACGUACGGUUCAAUGGAUGAUUUUCCUGUCUUACAGAACAAAUGGCCAAGAAUUGAACAUCUUCCAGGGGCUUGAAGGCCGGUAUCAUAACCUUGGAGUGUGAAACCGUGAGGUUCAUUGAAGGUGAUCCAGUACUUCACCCUAUCUCCAAAUUCUUGGAAACAGGUGAAGGCAUAAUGCUCGAAGUCUUCUCUGUUAAGUAAUUAAAUGGUACACAUUUGUAAGCACUCAGUUUUAUAUGCUCUAAAUGCCACAUGGUAUAUAUAUCACCAAUAAACUUACAUUAUUUGUCUACUCAACCAUCCUCCGUAUUUGUCUUCAAGCACCUGAGGCAGAUCCCAAUGAUAGAGAGUUACGCAAGGCUGGAUUCCUGAUGGAAUAACAACCGAAGCUUUAAUAAGAGUUUACUCCUAGCAGAUACAAAUUCCAAGUGAUGUUUCACAAAUCAAACCUUUUUCCAGUAAAGCAUCUAUGAGGCUGUUGUAGUAGCUUAUUCCUUCUGGAUUAGGUUCCCCUGUUCCAUCUGUUAAAAGAUAAAUUCAAAAGCAACUAGUAAUUAGUCACAUCUGACAAAGAACGGAAAGGAAAACUCAUGGACUCUAUUUUUUUUCAUAACUUACUGGGAAAGAUUCUUGGCCAAGAUAUUGAGAAUCUGUAAGCAUCCAUUCCCAAAUCCUUCAUCAAAUCUAUAUCACUCUGUAAAGAUUGUGUUUUCACCUUUGAAUAGUUAGUAAGAGACAGAUCAUACUUUUUGGAUGAUUUGUCAUAUUUUUUCUUUUUUGACUUUUUCCAUAUUGUCUUCUUCGAAAACCUUUUUAUUAUUUUUUAUUAUUCAAUGUUGGUGGUGCAUCAUCGUCAUUAUCGUCUAUACUCUUCUCAUUAUUGUAUAUGGAUAUAUUAGUGCUGUAGUUAUCAAAAAAUUAAUCGUGUUACGUACUUCUAUGUUCUUAUCCUAAUUGGUUUCUUCCUCUGCUAAUCUCUUUAGCCAUACAAUUUGGCUAGCUAGUUUCCUAUUACAAGGGGAUGAUGCGUGUUCAAAUGAGCCUCUAUCAUAUACGUCAAUAACCCAGAGUUGGAUUUGUUAUCUUCUCCGCAAAGCAUUCUAGCUAAUAAAACAAUUUUGAAGUCAAAAGUGAAUUAUAGUUGAAUUCACCUUAAACCGGUGAUACUGAUCAACCGCUGUGUCAGCAUUGCUGAAAUCCAUAAUCCUCCCUGUAGAGACAUGUAUCAACCACUGCAAAGAGUUAAUGAUUCUGCAGCUAUUGUUUUUAUCAUUCGUCAAAAAUUUUCAAUUUGUUACCUGGCUGCCUGGUGAAAGAGUCCCAUAUGCUAGGUCCUUUAUUUCCUUCAUUUACAGCUCCUUCGAACUAGACAAGACAAAGGUGUCCAAUUCCAUCAGGUGCUGCUCUCCUAAACUUUCUCAUUCAUCAGAACAUGAUGAUCAGAGAAGAUAGAAAAAGGGUACCUGGUAAGCCGAAGAAGCUGUUCCGAAGAUGAACCCAUCUGGAAAAUCAGCCCUGCUGAUGGAUUCCGAGUUCGCGACAAGGUUGGUGAUCAGUAAAAUCGAGAUUAGAGUGAUUGCCAUAGAAGAAAGUUCAUUACACGAAAAUGCUCGAAUUUUUUCAGGAGUUAUAAGACAAGUAUCUGGGGGAGACCAAAUAAGAAAAACUGAGUGUUGUUAACUUGUAGUUAUCUUAGUUGUAAAGAUGAAGAAUCAGGUUGAAGGAAAAAAGGGGCGAAAGUGACGGCAGGAUUUCUCUUACACCUGUUGUCUCUUGCACGGCAAGCUGUUGUUGGAAUAGGCUGAAGUGGCUUGACGAGGUUACCUGGGAAACUCUAACUCGGCCCUUUGUGUGCACGUUAUUUAUUAUAUAGAGAAAUUAGAAAGCAAACAAAAGGAAAACGAAACUGAGGAACCCGAAUGAAGAAUUUCAGAAGAAAGUGCAUGGGAUCGAGGUAUGGGUGAAUAAAAAAAAGAAGUUUCAAGUGAUGGAUAAAAAUGAAAACUUAGGUUCCAAGUCAGCUUGCGAAGUUUUUUGGUUGGUGAGAGAAGGAAACUAAUGUUGGAAAUAUUGGAAUGGAGUAUUAGUUUACCAAAAGAAUCUUAUACUUGAAUUGAUAAAUAUGGAUUAAUUUUUAUAUAAUUAAAUCAUUAGGUUAAAGAAUGUGAUAUGAUAAUACAAGUCAUGUAAUUGUGUUAAUAUACUGUAUUUUAUUUUUCUUGUUAACUUUUGAUUGCAUGCCCAACAGAUAGUUUACGUUUAUAAAUCUAUCGAGAUUUAUCUUGAUCAAGCAUAACUAGAAUAGCCUCCUUAUGGUUAAUUUGACACUUUUCAGCCCGACUUGACAUAUGCCACGGAAAUGUUUAAUAAUAAUAAGAGUAACUUGAAUUUUGUAUUUGAUAAACCCAUCUUCAUGGCUUCAUGCAUUAAAAAUUCAUAUUCAUCAAAAGCUGAUUGCUUCUUUAUUUAUCGAAUAAUGAAUAAAGCUAUCAUGGAGAAUAAUCUAAUGCACCGAUUGGUGUAUUUCCGUGGCUUAGAAUAUGUUAAAUCGUUAUUUAAAAAAAAAUGAAAAAUGUAUUUGCACAAUCGAAUGCAACAUUUUGGGCCACUGGCCCAUUAGGGCUAGCCCAGACAACAAACAAAGAGCAAUCUUAAUACUAUUAGCACCCCCGUCAUUAUCCUCAUAGCACUCCUCAUGUGAUUGCAUUUAUGGACAUAUAAUUCUAGUUAGGCUAAUGCUAAGUUACAUACAUAUAUCUUACACCCCUCUCACAUGAAUAGUGAAUGAUGUGGGUCCACUCACUAUUCAUGUGAGAGGGUUGUAAGGUACAUGCAUGUAACUUAGAGGGAUCCUUCUAGUUAAACACAUCUUCUCUCUCCCGACUCUUAAUAAAACCAACGCAUUCUCUAUCAUUUAUUUAUUCGCAUAACUCUUUCAAUAUAUCGACAUGUCAGGUUUUUUUUUUUUUUUACUGCUCAUCUAUCUAAUAUAUAUAUUUUUUGAAACGAUCUUUAUUUUUUUACUUUUUCUUAUAUAUUCUAUUUUUUGAAAUUAAUUAUUCUCCUUCUUAAUACUACUUUUAAUUUAAAGCUUAAAUAUGUUUAUUUUAAAUUAGAGUUAUCACCCAGUAAAGUUAUUUUGUGUAGAGGGUAGAAAACUAUAUUACAAUAGGAAUAAUACUCAAUUUUAUUUAGGGAUGACAAUGGGGAAGAGAGGGGAGGAGACUGACCUCCCCAUACCCAUCCUUGAUAUUUUGUUUAUGUUCACGUCCCGGCUAAAGAUGGUCAAUGGGCUGGGCGGCACGUGGUACGGCACGGGCACGGCACGGCACGAGCACGUUUCGGUGAGGCACGAGGCACGGCACGGCACGCACGUGGGCNNNNNNNNNNNNNNNNNNNNNNNNNNNNNNNNNNNNNNNNNNNNNNNNNNNNNNNNNNNNNNNNNNNNNNNNNNNNNNNNNNNNNNNNNNNNNNNNNNNNNNNNNNNNNNNNNNNNNNNNNNNNNNNNNNNNNNNNNNNNNNNNNNNNNNNNNNNNNNNNNNNNNNNNNNNNNNNNNNNNNNNNNNNNNNNAAAAAAAAAAGAUUUCUGCUGUACGGCCAAGGCGGAUGUACGGUACAGCAGUUAAUAAAUAAAAUUAUAAAUAUCAUAAAUUUAUAAAUUAUAAAUAAAAAAUAAUUUUUUUUUCAAAAUUAAUAAUAAAAUAUUUUUCAUAUUAAUAUUAAAUCAUAACUUAGUUAAUAUUUAAUAGAGAUGCAUUUAAUUUGUGAAUGAAAUAUUUUCCAUUUUAUACACAAGAAAAAUGAUGAUAAAUUAAAAAUUACAUUUUCAUUAAAUGAAGUUAAAGUACAAUUAUAAUAUUAGUAAUUCAAAUAAAAUUAGGUGUAAUUUGCAUCACUACANNNNNNNNNNNNNNNNNNNNNNNNNNNNNNNNNNNNNNNNNNNNNNNNNNNNNNNNNNNNNNNNNNNNNNNNNNNNNNNNNNNNNNNNNNNNNNNNNNNNNNNNNNNNNNNNNNNNNNNNNNNNNNNNNNNNNNNNNNNNNNNNNNNNNNNNNNNNNNNNNNNNNNNNNNNNNNNNNNNNNNNNNNNNNNNNNNNNNNNNNNNNNNNNNNNNNNNNNNNNNNNNNNNNNNNNNNNNNNNNNNNNNNNNNNNNNNNNNNNNNNNNNNNNNNNNNNNNNNNNNNNNNNNNNNNNNNNNNNNNNNNNNNNNNNNNNNNNNNNNNNNNNNNNNNNNNNNNNNNNNNNNNNNNNNNNNNNNNNNNNNNNNNNNNNNNNNNNNNNNNNNNNNNNNNNNNNNNNNNNNNNNNNNNNNNNNNNNNNNNNNNNNNNNNNNNNNNNNNNNNNNNNNNNNNNNNNNNNNNNNNNNNNNNNNNNNNNNNNNNNNNNNNNNNNNNNNNNNNNNNNNNNNNNNNNNNNNNNNNNNNNNNNNNNNNNNNNNNNNNNNNNNNNNNNNNNNNNNNNNNNNNNNNNNNNNNNNNNNNNNNNNNNNNNNNNNNNNNNNNNNNNNNNNNNNNNNNNNNNNNNNNNNNNNNNNNNNNNNNNNNNNNNNNNNNNNNNNNNNNNNNNNNNNNNNNNNNNNNNNNNNNNNNNNNNNNNNNNNNNNNNNNNNNNNNNNNNNNNNNNNNNNNNNNNNNNNNNNNNNNNNNNNNNNNNNNNNNNNNNNNNNNNNNNNNNNNNNNNNNNNNNNNNNNNNNNNNNNNNNNNNNNNNNNNNNNNNNNNNNNNNNNNNNNNNNNNNNNNNNNNNNNNNNNNNNNNNNNNNNNNNNNNNNNNNNNNNNNNNNNNNNNNNNNNNNNNNNNNNNNNNNNNNNNNNNNNNNNNNNNNNNNNNNNNNNNNNNNNNNNNNNNNNNNNNNNNNNNNNNNNNNNNNNNNNNNNNNNNNNNNNNNNNNNNNNNNNNNNNNNNNNNNNNNNNNNNNNNNNNNNNNNNNNNNNNNNNNNNNNNNNNNNNNNNNNNNNNNNNNNNNNNNNNNNNNNNNNNNNNNNNNNNNNNNNNNNNNNNNNNNNNNNNNNNNNNNNNNNNNNNNNNNNNNNNNNNNNNNNNNNNNNNNNNNNNNNNNNNNNNNNNNNNNNNNNNNNNNNNNNNNNNNNNNNNNNNNNNNNNNNNNNNNNNNNNNNNNNNNNNNNNNNNNNNNNNNNNNNNNNNNNNNNNNNNNNNNNNNNNNNNNNNNNNNNNNNNNNNNNNNNNNNNNNNNNNNNNNNNNNNNNNNNNNNNNNNNNNNNNNNNNNNNNNNNNNNNNNNNNNNNNNNNNNNNNNNNNNNNNNNNNNNNNNNNNNNNNNNNNNNNNNNNNNNNNNNNNNNNNNNNNNNNNNNNNNNNNNNNNNNNNNNNNNNNNNNNNNNNNNNNNNNNNNNNNNNNNNNNNNNNNNNNNNNNNNNNNNNNNNNNNNNNNNNNNNNNNNNNNNNNNNNNNNNNNNNNNNNNNNNNNNNNNNNNNNNNNNNNNNNNNNNNNNNNNNNNNNNNNNNNNNNNNNNNNNNNNNNNNNNNNNNNNNNNNNNNNNNNNNNNNNNNNNNNNNNNNNNNNNNNNNNNNNNNNNNNNNNNNNNNNNNNNNNNNNNNNNNNNNNNNNNNNNNNNNNNNNNNNNNNNNNNNNNNNNNNNNNNNNNNNNNNNNNNNNNNNNNNNNNNNNNNNNNNNNNNNNNNNNNNNNNNNNNNNNNNNNNNNNNNNNNNNNNNNNNNNNNNNNNNNNNNNNNNNNNNNNNNNNNNNNNNNNNNNNNNNNNNNNNNNNNNNNNNNNNNNNNNNNNNNNNNNNNNNNNNNNNNNNNNNNNNNNNNNNNNNNNNNNNNNNNNNNNNNNNNNNNNNNNNNNNNNNNNNNNNNNNNNNNNNNNNNNNNNNNNNNNNNNNNNNNNNNNNNNNNNNNNNNNNNNNNNNNNNNNNNNNNNNNNNNNNNNNNNNNNNNNNNNNNNNNNNNNNNNNNNNNNNNNNNNNNNNNNNNNNNNNNNNNNNNNNNNNNNNNNNNNNNNNNNNNNNNNNNNNNNNNNNNNNNNNNNNNNNNNNNNNNNNNNNNNNNNNNNNNNNNNNNNNNNNNNNNNNNNNNNNNNNNNNNNNNNNNNNNNNNNNNNNNNNNNNNNNNNNNNNNNNNNNNNNNNNNNNNNNNNNNNNNNNNNNNNNNNNNNNNNNNNNNNNNNNNNNNNNNNNNNNNNNNNNNNNNNNNNNNNNNNNNNNNNNNNNNNNNNNNNNNNNNNNNNNNNNNNNNNNNNNNNNNNNNNNNNNNNNNNNNNNNNNNNNNNNNNNNNNNNNNNNNNNNNNNNNNNNNNNNNNNNNNNNNNNNNNNNNNNNNNNNNNNNNNNNNNNNNNNNNNNNNNNNNNNNNNNNNNNNNNNNNNNNNNNNNNNNNNNNNNNNNNNNNNNNNNNNNNNNNNNNNNNNNNNNNNNNNNNNNNNNNNNNNNNNNNNNNNNNNNNNNNNNNNNNNNNNNNNNNNNNNNNNNNNNNNNNNNNNNNNNNNNNNNNNNNNNNNNNNNNNNNNNNNNNNNNNNNNNNNNNNNNNNNNNNNNNNNNNNNNNNNNNNNNNNNNNNNNNNNNNNNNNNNNNNNNNNNNNNNNNNNNNNNNNNNNNNNNNNNNNNNNNNNNNNNNNNNNNNNNNNNNNNNNNNNNNNNNNNNNNNNNNNNNNNNNNNNNNNNNNNNNNNNNNNNNNNNNNNNNNNNNNNNNNNNNNNNNNNNNNNNNNNNNNNNNNNNNNNNNNNNNNNNNNNNNNNNNNNNNNNNNNNNNNNNNNNNNNNNNNNNNNNNNNNNNNNNNNNNNNNNNNNNNNNNNNNNNNNNNNNNNNNNNNNNNNNNNNNNNNNNNNNNNNNNNNNNNNNNNNNNNNNNNNNNNNNNNNNNNNNNNNNNNNNNNNNNNNNNNNNNNNNNNNNNNNNNNNNNNNNNNNNNNNNNNNNNNNNNNNNNNNNNNNNNNNNNNNNNNNNNNNNNNNNNNNNNNNNNNNNNNNNNNNNNNNNNNNNNNNNNNNNNNNNNNNNNNNNNNNNNNNNNNNNNNNNNNNNNNNNNNNNNNNNNNNNNNNNNNNNNNNNNNNNNNNNNNNNNNNNNNNNNNNNNNNNNNNNNNNNNNNNNNNNNNNNNNNNNNNNNNNNNNNNNNNNNNNNNNNNNNNNNNNNNNNNNNNNNNNNNNNNNNNNNNNNNNNNNNNNNNNNNNNNNNNNNNNNNNNNNNNNNNNNNNNNNNNNNNNNNNNNNNNNNNNNNNNNNNNNNNNNNNNNNNNNNNNNNNNNNNNNNNNNNNNNNNNNNNNNNNNNNNNNNNNNNNNNNNNNNNNNNNNNNNNNNNNNNNNNNNNNNNNNNNNNNNNNNNNNNNNNNNNNNNNNNNNNNNNNNNNNNNNNNNNNNNNNNNNNNNNNNNNNNNNNNNNNNNNNNNNNNNNNNNNNNNNNNNNNNNNNNNNNNNNNNNNNNNNNNNNNNNNNNNNNNNNNNNNNNNNNNNNNNNNNNNNNNNNNNNNNNNNNNNNNNNNNNNNNNNNNNNNNNNNNNNNNNNNNNNNNNNNNNNNNNNNNNNNNNNNNNNNNNNNNNNNNNNNNNNNNNNNNNNNNNNNNNNNNNNNNNNNNNNNNNNNNNNNNNNNNNNNNNNNNNNNNNNNNNNNNNNNNNNNNNNNNNNNNNNNNNNNNNNNNNNNNNNNNNNNNNNNNNNNNNNNNNNNNNNNNNNNNNNNNNNNNNNNNCAUAAUCUGGAUCCACUUCAUCUUGAUCAACAUUCAAACUCUCAAUUUGUUUAAUUAAAGCAUUUUGCCAAUCUUGUUGCACUCGGCGUUCAGCAUCUUCCCAAUCUUUCAAACACAACAAAAAGUCUAAUGUCUCUGAUGACAAUCUUGACUGAUGUUCAUCUAGAAUUCUGCCACCUGUACUAAAAGUUGAUUCUGAUGCUACAGUUGAAGCUGGAGGGGUUAGUAGAUCACGGGCCAUAAUGGAUAAUAUAGGGAAAAAAGAUGUCUUACCCAUCCAAAAUUAUAAAAUAUCAAAAUUUUGCAAUUGUGAAGGAGUUGCUAAAUCUUCAAGAUUGGCAGAACAAUAUCUUUGCAAUUCAUUACGAUUAGUAUCAAUACUAGAGGCAACACCCUUACCUUUGAGUAACAAAAGGUGAGCUGGAUUUUUAUAAGAAGUCGAUGCUUGUUGAACAUUAGAAUAUGUAUUGCUUUAUCCGAAUUUAUUUUGAUAAAAAUUAAAAAGUUCAUGCAUAGAGGACAUAAUUGUAUCAAAAUUUGUAUCAAGUUCAUUAACAGUACAUCCCGACUAGGUUGGCACCUACUGAACCAUCUAUCAUUUGCAAAUUUACAACCUUCUCACUAAUAAAAAUUGUUUCAAAAAGUUACAAGAAAAAAAAAAUCUCUAAUCUUUGGAAGUGGCUUAAAUGUUCAGUACUCUGCAUAAUCUGGAUCCACUUCAUCUUGAUCAACAUUCAAACUCUCAAUUUGUUUAAUUAAAGCAUUUUGCCAAUCUUGUUGCACUUGGCGUUCAGCAUCUUCCCAAUCUUUCAAACACAACAAAGAGUCUAAUGUCUCUUAUGACAAUCUUGACCGAUGUUCAUCUAGAACUCUGCCACCUGUACUAAAAGCUGAUUCUGAUGCUACAGUUGAAGCUGGAGGGGUUAGUAGAUCACGGGCCAUAAUGGAUAAUAUAGGGAAAAAAGAUGUCUUACCCAUCCAAAAAUCUAAAAUAUCAAAAUUUUGCAAUUGUGAAGGAGUUGCUAAAUCUUCAAGAUUGGCAGAACAAUAUCUUUGCAAUUCAUUACGAUUAGUAUCAAUACUAGAGGCAACACCCUUACCUUUGAGUAACAAAAGGUGAGCUNNNNNNNNNNNNNNNNNNNNNNNNNNNNNNNNNNNNNNNNNNNNNNNNNNNNNNNNNNNNNNNNNNNNNNNNNNNNNNNNNNNNNNNNNNNNNNNNNNNNNNNNNNNNNNNNNNNNNNNNNNNNNNNNNNNNNNNNNNNNNNNNNNNNNNNNNNNNNNNNNNNNNNNNNNNNNNNNNNNNNNNNNNNNNNNNNNNNNNNNNNNNNNNNNNNNNNNNNNNNNNNNNNNNNNNNNNNNNNNNNNNNNNNNNNNNNNNNNNNNNNNNNNNNNNNNNNNNNNNNNNNNNNNNNNNNNNNNNNNNNNNNNNNNNNNNNNNNNNNNNNNNNNNNNNNNNNNNNNNNNNNNNNNNNNNNNNNNNNNNNNNNNNNNNNNNNNNNNNNNNNNNNNNNNNNNNNNNNNNNNNNNNNNNNNNNNNNNNNNNNNNNNNNNNNNNNNNNNNNNNNNNNNNNNNNNNNNNNNNNNNNNNNNNNNNNNNNNNNNNNNNNNNNNNNNNNNNNNNNNNNNNNNNNNNNNNNNNNNNNNNNNNNNNNNNNNNNNNNNNNNNNNNNNNNNNNNNNNNNNNNNNNNNNNNNNNNNNNNNNNNNNNNNNNNNNNNNNNNNNNNNNNNNNNNNNNNNNNNNNNNNNNNNNNNNNNNNNNNNNNNNNNNNNNNNNNNNNNNNNNNNNNNNNNNNNNNNNNNNNNNNNNNNNNNNNNNNNNNNNNNNNNNNNNNNNNNNNNNNNNNNNNNNNNNNNNNNNNNNNNNNNNNNNNNNNNNNNNNNNNNNNNNNNNNNNNNNNNNNNNNNNNNNNNNNNNNNNNNNNNNNNNNNNNNNNNNNNNNNNNNNNNNNNNNNNNNNNNNNNNNNNNNNNNNNNNNNNNNNNNNNNNNNNNNNNNNNNNNNNNNNNNNNNNNNNNNNNNNNNNNNNNNNNNNNNNNNNNNNNNNNNNNNNNNNNNNNNNNNNNNNNNNNNNNNNNNNNNNNNNNNNNNNNNNNNNNNNNNNNNNNNNNNNNNNNNNNNNNNNNNNNNNNNNNNNNNNNNNNNNNNNNNNNNNNNNNNNNNNNNNNNNNNNNNNNNNNNNNNNNNNNNNNNNNNNNNNNNNNNNNNNNNNNNNNNNNNNNNNNNNNNNNNNNNNNNNNNNNNNNNNNNNNNNNNNNNNNNNNNNNNNNNNNNNNNNNNNNNNAGGUGGGACAAUAAAUAUAUUACUUGGAUCAAAUUCUGGUGCAGCAAUUUCUUCAUUUGCAACUUCCUCCCCCUCUUCAACAAAAUUAAAAUUCUCAUCUAACUCGAAAUGAGAGUGAGACAUUUUAUAUAAUUAGUGUUUUGGUAAAUAAAGGCGCUGGAAUUGUAGCAAAGAAGAUUGGGCAAGCAGAGACUAGAGAUGAGAUGACUGAUGAGAUAAGAGAGAUAACGAGGAGAUAGAAAAUUAGAAAUUGAGAAGUGAGAAUGUGAGAAUGUGAGAAUGUGAGAUGAAUUCGAAAAGAAUUUAAUCGUUUAAAUAGAAUAAAAAAGUAAACAUAUUAACGGCUAGAAACGGGCAAAUAAAAAAGUAAACAUUUUAACGGUAAAAAACGGGCAAACACUCUACAAACCUACAAAUCUACAACUGUAAAACUUCCUGCAACUCUGCAAGGCUGCAGCAAAUUUUAUCAUUCAUUUGUCCGUUGGAAACUUGGAAUUGUAAGGUGAGUAAUUGAUUUAAUUUAAAAUUUUUUAUCAUUAAAAAUUAAUUGUUGAGGGAUCUGUAUGACUCUAUGGUACCGAUUCUGCAAGACUGUAACAAACAUCUCCUGUCAUCCCAUUCCCACCAUUCGAUUGUCUAUUGUUUAGCUUCUCACUCCACAUCCAACGGCUGAUGUUGCAGUCUGUAGCUUACAAAUUCUGUAAGCCAGUCAAGUCUAAUUGUUGAGUCAUGAAUGCCCAUGCUGUGAAAGUGAAAUUGACUAGUCAAGUCCAUCAACUUUAUUGCUUUUUUUUUUUUGGAAAGGUAUAUCAACUUUAUUGUUAAUUCAAUUAAUGCAGAAUUUUUUAAUUCAAUUAAUUCAGUUUUUUUUUUGUCCGUUGGGUGAGUAAUGAAAAUAUGAAAUUAAUUUAAAAUUUUUGUCAUUAAAAAUCAAAAAACAUUAAUUGAUAAUCAGAGCCUGACUGCUUAUACUGUAAAAUUGAGUAGUCAUAUCAAUUUUACUGUUAAUUCAAAAAAAAAAUUUGUCCGUUGGGUGAGUAAUUUAAUUAAUUCAGAAUUUUUUUAAAUUCAAUUAAUUCAAAAAAUUUUUAUCCGUUGGGUGAGUAAUAAAAUUCAUUUACAAUUUUUUAUUAUUUAAUAAUUAGAAAAAAUUAUUUUUUAAGUGCACCGUUGUUAUUUAUUUUUUAAAAUAAUUUUUGUAAUUAAUUUUUUUUCAAAACAACAUAUUAAAUUAAAAAAAAAUUAUGGUUCAUUGUUAUAAGAGAAUAUUAUAAUAGUAAACUAGUAGUACGGGUCCACGGGAGGAGCCUGCAUUCAUUAUGUAGAGUACUUAAUUUUUUUGAAUUUAAAUUCUCAACUCAAAUUUUUAACACUGUAGUUGUCAUUUGUCAACUUGUCAUAUAGUGCACAUGCAGACGUUCAGAUUGCAGAUUUUUAAAUAAUUUAAGAUUUUUUUCCCACAUGCCAAGCAAGCACUUGCCUUACGGCUAUAUUUAUAUUUCACUAAAUAUUUUUUUACUUACUCUUUUUACUCCCACCAACAAAGUAAAUAAAAGUAAUUUUUGUCUUUUUAUUACUAUCUAAUAUUAUAUAUACACGCCAUGGCCAAAAUAUAUCUAAGUAAAUUUUUUUAACAAAAAGUAAAUAUAAAAUGUUAUGAAAUUAAAUGUUUUAAUAUAUUUUUUAGCAUAGACUUUUAAAAAUUAAUUUAAAUCAUUAAAUCUUAGUUUAAAUAAAUGAUUUGUUAUAUUAAUAUUUCGUAGUUAUGACUUAUUGUAAUGAUUAUUCGAGGAUUGUAUUUUUAAUUUUAAUUAAUUAUUAUUAUGAUCUAUGGAAUUAAAUUUAAUUAAAUUUAUGUAUUGUUGUGUUAUGAAUUAUGAUUGAUUAUUGUGAAAUAAAAUAUAUAGUUGUGAAAUUGUGAUAAACUAAUAAUAAAAUGUUAAUUGCUCUCUUAAUAAAAAUUAAUAUGAUUAUGAUUGUGAAUAUUAUUAUUAUUAUUAUUAUUAUUAUGUUAGUGGGCUUAAAAAAGCACGUCAGGCACGUGGGCUUGAAUAAAGCACGCUAGGCACGUGGGUUGAAGAAAGCACGUUAGGCACGUGGGAUUUUUUAAGCACGCUAAAAAAAAAAAAGUUGGUGGGCUUUUUUUGGGCACGGCCCACGGCACGGCACGAGCACGGCACGAGCGGGCUCCACGGCACGGCCCACGAGCCCUUAUGGGCCGACAGUUGGUGCCGGCACGGCCCAUUGGCCAUAGUUAGUCCCGGCUAAAAUUACUUUAGGGAAGCCCCGUCCCCUCCCCGAAUAAUAAUAGAGGAUUCUCAAGGGUUCUCAAUCCUUGAACAAUUAAUACGUUUUUAGUUUUUAUUUUAAUUUAAUCAUAUUAAAAUAAAAAAUAAAAAUAAAAAAUAAAAUUUGACGAUAUAUCUUAUAUUAACAUUAAUCCAUUACAAAAGUCACAUUACAAAAUACAAAUCACCAUAAUAAUUAUCUUCGUCAAUCUUCAUAAUCAAACAAUUAAAAAAAAGAAAUUACUUUUAUAUCAACAAUAAGAUAAAUGAAAUGAAUAUAGAUACUUAAUCAAUAUUUCUAAUAAAAAUAUUUACCUCUUACGCCUCUUGCUCCUCUUGUUAUUCGUUGAGGAAUGUGGCAAAUUGAGAGAUAGCUUUAGGUUUCAAAUUUAAAACAAUAAAAAUAAUAUAAGUAAUGUAGCUUCUAAGUGAAAAUAUUAAUAAUUAUAUAAUAUAAUUACAAUGUAAAAUAAACUCAUACCGCCAUUGUACGCUUGUAGCCAACUUUGACAGCACAUUAAAGCCUCCAAUGUGCUUGUUGCAAUACUCUACCAUUGGUGCUAAAAGUUGAUUCGGAAGCAACAUUUAUAAUUGGAAUUGCCAAAAUAUCUCUAUCAAUUCGUGCGGAUAUAAGAUAUGUAUGGGUAUUUGUUUCUACCAACUAAAAAUAUUAAAAUCUUCCAUCUAUAUCAUAACUUUGUCAUCCAAAUAUUAAUCUAGUCAAUUAGGCCCAAAAGUUUAAUAAUAUAAUUAUUUUGAUAUUUUUUUAUUUAUACUAAUAUUCAAUAUUUUAUUUACAUUUUAUAAUUUAUUUACUAAUAAUUAAAAAAUUAAAAUUAAAAUAAAAAUUAAAUGGGGAAACAGGGAGGGGAGGGGGAUUCCUCCUCAUCCUGGUCCAUUCCCCAAAUAAGAAAUUAGGAAAAAAAUUAUCCCCGUACCCUCCCCGAGUUGAGAAAAUCCCUGAGAGUCUCCGUCUUCAUGAUAGUUUUUUCCAUCCCUAAUUUUAUUUUAGGAAGGAGAAAACAUGAAAAAAAAAGAGUGUAUAUGUGGUUUACGAAGAAAAGGGUAUUUUUAGUAUUAAAAUAAGUAUAACUUUUUUGAAUUAAAAAAUAAAUAUAGUUGAACAUGGGUUUCAUAAGCAUUUUAAAGUGGUGUCAAAAGCUCCACUCUAUGUAAAAUUAAUUAUUUGACUAGUUAAAAGAGUUUAAAUGACUUGGCCAUUGGCAAGGGACUCUUAAAUUUUGCUCCCCUAAUUAAAAAUUGAGUAAAGGUUGGUUUCCCCUCUACUAGUCUGUAGAUGAUACAAAUAUCCCUACAAUAUAUAAUAUGAGGAUAAAAAUAUCGAUUAUACCAUAAUAGACUUGAUGCAAAUGAUCCUCAUAGACUUCUGAUUAUAUAAUACAUAAGUAAUUCAAAAAAGAAUUAAAGAGAAACAAUUUCGGAUUAUGUUAUUGGGCUUGUAACCUAGUAGUACUCAUUGUGUGAGAUAAUGUUUGUCAUACUUUUAAAAUAUACAAGUGAUCUAUCUUGAAUGCUAAUAGAUUUCAUGUGUGUGUGUUUUUUAUAUUGGAAUAAUUAAAAAAAAGAUUUAAAUGAUUCAUUUUUUCACAACUUCCUACCAUUUUGUUUCAGAAAAAGUAAAUUAAUUUUUAUUUAAAAUUUUUAAAGAUAGGUAUAACAUGUUUAUAAAUAAAAAAAUUGUUGUAAGAAAAUAUUUCUAUUGAAAAAAUAAAUUGAUAUUUUUUGUUCAAUUUUUUUAAAGAUAGGUAUAAUUUAUCUAUAAAAAAUUGUUUUAAGAAAUAUUUCUAUUGAAAAAUUAUGGAAAAUGCUACUGAAGGGGUUAGACUUUCAAUUUCACAUGUAUAUGUAACUUGUGAAGAAUUUAUCGCGAUUAAUUUGUCUUGAAUUUGGUAGAGUGAGUACCCAAAAAAGCUACUCCGAUACUCAAGUUAAUGUUUAUUUAAGGUUGAAAAAAAAAGAAGAAAAUCGUUUUCUUCUUCUAAUUAAGGGUGAAUAAUGUUUUCAAAGGCCAAAGAUUCAUUCUCUUAGAGAUGAUGGGUGACAUGGGAUUAGGGUUUUGUGUUGAGCCUUAUUCCAAGAAUAGUUGUCAGCUGUCGCUACUAUACACGUAGACAUAAAUUUGGUUAUGAGAAAACAUACAGCUGUCGCUACUACACACGUAGACAUAAAUUUGAUUAUGGGAAAACAUACAUAUUUAUUCUAUAUGUUCAUGUUUUCUUAUUCUUAUGACUUUGAGCAUAAUUUUUAAGGAAUCUAUUUUGGGUAUUAUUUUUUCCGGAAUGGUUUCUUCUUGUCUAAAAUGGUGGACAUGUAGUGCAAUAUAGUACCUUUGAAAUAUGGAACCUACUGCUACCUUGACAAAACUUAUGGAAAAAAGGCAAUUUUGACAAAAAAUUGAGAAACAAAUUUUUGGCAAAAAAUAUGAAGAGACUAAAAUAUUUUGAUAAAAAAUUAGUUGUUUAUAACUAUUAUGAUAUUUUAGUCUUUUAUGCCUUUUUUAAUUUCAAUGUUCUUGUUAUUUUCAAUUAAUAUUGAACAUUUUUCAUAAUUUUAAUUUUCAUAAUACAAAAUCUGUAAAACAAACUAUUCUCCUUCUAUGAAAUUAUUUAACAAAAAACCUUUCGAAAAAGGGUAUCGAAGGAGGCCUAAACUACUUGAGCCCAUUUAAAUUGACAUUUUGGUUUCGGCUACCUUCCAUGUUUUUUAUUCACAAGGCGGCUUAACGUCAACAUUACUAUGCUUUAAUUUGUAUUGUUUGAUAGGAUAUUAGCCCCUCCAUUAUUGACGUUUAAGAGCUUUAUUUACCUACAAAUUUGAAAGCAUUUAAGAAAGGCAACGCAUGCUACAAAGUGAUUUUAUUGUUGAACCGUUUGACAGAUCUUAAAAGAAUUAGGGUUGUUGGAGUUGUGAGAUAUACACUCCAGUACUUGUACUCUCCCUUAUAAUAUAUCAGUUUGUGCUUUAUGUCGUUAUUUUUAUUUUUUCUUUAAAUAUCAUCUUCUUUAAUAUUUAUUGUAUAAUUUGAUCAGUCACAGCAAAAAUCUUGGAUUAAAAAAAAAAAAAAAGAUGUUAUGAGUCUUCUUUCUUCAAAAGAAACUAUAAAAAAUUGAUAUGAACGGUUGAUCUUUGAAUUAUCACCCUAGUAUUUGAGGUGAUCAUUUCAUUAAUUUGUCAUCAAAUGACAUCACAUAUCAUGUCACACACACACACACACACACACACAAUAUAUAUAUAUAUAAGGGAUGAUGUCAGUCAGAUAUAAAAAACACAAGACUGUAUUUUUUUGUGUUAGUGUAUUAAAAUAUAUAUUUUUUUAUUACACACCGCACGUACACACAAAUGCACACACACACGGGUGAUCAUUUUACACCCAUUUUAUAUAUAGAUAAUAUAAUCUAACUAUGGGGCUAGCCAAUUUUGUUAAUUUUAUUGACGUGAUAAUUUUGUUACUUUAAUUGAUGCAGAACCCCAAUCCGAAAUUGAAAAGCGGAAUGAAACUGUAAAAUCAGAGUUGAAAAGUGGCUGAUGAGCAAUAAUGCAGCAUACAAAACAAUUGAUGAAAUUGUGACUCUUGUUGAUCAGCUUCAACGCCUUGGUAUGGCCUAGCACUUUGAAUAUAAGAUCAACGAGGCCUUACAAUCAAUCUAUAAUAGCCAAGUCAAUAGCAAUUAUGAUGUUAAUUACGAUCGUAACAAUAAUCUCUACAUAGUUGCUCUUCGAUUUCGGCUUCUAAGCAACAUGGUUACAAGGUGUCAGCAAGUAUAUAUAAGUAAAAGUUUCAACCAGUCUUUUUUUAACAUAUAUUUGGUGGUAAUUAAUUUUAACACUUGAAUUACAAUAAUGAAACAUAUAUUUUAGAAGAAUUCGAAGAUGAAAAAGGUGAAUUCAAGGCCAUGGUAACACAUGAUGCGAGAGGCUUGCUGUGUUUAUACGAGGCAUCAUAUUUAAGAGUACAAGUAGAGGAUCUAUUGGAAGAAGCAUGUGAAUUCUCUAGCUGACAAAGUUAAGCACUCCCUAGAGAUACCUUCGCACAGAGAGAUGCCAAGAUUGGAGGUAAGGCAGGACAUUUCCAUAUAUGAAGCAGACAAUUCAGCACGAAAUGAGCCAUUAUUCGAAGGUUGCAAAGCUAGAUUAUAAUCUUUUGCAGGCAUCGCAUCGGAGAGAGCUAAGUGGGAUCUCAAGGUGAUCAAAUGUCAAAACCCCAUUGUUUGUUAACAUUUAUCAUUUGUCCUGUAAUGUUUUAAAACCAAUAAAAAAUCAAUCUAUCGUUAAAAGGUUCCGUUACUGUUCGAUUUUUAUUGUAUCUUCCACUAUUUUACUAAUACUGGUCAAAUUAUGCACUAAACUUAACUUUUAAUAUUUAAGUAAAACACAUACACAAAUACAAGGCAAUUACAAAAGCUCACCACUCAAGAGAAUUAUAAUAGGAUACAAAUAAUAUACCAUCCAAUGAUGUCCUACGAGAGAUACAAUGCUCUCUAACUGAUGCAGCGGAAGUUUAAUGUUUAAAAUAUUCUGUUGAUUCUAGAGAAUAUCGGAACAAAAGAACAACUAAAUUUACGUUGAUUCAAAAGAAUACCGCGAAUUUAAGGGUUAAGACUCGUUGAUUCCAUAGAAUAAUGAGAAUUAACUGUUUAAAUACUCAUAAAGAGAUUUGAAAAUUGAAAUAUUAUUAAACUCAAAAUUCUACCUUCAAAGGUUACAAGAGGGAGCUAUUUAUAGUAGUAGUAAUUAUCCUAAUUAAUGAAGUAAAAACAAAAUCCUAAAUUGAAAGGGAAACAAAAUUCUAAAUUAGAAAGGAAUUAAAAAGUCUUAAACUUUAGUUAAUAAGGAAACUAAUCCUAGUAUAAUAUGGAUUCUUACUCUUCAUCAUUCCCCCACUACUAGAAAAAUGGGCUUUACUGAUACUAAAUUAGUGUCAGUAAUUACUUUUCCUGACACUUGUUAAUUGUGUCAAUAAUGCUCCAGCCAGAACACACUGACACUGAAAAUUAGUGUCAGUGAUUUUUGUGUCAAUAAUUUUUGUCACAAUAGUAUCACUAAAAUAAUGACACGAUGGUAUCAGUGUUUGAUGAUAUUAUUUACAUGUCAAUGAUUAAUGUGACUACAAUAUCAGGAGCACAUUGAUUCAUUAACGUAAAUUAUUAUUCAUGUCAUUUUAAAAUAUUUAGUGUCAGUAUUUAUUGAUGUUAUGCUGCUUUUGUUAAUAGUAUAUUUUUAUUUUUAUUAUAUUUUUUUUUCUACAAUCAAAAGAAAACUCAAAAUAUAUUAAAUAUACCAAAUCUCACAACACAAUUCACAUAACAAACAUUCCAAAUACAUCAUUUAAAUUAAUGUAAUUCAACUACACCACUGUUUGGAAAAGAAAAACAUAAGUAUCAAAUUAAGCUUUCGACAAGUUCUAAACAGUAAAGUACUAAAUUAAGUUUCAACAAACAUUAACGGACAAAAAGAAGCACAAGAGUGUCAAUAAAUAUCCAUAUGUGGCUUCAUUUUUUUCCCACCUACAAGUACAUAAAAUCAAUUAGUACACAACAAAUAAUAAAUCUUGGAUAUUUGGAAGAAAAAAUCAUCAUAAAUUACUCAUAUAUUACCUUGUGAUUUUGGGCUAUAAUUAACUUGGCAACAUAUGUAGCCCAUUGAUUAUGAAGUCGCAAGAGUUCUUUCAUGACGUACAAGCAACAAUAUUGUAACAUAUCCCCACUAAUAACAACCUCGCAAUUAAUCCAUAUAAUUGUUUUGUACAUCUCAUGGUUAUUCACAUAAUCUCUCCAACAAUACGCAGUGUGCCAAUCAUUAAAUGUUCAUCAGUUAAUUAAUAUAGAGAGAGACAAAAAUUUUUAAAAAGAAUCUAGUUACCACUUUUUUUAUCGCUGUCAUUAACUUCUCUUAAAUCGUAAGUGAGUGAUGAGCAGUUAGACGGGCCUUAGUGGCUUUUUAAUAAGUCGAGCUAAUUCAUAAGUGAAGUAACUAAUAAAAAUUAAGGCGAUCAUGGAGUUCUAAUUUUUGGCUAUUAGGUUAAAGCAAAAAAAUAUUUAGGCUUAAGUACAGUGACAAUUUGACACAACUAUCAACGAAGUUUUGCAUGCAAAACGCAACUUUUAAAAUGAAGAAAUGAGAAUAAUGUCAAAUAAAAAAAGAAUAAUUGAAUAAUUCUAUUUAAGUAUUUAACCAUUCAACUUUUUAUAUGAACACAAGUUUAGCACUCACGCACUAAUAAAUUUUGGCUGUGAAAACUAUUUAGUUGGAGUAGAGAUACAAACAUGCAAAAUUUGUAAGCUCAUGUUUAUUUGACAUAUAUUUCUCAAAUAAAGAAUGAUGCAGAAGCAAAUCAUUUAAUAAUUGUAAAGGCAUAUCAUUUAAACAAACAAGAAAACUGCAUACCAUGAUGCACCCCUUUUAAAGUGUAAGCUGGUCAGCGCAAACCACUUUCAAAGUGUAAGAUAGUCAGCACAAACCACUGAGUGCCCAAAUUGGCAGAAGAAGCAGGUUUACAAGUUGACAAAACCAGCAACCUCAGUCAAAAUUAUGAUACCAAUGCACGCAGUUAGAGGUAUGAUCAUAGUUAUCAAAAAUAAAGAUAUGCUCUUCCGGCUACAUAGGGGAAAAGAAAAGCAUUAAGUGUAUUAUACUUCUUCCAGCCACUUAAACAUGAGGUUUGAUUUCUGAAGGUAAUCAAUGAUUACUAUUAAACUAAUCGCAUAGUUAAUUAUUUCUUUGCUGCCCAAAAGGUUGUUUCCCUAAUACUCCUAGCAGUAUCCUGGCUGAAGAUUUCAUUUCUCAAAUAAUUUUAUAUGCAGUAGAGUUGGCUUAACCAACUUCUCAUCCAGUGAGGAGAAAAAAAGAAGAAAAAAGCAGUCUAAUUUUACUGCUAUCCAUAGCACUCCACUUAACUUUAUGAGAAUCUCAUUCUAGUUAAUUGAAUUAUGAAAAAGAGUAAUUAUAUUACAGCGAAUGGUAAGGGCACUGCCCUGCUUAGUUUCCAGUGUAAUGUACAGAUUCCAGAAACAUCUCUUUCUCUGAGCUAUUUUCUCAGCAACCAAACAACAUCUCUGUUUUCUUUCAUAUGCAAAGAGAUAAAAUGGAUCAAUUUAAAUGAAGAAAGAACAAAAAGUCUUAACAUACCACCCAGAUAAGCAAUUUAUUCGGGGCCAAAGGAUUCAAUGUAUGGUAUCUGACAAAGGUUGUUUGCCUUGUAUUGUCAACUCUCUUGCAAUUUCUAUUCCAGAAAAAAAAAUCAGCUGCUCAUUUAUGAUAAAAACAAAAUUUAAAAUAAAAUCAAUAGAUCUAAAAUCAAUUGUGGCUUUAAGGAACCUAAAGCCACAAUGUUAAUUGAUCUUAAAAGUUUGUUAUAAAAUCAUAUGUAGAAGCAGUUAGUUUCAGUAAGAAGUACAUGACAUUUAGUAGAGCAAUUUUAAAGAAUUCUCUAUACAAAACAAAAAAGGCAUGGAUACCCAUUGAUUUCUCUUACUGGUCACAGGACACUUAGGUCCAUUAUCUCUUUUCUUCAUGCUCUAUUUAUCCAUUUAAGGUUACCUUGAACAGAGAUUGUGGUGGUAUAGCAGCGACGACGGAGAUUGAGGCAGUACGACAGUGACGGAGCGGCUGACAGAGGCUGAGAAGUUAUUACCGGUGACGAACGGCUGAGUAUUGAUGAUAACUGGAAGUAGUUACGGCCUAUUGGUGAUGAUCGCAGUGGAUUAGUUACUGGUGACGGUCAAAAAUCAUAAGUUACGACAGUGUGUUUCCAACUUUGGUGCACGAGAUAUGAUAGGAGAUGACGACAACAAAAGAGAAAAAAAUAUAGAGAACAGACUUUGGUGCAUCAGAGAUGACGGCAAUGGCUAGUCGAAAGUAGUGACGGCAGUGGCUAGUCGAGAGUGGUGACGAAAGUGGCGAAAGAGAUUUUGGGUAUGUCGGCGGCGUGGUAGUGAUUUGUUUUGUUUUCGAUUGACAAUAUGAUGAAAUGAGGGAAAGAGAUUAGGGAUUUUACUUUUGCUAUUAUAAUUUUGUUUUUAAUUCUUUUAAAAAAUACUUGUAUCUUGAAUCUGUAGGUCAUGUGGUCUUUGGUUCAAAUGUAAAAACUUUAAAUUUUAAAAGUCUUUGGUUCGAGUCGGAAGAUUUACAAAUCAUAGUAAUUUUUUUUUUAACCUCUGAUACUUCAGUGCCAGUGGUUUUUGAUACUUAAUUUACUGACACACUGAUAUCAGUAAUUUGUGAUACUUAUUUGUUAAAAGCGGAAAAUGGUGCAUAUGCAUACAAUUACUGAUACUUUUUACAAAAUGUUAGAAACUAAGUGUCAGUAAAGGUCAUUUUUGUAGUAGUGCCCCCAGGGUGGAGAGAAUUCGCCCUCGAAUUCGGAGUGUCAACAACAACAUCUUCAUCAUGAUCACCUCUGUAAGGAAUAAGAUGCUUGACAUUAAAUACAUCUGCGGUGCGGAUAUGACUAGGAAGCUUUAAUCUGUAGGCAUUAUGAUUUAUCUUCUCUAUAAUCUUCAAAGGGCCGAUAUUCCUGGUAGAAAGCUUGUUGUACUCACCAACUGAGAAUCUAUCUUUAGUUAGGACAACCCAAACAAGAUCUCCCACUUGAAAUUCCAAAGCUCGACGUUUUUUGUCUGCCACAAUUUUAUAACCUUCGGUUGUCUGCUUCAAAGACUCUUGCAUAGUUUCAUGAAUUUUCUUAAGUUGCUUAAUAAAGUCUUCUGCUUUACUACUUUUGCGAACUAAAUCUGGAAUUAGAGCCAAGUCGAUGGGAGCUCGUGGAUUAUAUCCGUAAUUCACCUGAAAAUGGCUUAAACUAGUACUGUGCUUAACUGCACGGUUAUAAGCAAACUCGACUUGAUAUAACUUUUGAUCCCACAUCUUCAGGUUAUCGCCAACUAGACUAUGUAGAUGGUUUCCUAAAGAGCGAUUGACAACUUCGGUUUGACCAUCUGUUUGUGGGUGGUAAGCACUACUGAAAUUCAGGCGAGUGUUAGUCAACUUCCAUAAUGUCUUCCAAAAAUGGCUAAGAAAUCGUGUAUCCCGGUCAGAUACUAUAGAACUUGGUAAACCAUGCAAUCUAUAGACUUCCUUGAAGAAUAGACGAGCAACAGUCAAAGCGUCUGUGGUCUUUUUGCAAGCAAUGAAGUAAGCCAUUUUCGAGAAUCGAUCAACAACAAUAAAUAUUGAAUCCAUACCCCUCUGAGUGCGGGGUAAUCCCAAAACAAAAUCCAUGCUAAUGUUAGCCCAAGGUUGUGUUGGAAUCGGUAGAGACAUAUAUAACCCAGUAUUAGUUGUUGCGCCCUUGGAAACUUGACAAAUGCGACAAGUCUCGACAUAGUGAUAGACUUCACACCUCAUAGUAGACUAAAUAUAAGUGUUGGCUAUUAGAGCCAAAGUUUUGUCACGACCCAUGUGCCAUUCGUUAUGUAACUCUGCAAUGAUUUUCAAUCUCAAACUUAAGUCAGGAACACACAACUGAUUACUCUUGAAAAGGAAUUUGUCAUGUAAAUGAUAAUCUGAGCGAAACCCUACACCAAUGUCUUCUAAUAUAGGAGCAAAGUAAGGAUCAGAAGCAUAUAACUCUUGAAAUGUGUUAAAUCCGAGAACUUGAUUAUGCAUCUGUGCCAAUAAAGAAGUUCGUCGACUAAGUGCAUCUGCUGCCCGGUUGGAUUCACCAGAGGUAUGCUUCACCACAAAAGUAACUUGUUGAAGGAAUGUUGUCCACGUGGCAUGUCUGUGAGAGAGCUUGUCUUGACUAUUGAGGUAUUUUAACGCGGCAUGGUCAGUGUAUAAAAUAAAGUCUUUAUGAAUUAGAUAAUGUCGCCAAUGUUUUAAUGCUUGGACUACUACGUCAAAAUUCCACGUCAUAACUGUUGUAGUGUGCCUUUGCUCCAUUCAACUUCUCACUAAAAUAAGCUAUAGGCUUAUCUGUUGGCUAAGAACAGUUCCAAUGCCGACCUUAGAAACAUCACAAUGUACCUCAAAAGUGAGCAAAAAAUCUGGUAGAGCAAGUACUGGGGUAGUAGUCAACUUUUCUUUGAUAAUCUUGAAUGCCUUAGUAGCUGCCUCUGUCCAAGAGAAUUGUCCUCCUUUCAUGCAAUCUGUAAUUGGUGCCAUAAUAGUACUGAAAUGAGGAAUGAAUCGUCUGUAAAAGGAGGCCAAUCCAUGGAAACUUUUAGUGGCGGAUAAAGUAGUUGGUGGAGGCCAAUCUCGAAUAGCAUCCACUUUUGAUUGGUCAACAAAUAUACCAUCCUUCGACACCACAUAUCUAAAAAAUAAUACUUUCUCUGUCAAGAAAAUACACUUGUUUACUUCUAUGUAUAAACUUGCUGCUCUUAACGCUGAAAGCACUUCUCUCAAAUGUUGUAGAUGUAACUCGUGAUUGGUGCUAUAUAUAAGUAUAUCAUCGAAGUAAACAACCACAAACUUUCCAAUGAAAGGGCGAAGAACUUGAUUCAUGACUCGCAUAAAAGUACUUAGAGCAUUGGAUAAGCCAAACGGCAUUACCAACCACUCGUAUAACCCUUCACGAAUUUUAAAAGCCGUUUUCCAUUCAUCUUCAGGCCGUAUUCGAAUUUAAUGGCAACCACUUUUCAAAUUAAGUUUGGUAAAAAUUGUUGCUCCAUUGAGUUGAUCUAAAAAGUCAUUUAAUCGAUGGAUUGGAAAAUGAUAUCGAAUUGUAAUUUUAUUGAUAGCUCGACUGUUCGCGCACAUCCUCCAAGAACCAUCUUUCUUUAGAGUCAAUAAAGCAAGGACUGCACAGGGACUGAGACUUUCAUGGAUAAAUCCCUUUUCUAGUAACUCUUCCAUUUGGCGCCUUAAUUCCUCAUGUUCUGUAGGACUCAUACGAUAAUGAGGUCGAUUUGGUAAUGUAGAACCUGAUACCAAAUCAAUUUGGUGUUGUAUAUCCCGAAGAGGUGGUAAACCCUGUGGUAGCUCAUUGGGGAACAAAUCUUAAAAUUCCACCAGAAUAGGUGUCACAGCUUCAGGAAAUUUCGAAUCACUGUUACUUUUUUUUCCCAAUAAAAUGUAGACUCUCUUUGUCUCUACUACAACAUCUAUAAAUUGCUUCUUGCCUAACAAAUAAUUACCCAAGUUUUGCUGGAGAGUAAACUCCUUGUUAGGUAGGAGAACGAUCUUGGUGUUAUUAAACAUAAAGCUGUAGGUAUUUCUCUUCCCAUCACGCACUACGUUUGGAUCAUAUUGCCAAGGUCUACCCAGUAAUAGAUGACAAGUAUCCAUAGCCACAAUAUCGCACCAAAUUUUGUCUUUAUAAAUUGAACCAAUAGAUAAGGAAACUAAGCAACGUUUCGAUACUGUCACUUGAUUUCCCUUCUUCAGCCAUGUGAGCUUGUAUGGAGUUUGAUGAGGUUCUGUCUUUAAAUUUAACUUUGUUAUGGCUUCUUUCGAAAUGACAUUCUCACAAUUGCCGGAGUCUAUGACCAUACGACAUCCUUUAUCCCCAAUUGUGCAAGUAGUCUGAAAGAUAUUUUGUCGUAGCCACUUGUCUUUGUCUUGACCUUUAGGAGUGAAAAAUGCACGAUUCACGAUCAACAUUGGUCCGCUAUCACCAUGUUCUUCAACGGAUUGAGCACUACCACUACUAUCAAAAGUUGGCUCUACAGCAAACUCUUCAGUUUCUUCCUCCUCAGUUUCUUCCUCCUGAUAGUCUUUGCUUUCCUCUGUGCCUACGAAUAAGCCUUUAUCAUAUUUUCCUCCCUUUUUACAUUCUGUCAUUCGGUGCCUAUUUUUUUCGCAAUUAAAACAGCGUAAUCCCGAUCCUGAGGAUUGGGUUUUGCUGCUUUGACCGAUUUCACUAGGCUUACUAGUUUUAUUUGGAGGAUUUGGAGUGAAAUUACGAAAUUGGGAAGUUGGGUUUGAAUUAUCACGAACAACACUUCGAGCACCCCGAAAACUUGAGUCAUUAGUACGUCGACUAAAUUGCUUCUCCAACUGUAAGACUUGUUGGUGUGCCUCUGAAAUAGAGUAUGGGUCAAGUAAAUUUAAUUGGUCUUGAAAUUGAGAUUGUAGGCCUCCAAUGUAGAGGGAAACCUAUUGUUCUUCUAUCUCUGUCAAGUCAUUACGUGCCACCAACCAAUGGAAUUCUAUAGUGUAAUCAUCCACUGAUCGAUUACCUUGCCUUAAAUUCUGUAGCUGUUGGUAUAACAGUUUGGCGUAAUUAUGAGGCAAGAAUGCUCCAUGCAAGUGCUUCUUGAACUUUUCCCAAGAAUCAAUCUUCUUUUUGCCUUGCCUAAUCCUUGUGAGCUUAGUUUGUUGCCAUCAAGCUGCUGCUCUUCCACGAAAUCGAGUUGCAGCAAGCGAAACUAGUUUAUUUUCAGGAACUUCUUUGUAUUCGAAAAGUUCCUCAAUGGCGUUAAUCCAAUCCAAUAGUUCUUUAGGUCGACCACUUCCUUGAAAUUCGAGAAUGUCAAUUCUCAACCCAGAUUCCCAUCUUCUGUCAUCAGUAGACUCAAUUCUAGGUCGACGCCCAGAGAAUGGGUUAGCAAAGCUUCCACUUGAUUUGUCUUUACGUUUUGGAGUAUGAUGGCGUUCGUCAAGUAACUCUGCCAUUCGUGCCAUUCGUGUUAUUUGUGCAGCUAACAUAUUAAUUCUGGCUGUCAUACUAGCCAGGGCUUCAUCUUUAGAAACAUCUUCUUGAUUGUAAGUUACAGUAUGAGCAUCACGAGUUUUUCUUGGAGGCAUUUUUUCAAAUUCAGGUUUAAAAAGGUAGUGGGGCUAAACUGAAAGUAAAUAAAAAUUUUAGGCUGAAACUGUAAUUAAGCAAAAGUUUUAGAUUUCCAAUGAUGGUGGUCGGAAAUCGAGUAAGGAUGGGUGGAUCUAAAAGAUUUUGGGUUGGUAAGUAUGAUGGUGGUGGUGGUUUGUCCGAAAAAGUGGUGUUUUGGCCGGAAAUUGUAGAUAAAGCCGUCGGUUUUGGAGGGCUUCGGUUUUCGGUGGUUUGAACGUUGAUCGGCGGUGAGGAAUGGUGGGAAAGGUUCAUUUGAUGGAGAGGAAUAGACUGAUGGUGGUGCUUCUGGCCAAAUCGCACCGGAAAGUGGUGAACGAAGGUGGCGGCGAUCGCGGCUGUUUUAGCUUUGUCUUCCGGCGAUCUGUGGCUAACAGACGGUGGAAGAUGCUUGGGGUUUGAUGGCCGGUGAUUUAUGAUCCGUUUAGUGGUGGUUGCGUCCGGAUCGGUGACGGAAAACGAGAGUCGGCAACCUUGGACGGUGGCCGGGGGCUGAAGGUUUUGUUUCUGUUCUAUUUCAGUUUUUUUUAACUAAACGGAAAAAAUCAAAGACGGAAAAAAUGAAAGGUUUGGUGAUAGAUGGAGUUAGAUUGGUGAUACCAGUUUUUAUCUCUGAUACCACUGAUGAAGCGGAAGUUUAAUGUUCAAAAUAUUCCGUUGAUUCUAGAGAAUAUCGGAACAAAAGAACAACUAAAUUCACGUUGAUUCAAAAGAAUACCGCGAAUUUAGGGGUUAAGACUCGUUGAUUCCACAGAAUACCGAGAAUUAACUGUUCAAAUACUCACAAAGAGAUUUGAAAAUUGAAAUAUUAUUAAACUCAAAAUUCUACCUUCAAAGGCUACAAGAGGGAGAUAUUUAUAGUAGUAGUAAUUAUCUUAAUUAAUGAAGUAAAAACAAAAUCCUAAAUUGAAAGGGAAACAAAAUUCUAAAUUAGAAAGGAAUUAAAAAGUCUUAAACUUUAGUUAAUAAGGAAACUAAUCCUAGUAUAAUAUAAAUUCCUACUCUUCAUCACUAACUCACCAAAGCUCACCACUCAAGAGAAAUAUUAUGAAGGAAUACAAAUAUUCACAAUCCAAUGAUAUCCUAAAAAGGAUACAAGACUUCUCAACUCACCACUCUAAGGAAUCCACCCAAUAGAUACAUAGUUUAAAUCACACACCCUUCUAACAAUUUACUGUUAGCCUAAAGGGCUAUACAUAAUGUAAUUUUGAUGAUAAAAAACAUGUGUAUUUAGUGAUUUAAUAAAUAUUGUAUUUCACAUUUUCACUAUUUUUUGAAGGGUAAUAUUUAUGCAAGUGAAUAAAGUGAAAUCAAGUUCAAGACACUCAACGGACAAUGGUGAAAUCAAGAAUAAAGUUUAAAGCUCAACGAAUAAAUUAUUGCGAUAAAUUCUUGUAAAGCUGGUAUGAUUUAAUUGAUGCAUGAUUUAGCAUUUGAGAAGCUCAAGAAAUUAAUUUAAUUAAUUACUUUUCAUUAACUAAAAGGUUUUAUUUUUAUAAGAUAAAAUAUUUUGUGGUUUUGAGUAUUUUGGACUUAAAUGGAAAGUUCUGCAAUCUUUGUUUUUAAUAAGUAUUAUCUUGAAUUCCAGAGUUGACCUUUUUGCAAAUAUGUGAAAUGUUUUAGGCCAUACUAUAAUUUAUGAACAUUUUGGACUAAAGUUAAAAGUUGUGAGAACUUUUAAAAAAUAUGGGUAUUAUGUUAAAUUUUGAAAAUGACCUCUUUGAGAAAUAAUAAUAUAUUUGGGGCCAUAGCAUAAUUUUAAAAAGUUUUGGAAAAGAUAAUUAUUAUUAAGAAAUUCUGAAAUUGGACCUAUUUAUAAAGUUUUAUGACAUUUUGGACUAUAGUAGAAUUAUAAAACGUUUUAGGCCAAAGUGUAAUUUUAGUGAAUAAUGUUACUGUAGCAAUUUCAAAAAUAACGGUAAUAUCACUGUUACAAGUAGCUAUCCAGAUAAAUCAAGCGGCUAACCGCUUGGUUGCUGGAAUUUACCUAUAAUGGUUAGUUUUCGGGCUUUUAUUAUAAAAACUCAACUCCAACUUCAUUUUAAGAACUAAUGCAAGCAAAAAUAAGAUCAUUUAACAUAUGUUGAGCUUCCAAAACGCAAAUAAUCAUAGAUUGAAUCAUUGUUGAGCUAUUGUUUGCAUAUCCACUCUUAAAAGAGAGUUUUUGUUGUAAUUUUCAUUUCUUAUCAAAUUGUGAGUGUACAAGUGUGAGAAACACUUGGGGUGAAGAGAUUGGGGAGAUAAUCUCUUGAUUGUAAAGGUUCAUUGACACCUUAGAAGUCAAUUGUAAGAACUUGAAGCCUUGGGAGGCUUAGAUAGUGAAAUCCUCGAGCUUGGUUGGCUUGGAGGCGUGGACAUAGGUGAGGAUUGCCGACCCACGUAAAAAUCUGUGUGUUUGUUUUUCUCUUCCCUUACUCUUUUAUUUUUAUGCUUGUUUGAAUUUAUUGUUUUCUAUUCCAUUAAGACGUUAGAUUGAUUUGUUGUGCGAAUUGUAUUGCACAAUUUUAAAAAAAUCCAAUUCACCCCCGAUCUUGGGUUGCGUAACUUGCAUUUCAUUUACAACCUAAUACUUUUAUAUAGGUAACUUGGAACAUCCCUCCAAGUUUAAGAUAAGAUAUCCUAUUAUUUAGAAUUUAAAUUAAACUUGAAUCGAAGGUUUAAUUGUUUUGAGGUGAAAGAGAACAAAGCAAAGCAUAAUUGACUUCUAGGUUGGUUUGAUCAGUAAAUGUGAGCAAUCAACAUUCUUUCAAUCACAUCUUGAUGUAGAAAACUCCAAAUCGAUACCGUAAAGUUCAUCAAACUGCUGAAUUAAAGAGCUUUCCAGUGAUAUAAAGUUUAUUAAUUAAAUCUUAAUGCAUUGAUACCAGGAAAUUUAAAACUCGCAGCCUUGCGCAGAAUUUCUAACAGCUGUGACCUUUACUGACUAAAUCUUGAAUAUCUAUGAGAAGAGAAGUCUAAAAUGUGAUUCUGUAGAGUUCCUUAACUGGACAAAAUUAUCUUUUAAAACAUAUUAAUAUACAAUUUAUCUAUUUUUAGAAUAGUAUAGUUAAUUUGAACAAGUGGAUAGUUGAUCUUGACUUUUGCUUAUCUCUUGACUAACCUUUCCAAAUAUUCACAUUCUUCUACAUUGUCAAUCUUCAAACAUGGUAAGUCUCUAAACACUUCUGUGCCAAUCUCUUUGGUUGAGGAAGACUCUUCCUUGAGUCUCAAUCUUCAUUUUCUUUAAUAUAUAAGGAUAAAUCGCAAACAUUGAAGAUGUCUGAAACACCAUAAUUUUUAAGCAAAUCAAUUUUGUAAGCAUUUUAAUAAAUUCUUUUCAACACUUUAAAUGGACCAUCAACUCUUGGUUUGAUUUAUAAAAUUUACCUUUUCUUUUCGGAGAUGAAUCCACACUAAAUCACCUUUUUGAAAUUUUACACGUCUUUGGUGUUUGUUGGCAUUCUUUCAAUAUUUCUCAUUUUGCUUCAAGAUUUUCGUCUAACUUCUUUAUGCAUCUUAUUGAUAUUCUUUACUCAUUCUUCAACAUCUCCACUAAAUUGUUGAGUAGUUUGAAAAGGAACUAGAUAUAAUAGGCUUAAAAAAAGAUUUUUACCAUAUACAAUCUCCAAACGACUACAUUCAGUUGUUUGACUUGUGCUGCAAUUGUUGGAAAAUUCAAUUUGAGCUAAGAUGAGGUCCCGUUGUCGAAUAUUCUUCCCCACAUAACUUCUAAGAAGAUUUCUCAAACUUUUAUUGGUGGCUUUUGUUUGGCUAUCAGUUUAAGGAUGAUACAAAGAAGACUUGUUUCAAGUUUUCUCCAAAGAGUCCUCUAAAAGUGACUUAAAAACUUUGAAUCCCAAUCGAAAACAAUUGAUUUUGGAAUACCAUGAAGUUUAACAAUCUUCUGAAGCUAAAAAUAUAGUUUAGCCACAAAUGGAGCAUCUAGAGUCUUCUUACAAGGGACAAAAUAUGCCAUCUUUGAGAAACAAUCGACAACAACCAUGAUAGAAUCUUUGUUCCUUUGUGUUCUUGGAAAACCUACAAUAAAAUCCGUACUCACAUCUUCUGAAGGAAAGGUUGGAACUGGAAGUGGAUUGUACAUACCAAUAUUUUGAUCAUGACUUUUUGCUACAUGACAAAUUUUACACCGAUGCACAUGCCUUGAAACAUCUUUCUUCAUUUUUGGCCAAUAAAAUUUUUCUUCAAAAAGAGAAAAAGUUCUAUCUCUUCCAAAGUGUCUUCUAAGACCACCACUAUGUGAAUCUACUAUUAUUGACUCUCGAAGUGAACUUUAUGGAAUGCAUAGUUUAUUAUCUUUAAAGAGAUAACCAUCAUGCAUGCCUCCAAAACCUUGAAAAGUGAUGAUUGCCCAUGUAAAGCUCCUUUAAAACUUCAAAAACAAUAACUUUCACUUGCUUAAAGAUAAAAAGGAACGUUUUCAUUUUAAAGCACCUGCUACCACAUUUUGGCUCUCGAUUUAUGCUUGAUUGUGAAGUUGAAGAAGGCUUGUAGAAAUUCAACCUAAUGAACAUGUCACUUAUUGAGUUUGUGUUGGCUAUUUAUAAAUUUCAAAGCUUCAUGGUUAGGGUAGAAGAUAUUGACUCCAAUGAUCUAAAACUCGACAAAUGACAUAAAACUCUUUAUAAUAAAACUCUUACAGGAAUACUUUUUACAGAAAUUGGUUUACUUUCUUGGCUAAAGAUAGCCAAUUCCUAUAUUUGAGGCAUCACACUCAACUUCAAAAAGGUUUUCACAAUUUGGAAGAAAAAAAAAUGGGAAUCUCAGUUACCUUCUUCUUGAUGAGUUCGAAACUCUUUUAAGAUUCAUUUAUCCAUUUGGAUGUUCCUUCUUUCAAGCACUCUAUAAUAUGAGCCAUAAUUGACUUAAAACCUUUAAUAAAUCAUCGGAGAAAAAAAAAGCCAAACCAUGAAAACAUCGAAUAUCAUGAAGAGCUAUAAGAGUUGGCUACUUUAAAUUUGCUUCCACUUUGCUAAGAUCCAUCUUGACCCCAUCCCUUGAAACAAUAUAGCCUAAAAAGAUAAAACUAUUAAUAAAGAAGUUGCAUUUCUUUAAAUUGAUAUAAAGCUUUUGAUCUCUUAAAGUAUGAAAAACUUGCCGAAGAUACUUUAAGUGCUGCUCAUCUGUCUUGCUAUAUACAAAAGUAUCGCCAAAAUAGACUACCAUGAAUAUACCAAUAACUGGUUUGAAAACAUGAUUCAUAAGGCACAUAAAAAUACUAGGAGCAUUGGAAAGUCCGGAUGGCGUCAAAAUAUCUUUGUAAAGGCUAUCUCUUACUUUGAAAGCUAUCUUCUAUUUAUCUUUGGGUUACAUUUGGAUUUGAUAGUAUCCGCGACGAAGAUCAAUUUUGGAAAGAACUAAUGCACUAUGGAGUUUCAAGAAGAUUAUCAAGGUGUGGGAUAGGAAAGAGAUAACCAACUGUAAUUUUGUUUAUUGCUUUACUAUCAAUACAAACAUGCCAAGAAACAUCCUUCUUAGGCACUAGAAGUGCAGGGAUGGCGCAAGGACUUAAGCUUUCUCUUAUUAAGCCUUUUUUCAAAAGCUCAUUUACUUGUCUUUGAAGUUCUUCAUGCUCCUUUGGGCUCAUCCUAUAUGUUACCUUGUUGGGUAAGAUAGCUCCAGGAAUUAAAUCAAUUUGAAUUCUUUGAAAAAGUGUUGUAUAAUUAGUGAUGACUCAUAAAUGCCUUUAUUUUCUUCCAAUACCACUAGGAAAAAGACCUUGUCAAUUUUUGUUCAACCCUUUUUUACUUUAACCAAAAGCAAGUAAAUUACGCCCUUUGCCUUUUGAAGGUUUGAGAGUAAUUUCUAACUUUUAAGUCUUAAAGUAACUUUCACACCAUCUUUGAUGAAGAAGAAGUUUUUUGUGACCAUCGUGAAUCACCUUCCGAUGACAUUGCCGUGGAUAGCCAAUAAGUAAGUGACAAGUAUCUAUUGGUAUAACAUUAUUUUAAACCUCGUCCUUAUAAUUUUUUCUAAUAGAAAAUAAAACAAGGCAACGUUGAUGAACUUUUAUAUCAUUUCUUUUUUUAAGCCAAGAAAGCUUGUAAGGAUGCAAAUGUGUCUCAGUCUUGAGUUUCAACUUGUCUACCAUUUCAGAAGCUAUUAUAUUCUCAAAGCUACCACUAUCAAUGAUGACAUCCGUACUUUUCCAUUAGAAGUGCAUAUGAUGUGGAAAAUAUUUUGUUUGAAGCCAAUCUUUCUCAUCUUCUACAUGAUUAGAACUUAAAGCUCUUUAAAAGAUGAGAGAGUCUCCUUGAUCAUCAUAGUGCAACUUUUUUAUCUUCGUCACUUAGAUUUUCAGCGUCAGCUUCAUCACUGCUAUUACUUUCUUAUUCAACAAGAGUGAUGAUUCUUUAGUUUUGGACAAUCAGAAGCAAUAUGUCCAUAUCAUUGACACUUAAAGCAACGAUGAGAAUUAGUGUUUGAAAGACUUAUUGGUUGCUUCAUGUUGCCACCGGCUUCGCCCCCUUUGAGGUGCUCUAGGAGAGGAUUUUGCAAUUGAAUUUUUCUUUAAAGAAAUAAGACGACUUCGGCUAAAUGAACCAUAUUGAGUGGAAGUUUGUGAGCUACUACUACGAACCACCUUUUGUUGCCUUUCUACUUUUAAGGCAAGCUUGCAAACAUUUUGGAAAGUCCAAUGAAGCUGCAAUUGAACCAUUUUCUUAAUUUUUUGUUUUCAAACCAAUGAUGUCUUACAAGAGAUACAUGGCUAUCUAACUCACCAAAACUCAUCACUCAAGAAGAUUUCAAAAGGAUGCAGAUAUUCACCACUCAAUGAUGUCCUACAAGUGACACAAUGUUUCUUAACUCACCACUCUAAGGAAUCCACUUAACAGAUACAAAGUUGCAUUCUUAUGAUUAUCUACCUUUUCCAAAUUUACAACUUAGUACCUUUAUAUAGACAACUUGGAACAUCCCUCGAAGCUUAGGAUAAGAUGUCCAUCAUUUAGAUUUCAAAUCAAACUUGAAUUGUAGUUCUGAGCUGUCAUAAGUGUUGUGCAAAUUUUAUUGAACUCGCAAGCGCACGAAUCUAUUGUAGAAUAGAUUAAUUGUGACGAGUGUCGAUCCUACGAGGAGGUGAAUUUUAAUUAUGUGUAGAAUUAAUUUUUUAAGUGGGUGGUUGGAUUUAUGGUGAAAAUGAUUUGGAAUAUCCUAAAAUUUAAAUUGAAAUGGAAAAAUUAAAUUAAAGUGGAAACUAUUAUAAUUUAAGCACUUGGGUAUCUGGAUCUGCAUCAACAUGCACCAUGUGUUAAAUAUUCCUUAUUAGUGUCAAUUAAAUUAUGAGGGGGAAUUCACAUCUCAUUAACCACACCUUAAUCAAUAUGGUAUUAAGGGCUUAUUGUGUCAAAUAAUAAUAACCUUGUACUAGGGAGCCGGUAAAACCAAAGCAAUAUUUAGACAAGAUUAUUAUUAUUUGUCAACGAAAAGUCAAAACAUCCACAAAAAUUAGAGGGGAAUGGAAAAUAAAUUUACCAAAUAAAGCGCAUGGCACAUGUUGAGACUUCACUUUCAACCCAAGCUUGAAACCAAAGCAAUAUUUAGACAAGAUUAUUAUUAUUUGUCAACGAAAAGUCAAAACAUCCACAAAAAUUAGAGGGGAAUGGAAAAUAAAUUUACCAAAUAAAGCGCAUGGCACAUGUUGAGACUUCACUUUCAACCCAAGCUUGAAAGAAAAUUAGCUACUCAUAAUUGAACUCGGGGCAAAAAUGAGAAUUUAUUAAAAUACGUAGAAAAUACAAGAUGGAGAAGGAAUUACAGAAAAUGAAACUAAAAAAUGAAUUCAGAGAUGUUAAAUUAGGGGGGGAGAGCCCCUUUUUUGUAGAUACAUUAAGUAAAUCAUGGCCAUCAGAUUAAAAACAUUUUGGACGCUUAGGAUUGUGCCACCUCAUCAGUCAAUAGUACGCGGUUUGAACAGUACACGGUUUGACCACGCGGUUUGAAUAGUGACACGAUUUGGUUGUAAAUAAUCCCGUGUAUAUGCAUGUACCGUACGCAUGAUUUUUGGUCCACUAACAUGCUGCCGCGUCACUGAUCAACAGUGCAUAAGAAUUUUGUCCAAUAGAAUUGUGACACCUCUUUAGUUAAUACCACGUCAUUGUUUCGUAUAUGUGAAUAGUGUCGUGAACAGUAACAUGGACAAUACCGUACAUGUGAACAGUACCGUACAUGUGAACAAUGUCAUUUUUUUUAUGCUCCUACUAAGGUUUUCCACUGUCCUAAGUUCAAAACUGAUGUUUUUUUUGUUAUCUCAUCUCUCGUUCAUUGUGAAAUGACCUUGAUGCCUCUAAAAUAUAUAAAAUACUUAAUUAAAAAAACACACAUAAUUAAAUCACAAGAAGUUUAAAUACAUAAAAGUAAGAAUGUUAGUAAGACUUGAAGUUGAAAUGUAAAAUGAUGAUUUUCUCUUUUAUAAAUAUACACUUUCUAACACUCAACAAUAAGUUGGAAAAGAACAAAGCAAAAUGCAAUUUGACUUCAAGGCCAGUUUCAAUAGCAGAUCUGAGCAGUCAACACUCAUUUAAUCAUAUAUUAAUGUAGAAAAAUUCCAAUCCAAUAUUGUAAAAUUUAUUAGAUUCGUGGCUCAUAGACCUUUCUAGUGAUACAAAAAGCUUUCUAAUUAAACAUUGUUGUACUAAUGACAGUAAAUUCAUAAGUUUCCACCUUGUGCAAAAUUCUUGAUAGUUUUGACUUUCGUUGACCAAAUCUUGAAUAUGUCUAAGAGAAGAAGUCCAAAUUUGAUUUUGUAAAAUUUUUCAAAAACUAGACAAUUUAUCUUUCUAUCAAUAUAUAAUACACAAUUUAAUUACUUUUAUAAAAAUAUAAUCAAUUCAAACAAGUGGAGUUAUAAUCUUAUGUUUUGUUUGUCUCUUGAAUUAUAUAUGAAAAGACUCAUGCGUCAAUAAUUUUUUUUAUUAUAAACUAAUUUUUUUGAGACAUCCUUCUUCACCUUUUGGACAUGUUUGACGACGUUUCACCAUGGAUUACGAAACCUAAAGCUUUGAUACUAAAUCUGACACCGGCCUAAUUAGAAACUAAAUGUUUAAUAAUAAGUAAAAUACUGACACAUAGACAAGGCAAGUAUAAAAGCUAACCACUCAAGAGGAUCACAAUGAGACAUUGAUAAUUCAUUACCUAAUGAGAUCCUACAAGAGAUAUAGGACACAAAUAUUUCACCACUCUAAGAAAGCCACCUAAGAGAUACAAUGUUUAAAGAAGAAACUCUAAAAGAAAACUCUUUUAAGCUACACUCUUAAAAUCACACACCUUUAUCACAACUUACAACCUAAUACCUUUAUAUAAGCAACUUGGGACAUCCCUCCAAACUUAGGAUAAAUUAUUUAGAAUUUGAAUCAAACUUGAAUUGAAGGUCUUAGUUGUCAUGAAGUGGAAGAGAACAAAGCAAAAUAUAAUUUGACUUCUACAUCAGUUUGAUCAGCAAAUGUUAGCAAUUAAUACUCUUUUAAUCAUAUCUUGAUGUCAAAAACUCUAGAUUGAUACCAUAAAGUUAAUUAAACUCUUGAAUUAAAGAUCUUUCCAGUGAUAUAAAGCUUAUUAGUUAAAUCUUGAUGCAUUGAUAGUAGUGAAUUUAGAACUUGCAGCCUUAUGCAGAAUUUCUAACACGUGUGACCUUUACUAACUAAAUUUUGAAUAUCUUUAAGAAGAUAAGCCCAAAUUUGAUUCUGUUUAAAUAUCUUAGAAACUGGACAAAAUUAUCUUUUCAACCACAUAUGAUAUAUAAUUUAUCUAUUUCUAGAACAAUACAAUUAAUUUGAACAAGUGGACAGUUAAUCUUGACUUUUGCUUCCCUCUUUGACUAACAUUUCCAAAUGUUCACAUUGUUGUUGUUGUUCAUCUUUUUCUUUUUUCAUUCUUUAAUGUUUGGCUGCCACUUGGCAUCUUUUUCUUCUUUUAUUCAUUAAUGUUUGUCUGCCACUUGGUAGCCAAACUUAGAAGUACAUGUCCAUUAAUAAAAAUGACAAGCUUUAGUAGAUGGUGAAAUCUUUUCUUUUAAAACAUUGUUUUUAUUUGGAAAAUGUGGCAAGAACUAUAGAAAUGUGGAUAAUAUGAUGGUAAAUAUAUAUGAAUUUGGUCUCAAUUUAAAAAAAUCUAGAUUUGCGCAUUAAGAAAUGCGGAUCUGGAUCUUAAAAUUUAAAAUUCAUGAGGAUUCGACGCUAGAUCUGGAUGCAAAUGCAUCUGAAAAAUCAAAUAUCUAGGUUCACGUAAUUUUUAAUUAAAUUAUUUAUCAAAUUAAAAUUAAAUAAAAUAUAUAUAAGUUAUAUGAAAAAACAUAAUGGGAUUAAUUAAAAAAUACAGAAGUUAAAUUAAAUUAAGAAAUAUAUUAGGAUCCGCAUUAUUUUAUGUCUAUUUGUGGUGUUUUUAUAAUUUUAUUUGUGGAUUUGUAGUCAUGCUAGAUUUGGAUUUAUGUUAUUCUUAAUGUUUAAUUUAUGUUGUGGUAUUUUUAUUUGUGAAUUUAUGGUGUUGUAUGUUAUUCUAGGUAUUGAAUU